rnacentral:lncRNA from 1 species
UGGACCUGACCUCUCUCUAGCUGCAUAUACCACUCCAAAGAUGCCCCACUAAGACUAUCUUGGAAGUAAUGAAUCAGGAGUUGAACAUUACUGAUGUGGGCAGCCAUCUUGCGGCAAUAAGCUCUAAGGUGAGUUCUCGGGCAACUGAUCCCUUUGUACUUGUCAAAGUCCAGGACUUUGAAUUUUUGCGGAAUCACCAAACUUGGUACCAAGCACAUGUCAACAACGUCCAAAUCGGGAGUAGUGUGAACCUCCAAGGAUUUGAAUUUUUAUUCUAGAGCGUGAAGCCUCUCAACAACUGGGUCCGGGAGAUCUCCAACAGCAGGUUUGGCUGGUUGUGGCAUGAAGAAGGCGUCAUAUGGAUCUUCAUCACCUAUCAUAGAUCCAUGUCGAGCAGAUACAACAAAAUGCUCGUGGGGUUUUAUAUUAUCCAUUGGAAUCAGAAUAGGGGUCGGUCCUCCUCUAGGCAGGGCAGGAUUACCAUUAAGGUCAGUCUCAUCAGGGAUGCUUGGUGAUCCAAACUGAGCAACAACCUUUCUGGCUUCUGCGCUAGUCUCAGCAUCCUUCUCCUUCUGGGCUAAGAGCAACAUGGUCUCAAGCAAAUGAUCCAUCUUUGCCUGCAUGGAGUCAAUGUCUGUCCUCAUUGAAACUUGGUUGGCUUCAAGCUGUUCGAGUGACAUCUUGUAGUUGUGGUGUGUCUCGUACCGAUGUCGAGUAGUCAGCGUUUACUGGACAAAGGGUAGAAUAUGGUAUAAGCUUUUGUUUCUGGAAGAUGGUAUGUAAUGCAUGUUGAUGAUAUGCAAAUGCAUGAAUUUUGUCAUGUUUUUCAUGAAGGGAUACAAAUACUCAAGAUCAAUUACGCAUCGUGUACAUCGGGAUAACAUGAGGAAGUAUAGGUUUCUCUGAUUACUGAAACUCCCAAGGGUAGGUUCUAAGGUUAAUUGGUUCCCAGAGUCAUCGAUUCUCUUUGAGAGCGUCACUGUCGUGAUGAAGACUCGUUGGGCAGUAAUACCCUUAAGAUAAUCUCGUCUUAGGCGAGGUCUUUGUAUUGUCCCAACAAGGAAGACUCCAUGGGGAUUCUACUACGCGACUCUCGGGUCCCAGGUUCUAACAGGGUUCUCAGAGUCAUAGAUCGAGGUUGGAAAUAUUACUAUAAGGUAAUAAUACGUCAAAGGGAUCUCAUCUGAUUGGGGUUUUCGUAUUAACCCAAUAAGUAUGAAACUCCGUAGGUUAAUACUACAUAACCGCCGGAUAUAGUGGGUUAAAAGGUCCCUAGAGUCAUUGAUCCAACUUGAAAGUACUAUCAUCGUGACGAAGACUCGUCGGACAAUAAUAUCUCAAGAGAAUAUCCUUUAGGCGGGGUCUUCAUUUCUUCCCAACAAGGAAGACUCCUUGUGGGCGCCCACUAUGCAACCGUCAACUUAAUCUUAUGGUUUUUCUCAUACUCGGGUAGAGAGUUUAUCUCACAAAGUACCAACAAUCAGAGAACCCCAAAUAAGACAUAGCCAAUAAAACAUCAUACAAUAAUUAUGAUAACAUAAUAAUAACAAAAUAAAUAAUAAACAGAUGAACAAAAUUAACACACAAUACAUCAAUUGAACUAAAUUAGGCUUCACUCUCUUUUGCUUGGAGCUAGUCCCCAGCAGAGUCGCCUUCUGUCGCAUCUCGAAAAAUACGAUUCCUCGCGAUGGUCGCGGAAAAAAUUAGUGUUUGAACAGAGUCACCACCGAACUUUAUUUAUCCCAAUGAAGGAAUAGGAAAAUAUCGAUAAAACCUUUAGAAAAUGGAAUAAUGGUCGUCGCAACCAUAUUCGGGUUCGGGAGUGGAUUACGUAAGGGGAAGGAGAAGGAAUAGGAAAAUAUCGAUAAAACCUUUAGAAAAUGGAAUAAUGGUCGUCGCAACCAUAUUCGGGUUCGGGAGUGGAUUACGUAAGGGGAAGGUAUUAGCACCCCUUACGUCUGUUGUACUCAAUCGGGAACCUUUUAGUUCUAAUGUGUGUUUCGUGUGUUAAUUUAUGUUUGUUUGUUAUCUUCGAGUGAUUAGAGUAUUGAAAAGAAAUGGAUGGGAACCUCAGAAAGGGAAAGGGGAGGUUUUUUAUUAGUGUGCUCGCGAAGAUACAACAAUCUCCUGCCUACGUAUCCUUAUGGUGUAAUAAGGAAGUCAGAGCAUUCGUAGUUCGGGGAACUAUAUUUGGUUGGUGUCUUUUAGUGAACAAUUGUUUUAAAUCGCGUUCUAAAGGCUAAACGCUGGCUUGUCUACUCUCGACGGAGGCUUAAGCAUUGGUUUGUCGUGCGCAUUAGAAAGGAUUAAACAAUGUUCUUUCUGAAAAGAGUUUUUGAUCACACGAGGGUGACAAGUUGGAUUAAUAUGUUGGAUGUUUUGAUUGGUUUCAAUCGCACAAGGACGAGAAAAGAUAGAUGUGUUGAGAUUUUUGGUUGGAUGACGAUUACUCGGAUGGUCGAGUAAGACAACUCGCAUCCUAACAGUCGGGAAAGGGAAUAGAAGACUCUAGACCGUUCUUUUUCAUCCUUAAUUAGUGAAAGGAUCUUAAUGAUGAUUAAGGUAUUUUAAACGAAUGACGAACACUCGGAUAGUCGAGUAAGACAACUCGUAUCCUAGCAGUCGGGAAAGGGAAUAGAAGACUGACCACUUUCUUUUUCAUCCUUAAUUAUAGAAAGGAUUUGAUAAUAAUUAAGGUGCUUUGAAUGGAUGACGAAUACUCGGAUAAUCGAGUAAGACAACUCGUAUCCUAAUAGUCGGGAAAGGGAAUAAAAGACUCUAUACCACUUUCUUUUUCAUCUGAGUAAUUAUGAAAAUAAGGUUGUGUAUAAUUGAUGUAUUUUUAGAAUAAACGACAAGUACUUGAAUGACUGAGUAAAACAACUCAUAUCCAAGCAUUUGAGGAGAGGAAUCGAAGUCUCAAGACCAUCUCCCUUUUCGUAUAGUUCGUUGUGAAAAUGAUUUGAUUAAGUUGUAAGUUGGUGGAAAAAUGACAAUUAUUCGACUGACCGAGUAAGAACACUCGUAUUCAAACAAUUGAGGAGAGAAGUCGAAAACUCAAAAUCAUCUCCCUUUUCAUUUCUUUAUUAUGACAAUGUUUUGAUUUAAUCGGGGUUUGGAAGUUUGUAGAGGAACGACAAUUAUUUGACUAACCAAGUAAGAGAACUUGUAUUCAAAUAGUCGAGGAGAAAAAUUGAAGACUCAAAGUCAAUCGGGGUUUGGAAGUUUGUAGAGGAACGACAAUUAUUUGACUAACCAAGUAAGAGAACUUGUAUUCAAAUAGUCGAGGAGAAAAAUUGAAGACUCAAAGUCAUCUCCCUUUUCGUUUCUUAUUAUAAGAUGAUUCGAUUUGUUUGUGAUUAGGUGGAUGGAAGUGACGACUAUUUGACUAACCGAGUAAGAGAACUCGUAUUCAAAUAAUCGAGGGGAGGAAUUGAAAACUCAAGGCCAUCCCCCAUUUCAUUUCCAAAUGAAAAGGUAUUUGAUUGUGAUUGGGUACUUUAAUUUGAUUCAGAUAAAAAAAUACUCGACAUUGGAUCGAGGUUUUAAAUUUGUGUUUUGUAAAUAAAUUGUAUUUUAUUUUGGUGAAUCGAUCAUCUACUUGAUUAUUCAAUAACCGGAUAGGUCUCAUUGUAAGAAAGCCCAAGAGUAAGUUAUGUGAGAUUGAUGGCGAUGUUUAUUCGCAUUUAAAAAUGGUGGAUAAAAUGAUCUUAAAAAUUAUUUUGGCAACACUCAUCAAUUAAUUAAUAAAAUGAAAUAAAAUAAUUAAUAUAUAAGAAAAAAUAAAAUAAAAUAAAAAUUUACUUAGAGCGGUGACGUGUUGCAAGCUUUUAGUUAUAUAAGUUAAAACUAAAAAAAAUAUGUUUUUAACUGGUUAUCACCCAUGAUAUAUAAUUUCUAUAUAUAGUUUAUAUGUCCAACUUAUACAUCAUAUAAUAAUGAAGCAUGCUUUAUAUAUUUUUUUACAACUUGGUAAACCCUUGCAUCUUCGUUCCACCAUAUAUCAGUAUACCAUUAAACAACAACAAAAAAUGCUUUCAUAUAAUGAACCAAGCCUAUCAUUCUACACACACAUCAUUUCAAAUGAAAUUUUAAAAUGCACAAAUAUAAUAUGUCCAGCAUACUCAGAUCCUUCAUAUUUGGAACCAAUUAACAAUGAAAAUGACACUUAUAUUCAAUUAGGACAUGAAGACUAAGAGGAUUAGAGAUUGACAGUUGCCACUUAGUACUCUUCUUCGUGGAUUUAGGAGUUAAAACUUUGAGUCAGACUGUGUUAACUUCUAAAAUUAUCAUCUCAUUCAUUAAAUACAAAACAUUCAAGCAUGGUAAUGCCAAGAAAAUUCCAUAUAUCAUAACUACAGUUCAUUCAAAAAGAGUUCAAAUUAUUGAAAAGAAAAUUCAGCUCACACUUCAUCUAAAAAAAUAAAAUAAAAUUCAUAUUCAUCUAUUUUUUUAGCAAUAUAUAAAUUGGAUUCAAUUGUUGAAACAUUAAAAAAAUAUCAAUAAGAUUAAGACUUGUUUUUGUGACAUUCAAGCAACAGUAACAAUCAUUCAAACCAAAAAAAUGAAAACUAAAUUGAAACGGAAACGACAAGGCAAAACCGCAAAGGAUCGGUACAUAGUACAUGGGUGCAUAUUUACAAUGCUGGAAAAAGAAGCUAUCCAAAUGCAGUAACUCAUCAUACUGCAAGCUACUUUCAAGUAGCAAGCAAAAAAAGGAACAACACCUAAAUCAUGAUAUACUCGCGUCAAAACAAAUUCAACACGCACGCCACAUAACCGAAAUGAAUACCGAAUAAUCAUCACAAUAUUUCCACUGUUAUAACAUCAAUCUCAAGUACAAAGGAGUAUAACCAAAUUGAAAAUUGAAGACGUAAUUGAGCGAAUGGUAAGUGCAACAUCAAUAAAACUCAAUUCAAUUCGUUACCACAAUCUUUUAAUUAGCACAAAACAACAACAACGUAGAGACAACAUUCUGAAUUUUCUGUACAAUUUUCACCAAAAUGUCUAGCACAAAACAUGUAAAUACCAUCUACACUUACAACCAAUCCAAGCCACCGCCUAAUUGAAACGGAAAUGGCAAGUAUAUUUUCAAUGUUCAAAGCCAUCAUUUAAUCAUAACAUGACCCCAAACACCCGACAACAACGCAACUGGGGUAUUAUUCACAGAGUUUUUACAUAUCCAAUUUGAAGCAAAAGACCUUAAGCCAAUAUAUUGUGUAGUACGUAUGAUUUGGUUAACAACCCGUAUAUAUUAUGCCAUGAAGAAAAAAUGAAAUAAUUUAUCCACCAAAUUCAAGCUAUAGCAUACACAGUUGACAACUUAUGUACUAAUUUCAAUAUAUUGAUUUCAAGAACCAUAUACAGUAGCAAAAAAAAACACCACUGACACUAGUUUACAAAUCCAACAAGAUAUAAUUGAAACAAACAUACAAACAGAUACUCGAUCCAGACUCACAACUCCAUGGAUAACUCAGUGGACGCACAAUAUUACCACAUCGAAUUCAAAACAAAUAUUGCAGCAUAAUACAAUAACAAAACAGACUCUGAAAAUUAUUCAAGUUUGAAUUUACAAUGAUAUCUUAGGUUCAAAAUAUUACCAAGGGCGGAAACGCUUUUGUCGUCGACAAUAUGUUGAGUUGUUUAUAUCGCACCGCACAUCUGAGUUUCUCCGAUGUUAGAAUCGGCGGGAUCAAAACUCAGUUUUGAAGCAGGGAGAUUGUAAAGUCAAUGUCGCUUGAAGAGUGAGACAUGAUGCUAGUUAUGAGCUGAUGAUGUUGAGUGUUCGCCAACAACAAGAGCUAUUAAUGUUGGUGUGCUUGGUUGCUCGGUCGAAGAAGAAACGAAGGCGAAGGUCAGAGUUGAAUUGACAAUGAGAGUUCGACUGUGGUUGUCGGCAUGGUAUCGGCGGAAGGUGGGUGAUAGGUUUUGAUGGGGGAGCGUGAAGAGGAAAGGGUGACGGCGUGGUGGAGUAAGGAAUUCGUUGUAACGGCGGAGGGAGUAUUGGCGUCAUUGUAAGGUUGUGAGUGGUGGUUUGAAGCGCGGUGAUGAACGAAAGGUGUGUCGCGGGGGAGUGGUCGGCGGUUCGUGGUGGUUGGACGACUUUGAACAGGGGAGAGGUUGUUAAGUUGGAUUUUGGUGGUCAGGGAAGAAGAGGAAUAGUGCGAAGGGUUUUUAACGGAAGGGAGGUAGCGUGUGGUAGGUGAGGUGGAGUGUACUGAGUGAGAAAAGUGUGUGAGAGGACGUGUGCGAAGCGUGAGAGAGUGAUGCAAGCCGGAUUUUCAGUACUGUUGGAAGUGUACCAGCAGUAAAAAAAAGGAAUCCAAUGUUAAUUUCAUUUUAUUAUUUUUUGAAAACAAUUACUAUUAUCUAAAUUUUUCUAUUAAAGAUUUCUAAUAAAUACUUUGAUUUAAAUAAAUUCUAAUUAUUUUAGUCGAAUAAUUAACCUAACAAAAAUAGUGAUCGAUUAUAAAUAUAAAUCAGAUAUAAAUUUGCUCGGAAAAUUAAAUCGGACACACCAAAAUGAUCAGCAUAAAAUAUACUUAUUGAAAAAAUACAGUGUUUCUUUAAAUUUUGAAAUAAAAUUGCACCGGUUAAAAGGCUCAGGCGGGUCAAAACGCAACUGAAAUAGCUGCUGAAAAAUACAACAAACACACCAGGUUAAACUACAUGAACUGUAGAUUAAUAAUACUGGUGUCUGUAAUUUUAAUUCUGAAACUUUUUACCCGCUGAUUUUGCAUGUUCUUAAGAAAUGAUUCAACCAAUUUGUCUGUAUUUUCAAUAAAUUUAUUCUGCCUGAUAUUUUAGGUAUUAUUUAUGAUAAAAUGCAUGUCAUGUUGUGCAUAUGAUGCAAAUUAAAAAUGAAAUCAAUUUUACAAAAUUUAAAUAUGCCCGGACAAAAUUGGGGUAUGACAAUCACCUAUUAUCAUAAAUUUCUUCCACAACAUUGACUGAUGGACCCGCGUGACCUGAUGAAGGAUUAUUGUUGAUUUGAAUGCCUUUAGGCAUGAGUGAAAUCAAUUUGGAAUCAAUCAAAUCCUAUACACUACUUUUGAAUAUUUUACAUUCCUCGACUGAAUGUCCUAGUGGACCGGCAUGGAAAUCACACCACACAUUCGCGUCAAAGCUUGAUGGAUACGGAAGAGGCACUGAACUCAAUUCCUUCAGCAUUAUCAGUCCAUAUUUGAUCAAAUAUGGAAAUAUGUAACUGUAUGGUUAUGGCAAAGGAUCAAACUGUCUUUUUGGCCUUUAAGUGUAUUGGUGCUGCUAUUGUGGAGCAUAAUGUCGUUGGUGUGGAUAUUGUUAUGACAUUUGUUGUCGAUGCUGCUUCAGAGCUUUAGCUAGUUGAUUUUAUGGUCUUGGGCACUGCCGCUGGAACUAAGGUCUGAGAAGUAGUGGAUGCUAACAUGGCAUGCUAGGUAUUCCUGAUUGCUCAUUUUUAGCCACUUGAAGAGUAAGGUCAACAAGCUUGUUGACAUUGUCAUGAUGGUCUUCGAGUUCUUUUCCUUCAACCUCAUCGCUGGAUACAUCCCUUUUUUACCCAUCUCUCACUUCUCCUUUGCUUCCCCUGGCGUGGUUUAUAACAUUGGAAGUUCGUGGCGGUAUCUCAAUGCUCUCACAAGGGAACAAUGAUAUCUCGUUAGCUAUAUCCUCGACCUCUUCCUUGUGGUACAAUACCUUAAGGGAUUCUAGACGUCCCUUGCCUUUCUCACUAUUUGGCUCAGAAAUUAAAACAUUUGCACCUAAGCCUUCUUUCUUGAGUGCUGGUGACUUUAUGUCAAUCAACUCUUAAAACUUUAGCUUAAAACUCUUGCAUUCCUUGAUGUAGCGCCCCAUUAUUCCGGUAUGAAAUUUACACUUGACCCUUGGAUAGUCUUCUUCGAAGACUAGGCUCUUAUUGUUGAUUAGAUCUCGUACCAGGGAUUUCAAUGCAAAACAAGUAUCUUGAUCGUGUCUCCUUGCCCCUUUAUGGAAUUCGCAUGCUACAUUUGGAUUGUACCAUGGCAGGUAAGGUGUGGGCGUAGGCGUGAGAUCCCGAGGAGUGACCAAAUAAUUAUGGAUUAGCUGCGGGUAGAGCUUAGUAUAAGGCACGAGAAUUAGGUCGUCGUGAUCUUUGUUCCCCUUGUUAUGAUUAUGAUCUGCUCCGACCCUAACUUCAGUGAUUUUGAGUAGGAAUAGCUAGAGGAUGCUGACAAGCCGAUUUGGCAGGCCAAAACUGAGGAGGACACCCAGAGGGAGGACCGUGUACUGAUAAAUAAGGAGUUUCCAUGUGAGGUUGCAUUGACAUGGGGUAGCACCAGAUGGAUAUAGAGCAUCAGCCCCAUUUGCUGCAGCAAUAGGUAUGGGGUGACCCUCUUACUCAACAAGGCUUGCAUGGUUUCCAAGACCCAUCAUAUUUGUCUUAUUAAAAGGUUUACCUCUUCUUUCAAUGUACAUUCACCUCUCCUUAGCUCAUCUAUCAUAUCCUGAGACAUGGUUCUUUGUUCUAAACGCAUGGCGGGAAUCACCUUGUUGGUCAUGGACAAAGGAUGUAUGAGUUUUCUUAAUGAUAUACAAUGCAUGCUGACAAAUGCAAAUGUGAUGAUAUAUGAAUGGAUGCAAUUAGAUGUCAUGUAUUUUUUCCCGACAUAUAGGUUCACAGGUCCAAGGUAUGGAUGAAUCUGAUUGCCUCCCACAAAAAAGGUUCUCACCAGGUAUGAACUAUGGUUUGCAAAUUUUUCCCAGAGUCAUAGAUCCAGGAGAAUGUUUGUUACUUACGACAACUACAUGCCAAGAGCCAACUCCUUCAAGGGAAUAUACUUUGAGCGAUGUCUUCGUUUCAAACCUUACGCGGACUACAUCUUGUGGACCCGCACUACACGACCAUCAUUCCUAAUUGGUGAAAUGGUUAAAGGUUCUACAAAUAUCCUUGGAGUCAUAGUUCCUAAUGAAAACAUUGAAGCUUGCGACAACUACAUGACGGGCGACAACAUUUUCAAAGGAUAUACUCUAAGUGAGGUUCUUGUGCCGACCCUUAAAACAACUACAUCUAGGGGACCUGCACUACUCAACCUUCUUCUAUCUCAUUUUUUCACUUUAGACUUGGGUAAAGAGUCUUUCCCACAAGGUUUCACAAUCAUAACAUCAAUCCAAUACCACGUCACAAUAGGGUCAUAUAACAUAUACAUGAUAUAUAAUACAAGGUAAUAAAAGACAGAAGAUAGAAGAAAUCCAUACAAAUAAAGCAAACACAAAAGCACAAACAAACCAAAUAAGGCAUGACUCACUUGAGGGUAAUUCCCCAACAGAGUCACCAUUUGGCAUACCUUAAAAAAAGAAUAGGACCUCGCGAAGCACAAUUGCACGCUCGCGGAAUGGACUAACAGAGCCUCCACGAAACAUUAUUUAUUCCCAAAGAGGGAAAAGGAAAAUAUCGAUAAAACCCAUAAAAUAAUGACUAAGAUAUUGGUCGUCAUAACCAACUCAAGAUUCGGGAGUCGAUUACGCAAGGGGAAGGUAUUAGCACCUCUCACGUCUAUUAUACUCAACAAGAACCAUUUGGUUAGUUGUAUGCGUUAGUGUUAACUUAGAAAUAUUAGGUUUCUCGAGUUAUUGAAAGGGAAAGGAAAUGACUAAAAGGUUUUUUUUUAUUAGGGUGUCUGACGAAACUUUGAAUCUCGCUCCUAUGCAUCUCCGGAUGCAAUGGAGAACUCAAGGUUUACAUAGCUCUGAAUAUAAAAUAUUUCUUUGUUGGUUGAUUUUAGUGAAAGCUAUUUUGUCUCAAUCGACGGAAAAACAUUGCUUGCUACCCAAAAUAAGAUAAGGAAAUGUUUGCAUCUGACCGAAUGGAUAGAAAUAUCAACAUUCAUGGGAAAAUGUCGUUAGCUUAUUCACACAUAUGAAUAGACGAAGUGUUGUCUUGCAUCGUCUCGAGACUAAAUACCUUUCAUUUGUGAAAAGUUUUGAAGGUUAUCGCACGACAGCGAGAGAAUAGUUUGAUGUGUUUGAAUUAUUUUUGGUGACGAGGAGAGUUCGGAUGGGCGAGAAAUACAUCUCAUUUCCAACUAUCGGGAGCUUGUUGACUACACCAUGUUCCUUUUUCAUCUUAUUUGUGAAAAUAGUCUAAUAGUUUUAGGUCUUUUUAGUUUAUUGAGAAAAUACACUUGAUGUUGAUCGAGGUUUGUUUCACAUUGUGAAAUUGCUUUAAGGAUAAUGAGUAUUUGGAUUGGCGAGAACUAUAUCUCAAAUUCUAACUCUCAUGAGCUCGUGGACUACACCCUAUUCCUUUUCAUCCUAUUUUAUUGAAAAAUGUCAAAUAAUUAUUAGGUAUUUUUUAUUUUUCAUAAAGGAAAAUGGUUUGACGUCGUAUCAAGCAUUUGAUUAUUGUUUGCUAAAAAGGUUUGAGGGUUUAAAAAUGAUUUGAAUGUGAAAAGUUGACGAAGAUGAUUAGUGGAAAUGGUUUGAAAAGAUUGAGGGUGAAAUGGAUUUGAAAUUAAAUGUAGGAAGUUUGGUGUUGACCAAGUGUUUUUGAAAAUGGAACUUGGUGUUGACAAAGAGUUUUAUUGCUUUGAAAGGGUGAUUUUAUUUUUUGUGACUGAUUACUUAUUUAGUUCAUAACUAAAAGCAACAGAAAUAAAAGUGAGAUGAUAAAUACAAAUUACAAACAAGGGAUGAGGGUAAAUUUUUCCAAAUGGGAUAUAAUGAAACGAUAAACAUACAACUCAUCAAACAAGUAAUAUAAACACAAGGAUCUCAUUAUAAGAAAGCCUAAGAGUAAGCCACGGGAUCGGAAACCAACCAAAAUCGAAGCACUGGAUUUAGUUCUAAGACUAACUUAAAAUGGACCCAUGUAGGAAUCACUUUAUAAGAAGUCGAGUAACCAAAUAUAUGCAUUCAAGCAUUUUUUGAAAGCUAAAUUGAAUUAUAGCUCCGAAACCGCAACAUAAGGAAAUCGAUGCAACAAUUAAAUAAAUAAUUUAUUUAACAAAUAAAAGCAAAUAAUUAAUUAACACCUAAUCAACUAAUGAAACAAAAAUUUAAUCAAUUAAAUAAAUACUAAUUUAAAUAAUUAAAUCAAAUAAAAAAAUGAAAAAAAAACUAAAUAAUAAUAAAAAAUUUAAAAAAAAUGAAAAGGGGUGCAAAAAGGAAAUGGUAGGGGUGCAAACAUCCAAAAUAAAUUGGGCCAAAUCCACAUACCAUUAAUCCCUAAAUAAUUUAAAAAGAAAAUUGAAAAAUUAAAAUUAAAAAAAAAAGAAAAAAAAAGAUGUUGUAAUGCUGGGGUUGGCUCCCCAUUUUCAACAUUCACUCACAUGUAUUUUUGAAUUUUUCAACAUUGCCAAUCAUAUAGUGACACGUGGCAUUGUUAUUCAAUAAUUAAAAGAACAUAAAAAUACAAUCAUCUCCCUCUCUUUCAUCACAUGAAAACAUCAAAUCAUCUUCUUUCUUUUUCAAAUAAAAAUAAAUAAAUAAAUAACUUCAAAUGUAAACAAAGCAAAAAGAUGCAAAAAGAAAAAAAAAAGAGAAAGAAGAGAAAGGAAAUGGACCGAGAGAUUGGAGGAGGCUUUGUCGUUGUUGAUGGAUGUGGCCGGAGCUUGCACUUUUGUUGCAGCUUAUUCUGAUUAUGCAAUGGAGGAGGGAUGUGUGAUCGGAAUCGUUGCUCACGGUAGUGGUGGUUUUGUGUUGCAGCGUGAGGUGUGAAGGAUGAAGGAACAAAACAACUCCUUUGCAAAUUCACGUAUCAUGAAGAGGAAUCUCUUUUAUUUUAUUUUUUUAUACUACUAUUUUGUUUUGAUGGAAGAAGUUGGUUGUCCUCUGGUCAUUCGUCAAACUCAUGAAGUCCAAUAUGGGCAUAACAGUUAUCCAAAAACAAACAACCUCAAUAAAACUAUCAUAUACUAAGAAUUGAGCCUUGAUUUUCAAAAUAUUCCCAAAGAGAAAAUUUGCUAGAUGUUUAAUAUGAUUCAACAAUAAGUGACAAAAGGAAAUGAGAAAAAAAUAGCACUCAUCUCUAUUUUGUUUCGCCUUCUCACAAGCUCACAUGGAUCUAAGAGACACAUAGUGAUAUUGGUUAUAUGACCAUCAAUAUGAACAACAUAACGAACAUAGAAGUUUGGAUCAUGACCAUAAUAUUAUUGUGAAGAGUUGCAACAUCACUCUUUUCCAACUCAUGUACAUAUGGAGGAAUAGUUCUUUGCAAGCUUCUAAUUAAGGCAAAGUUUACCCAUAGCCAACCACCCUUGAAUAUAUAAAGAAUGAGUUUCUUGUUGUAUAUUGUAGUGGUUAUCAUGUUAUGGUGUUUAGCUCUCUGAAUGUGGUUUUAUUGUGUGAGCGUGGCGAAGGAAAGUAAUAGACAUAAUGAAGGUUCAAGGAAGAGGUUUAAUGUUGUUUGGUCAGAGUAUAUGAGUUGUUAUACUGACGGUUUUAAAGUGGAUGGGCUAAAGGGAAUUCACGGUGGAAGUUUAACAUAUGAGUUUUUUUAGAAAGUUGAAGGAGUGAUUGUGUUGUUUGUGGUGACAACUUGGUGGUAAAGUGUGGUGUAUGGUUGUUGUGUAUCCACUCUUUCUAUGGUGGUGAGAAUCCAACCUCAAAAUCUUAGCAUAUCCUUAAGAUUUAGAAACAAGAACAACAACACUAGUUUUCAAAACAUGAUUAUUGCUAGUGAUUUGUUAUAGACAUGAGAGUGUUGGGAUUGUAGUGAGUUGAUGAGAGGAAGUGUGGUGGGUUAUAAAUGGAAGGUUGUUCACAUUGAGGUUUUAUAUGUUGAUAAAAAUGUAAAACAUUGAAGGUUGUAUGUUGGAGAAGAAAUUGUAUUAUGCUUUAUUAAGAAGAUGAUGUGUGUGGAAGUGGUUUAUGUAGGUGUUAUAUUGAAUGGUGUAGUAACAUUGUUGUGUUUCAGGGAGGAGUAAGUGGUUUGUGUUUGAGUGAAAGGAGUUUUUGAUAAAAAGUUGUAGGCGGGUUCUUCACGUGAACAGUGGAGUGAAGGAAGUAGUUUGAAAUGACAGGUUUUUGUUAUAGAGUGAAGAAUGUGAGAGCACUAUGGAAAAUGGUUAUGUUUAAGGGAGUAUGGAGUUUGAUGGUAGAAGAAGGUUGGUGUCAAAGAAGUAGCAGGGAAGGGAUGGUUAUGCGUAUGAUUUUUUCUAUAAAAAAUUUACCACAAAAGUGAUAGAGAGAUCUUGGACAAGUGGCGCGGCGCGCUAGUAGUUUUUUUGUAUUCGUCUCCUCAUUACACAAUAUUAGUAUAUGUAUGUGUUAUUUAGGGUUUUAAUAAUAUUUGAAAAUCCACAAAUGCUCUUAAGGAGCUUAUUAGUGCAAAAACUAGUUAAAAACAAGUUGAAUCAAAUACAAUUUCAUUGAUAUAAAUAAUCAAAGUUAAUUCAAAAUAAAAACAUAGAAAAUUCUAUUUAUUUAUCUCGAAUACUUUGACAAAAAAAAUAAAAAAUAAAAGGACUCAAAAUGAAUAAAAAUCAGGCGGGAAAGUGCCCGGAAAAAUAAAUUGAAUGCAACAAAAUGAUCAGUGCGAAAUAAACUUCUGGAAAACAGACAAGUUUUGCUCAAAUUUUGAAGUAAAAAAUGAUUGGUUAAAAGGCUCAAGCUUAUUAAAAUGCGACCAAAAAAAGUGUCAAAAAAUAAAACGAGACACCAGGUUAAACUACGCAAACUAUAGUUUAAUAAAAAUGACGUAUGCAUGCUCGAUUUGGAAAUUGUUCGCCCGCUAAUUUCACGUACAUCUGAAAAUCAGCUCAACCGAUCUGUUUGUAGAUCCGAAAAUUUAUUUUGGUUGACAUUUUAGGAAUUAUGCAAGAUGAAAUGGAUGUUAUGCUAUGUAAAUGACGUAGAUGUCAUGAUGCAUGUAUUGAUUUAUGUAAUGAGGGGGCAAAAUUGGUGUAUGACAACGUGUAAGACACAUUUUUGGCUAUUUAAAUAGAAAAAUAUGCUACUUUUGGAAGGGUUAUGGUUUUUAUACGAGCAAGUGACAACAAAGGUUUAUCAAGCAUGAUUUUGAAUAGCUUUGGAGCCAUUGGAGACAUAUUUCUCCAUUAAUUUUCAUAUACUUUUCAUAUUAACUCAUCGUAUUUCAUUGUUUAAUUACGUGUAGUUAGAUUUCUCUUGAUUAGGUCUUAAGAGAUAAAUUUGAUUUUACUCUGUUGGAUCAUAAGAUUAUUUGAUGUCAUUUAGGGAUGGCAAUUGGACUCAAACCCAUUGGGCACCCGCAAAAAUUACCCGCAAUGGGUAGGGUAAAUACCUGCUUUAUUGGGUAUGGGCACAGGCUCGGGCAAUUACCCGCAAAUUUAAAUGGAUAUGGGUGCGGGCACUCUAGUACCCAGCCCGCCCCAACCCUCAAGUAUAUAUAUUUAUAAUUUUAUUUAAUAUUAUAGUUAGAAUUGGUAUAUUAAGAUCUAAACUAUUGUUAUAAAUAUUAAAACUUAAACCUACAAAUUUCUUAAGACAAAUUGCUGUCAUAUUUCCAAUUUAUGUUUGAAGUAUAAUCUAACACAAGUAACAAACUUUUUAUUUGAGUAUUUCUUUUUUUUACAUGAUAUAUAUCUUUAUUGUUGACGUUCCUUUGAUUUGCUUAUGAAAAUAUAGAAUGUCUAUCUUUUACAAUAUGAUUCUAUAUCCUAUACAUGAUAUAUAUCUUUUACUGUUGUAGUUCCUUUUUUACAUGUGUAUAUGAUGUAUGAUACAAUCUUAAAUUUACAGUAUGAUUGCCUUUUCAUCUCUCUCUCUCUCUCUAUAUAUAUAUAUCUAUCUAUCUAUCUAUCUAUCUAUCUAUCUAUCUAUAUAUAUAUAUAUAUAUAUAUAUAUAUAUAUAUAAUAUAUAUAUAAUGCCUAAUUCACAUUUGCAAAAUCUUAAUUUGUGGAUUCAUAUAGAAUAUCAUAAAAUUAAAAUUGUUUAUAUGGUCGGUAUAAUAGUCAUACAUGUUAGUGCCAUAAACUAAAUAAUUUUUUAGUCUGAUUUUAAUUGUGUCAGUGUCAGGAACAUGUAAAUAUAGCAGAAGUAAUUAGAAACCAUUAACAUUUGACUAUUCUGUCAACAAAAAUAUCAUUUGUUGACUAAAAGUAUUAAUUUUGACCCAUAUAUAUAUAUAUAUAUAUAUAUAUAUAUCAUAUUUCACUUUAAUUUUUGGAAUUCUUUAUUUUUAUUUUUAUUUUAAUAUAUAUUAAUAUUAAACUUGUUACUUUCUUCCAAAAAGUGAUUUAAAUUGUGUAGCAAGAAUUUGCUUAUUUAAAAAGUUCUUUUUUAAAAUUUGAUAUAGGUAAAUUAUUAUUUUUGUUUUGGUCUUUAUAAGUAUAUUUUGGUUUAUAUGUGAGCCAAAACAUAAUAUCAAUUAUUAAUAAUUAUUUAUUUUUAGAUGGAAAAUUCUUUCGGUAUCAUCCAAUCAAGAGAAUUGGAAAUUAGCUCUUCUCCCAUACAACCUGAAAACACUCCUAUGAAUAGCAUGAGCAAUUCUGAGAAUGAUCUAUCUCAACCCAUAUCUGAUAGUGUUCCUCCUAUUACUGGUGAUGUUGAUGCUUAUGAAAUGACCAAAGAUGGCAAAAGAAAACUGGCGUCAUUUGUUUGGAAUCACUUCAAAAGAAAAAUAAUUAAUGGAGAGGAAAAAGUUGUGUGUAAUUAUUGCAAAAAAGCUGACGAGUAUAAGAAAUGAUGGAACUAAACAUUUGAGUAGACAUUUUGAAGCUUGUAAAAGAAGGCCAUAUAAAGAUAUAAGACAAUCAAUCUUGGUGAGAGAACAUAAAAAGGUAGAUGGGUCAUCUAGUUAUCUGAGUAACUAUCAUUUUAAUCCUGCGAAAUCAAGAAAUGACCUUGCUUCUAUGAUAAUAAUUCAUGAAUAUCCACUUUCAAUAGUUGAUCAUUUGGGUUUUAGAGAAUAUUCAGAAGGUCUUCAACUUUUGUUCAAAGUUCCUAAUCGAAACACAAUUAAAAGUGAUAUUAUCAAAAUAUAUGAAAAUGAAAAGUUGAAAACUAUGAGACUUUUAGACAAGAUUGAGAGUAAAAUUGCUUUAACGUUAGAUAUGUGGACUGCUAGCAACCAAAAGAAAAGGUAUAUGACGAUUACAACUCACUACAUUGACGAUGAUUGGGAUAUGCAAAGUUGUAUUUUAAGGUAUGAUAUUUAUAAGAUUUUUGUUAACUUUAUCUUACACGUAGAAUCUCAAAGUGUAUUAAUAUCUAAUAAAUUAUAUUGUAUAAUAGGUUUGUGUAUAUAGAAUAUCCACAUACAGCUGAAAUUAUCUCAAACAAGUUGUUUGAAUGUGUAAUGGCUUGGAAUAUUGAUAGAAAGUUGUCAACCAUCACUUUGGAUAAUUGUAACACUAAUGAUUGCGUUGUUGGUAUGUUGCUAAACAAGCUUGAUAUCUAUACUCUUAUGCUUGAAGGUCAGUUAUUUCAUAUGAGAUGUUGUGCUCAUAUUUUAAAUUUAAUUGCUCAAGAUGGUUUGAGUGUUAUUAGAGAUGGCAUAAAGAAGGUUAGAAAUAGUGUGGCUUUUUGGACAACCACACCUAAGAGAGAAUAAACUUUUAGAGAGGCAACACGCCAAAUAAAAGUUUCAGUCACAAAGAAAUUAAUUCUUGCUUGUAAAACUAGGUGGAAUUCUACUUAUCACAUGCUUGUUAUUGCAUUGGCUUAUAAAGAUGUUUUUAUUCGUUUAAAAAUAAAAGAGAAUUCGUAUAUAUCUUUGCCUACAACAAGCGAGUGGGAAACUGCAAAAGAAAUUUGUAAUAGAUUAGAAGUCUUUAAUCGUGUAACUGAGAUGUUUUCAGGUACACAAUAUCCCACAACAAACAUAUUUUUUCUUUUAGUUUGUGAAAUAAGACUAUCUUUUAAGAAGUGGAAGACUUGCUCUAUUGAGGCAAUUAGAAAUAUGUCUUCAAAAAUGAUAGGUAAUUUUAACAAAUAUUGGUUGGUUAUUCAUGGAAUUAUGGGCAUUGCAAUUGUUUUGGAUCCAAGAUAUAAAAUGAAGUUAUUAGAGUAAUUCUUUCCUUUACUUUAUGGAAGUACAUCUUCAACUGAAAUUAACAACAUCAAACAAUUAUGCUUCUCAUUGUUUGAAGAAUAUCAAGCCAAAAUCAACAUGAUGGUUGAAACUUCAACAUAAAAGUCAAAUUAUAUUGAUUCAUAUUUAGAUAAUGUUUCUAAUAACAAUUAUCUUAGUGGUUAUGACUCAUUUGUCAAUGAUACUAGUGAUAUACAAUUAAAAUCUGAACUAGAUAUUUACUUGGAAGAGAAGGUAUUACCUAGGAGUGUUACAUUUGAUAUACUUGGAUGAUGGAAAAUAAAUGAGAUUAAGUAUCCGACUUUGCAAAAAAUUGCUAAGGCCAUUUUAGCCAUCCCAAUUUCAACGGUUGCUUCAGAAUUUGCUUUUAGCACAGGUGGCAGGUUAUUGUGUCCUCACCGUUCUAAGCUUCAUGAAGAUACUUUGGAGGCACUUAUGUGUGCACAAAGUUGGAUGAAAAAUGAAAAGAAAGGUAAAAUUUUUACAUUUAUAUAUUUCUUCAAUGAAACUUUUGUUUAGUCUUUUUUUUUUUUUUUCAGCUUCUAUUGGUAUGAUUGGACCAAACCAAUAUUUGCAUGUGAAAGAUAAGCGAUUGUAUUCUUUUCAAGAUUCUGAUUAUGAAGAAGAGGUAAAAAAAAUUUAAAAAAAUAUUAUUAUGACUAUACUUUUUAAAUAUUAAUUAUAACUUUUUAAUAUAAAGUAUUUUUUUUUAGGAUAUGGAGAAUGCAAGUUCAGGAGUCACAAAUUAAUGACUAUAUUCUAUAUUUUAUUACAUAAUUCUAUUACAUUUCAUAUUUUUGCAAUAUAUACUUUUAUUUACAUUUUUGUCACGAGUUUUAUUUUUCUAAAUACUAUGAAGUACAAUAUUUUAUGAGUUAAUUUGAAGGAUUUUGAAUCAUAUUUAAAUUUAGUUGUCAUGUUGUUAUUUAUUUAUUUAUUGUUUUUUUUUGUUAAACUGCGGGUAAUGCGUACGGGUACGGGCACUGAGAUGCCCAAAGGGCAUGAGGAUGGACUUUAAAAUUAUUGCCCAUGAGGGUAUGGGCUCGGGUACGGGCGCUUUUUUAAAAUAUGGGUAUGGGGACGGACACUAUAGUACCCUGCCCAAAGGGUACCCAUUGUCAUCCCUAAUGUCAUUUGAAUGCUUUGAUUAGAUAAUUGUUAUUUAGUUGCUUUUAUUAUUAAUGCUCUUUGUGUGUUUACGGACGCGCAGAAAGAAAUUAGAUGAGUAGAGAUUAUUGACCAUAAAUCUAUCGAUCAGAUAUAGAGAAAUUGUUCAACUUAAUAAUUAACUAGGAAUAUGUAAUUAUAAGUUGUGGCUAGAGAAUUAACGCACAUUGAUUACCUAGUUUUACUUCAAAAUUAUAAGGAAUUAGAGAGUUGUUGUCUAAAUUAGUGAGUUGUACACCAAAGAAUUGGGUAAAUUGGUAUUGUUAAUUUACCAAAAAAUUAUGAGUCAAUUCAAUUCAAAUAACGCACAGUCAUAAACAUGAAAAAAUUAAGAUAUUCAAAUAAGAUCUAGUCGUUUUCUUAUUAUUUGAACUUUUAUUGAAUUUUAUUCGCGUAGUUAUUUUCCGCAAAACAAACAAUAUGAAAACCCCUCGUAGUUACUUUAAAUUUCCCAAUUAUAACCUUGUUAAAAUAUCGCAAUCCUUGUGAAGACGAAUUUAUUUUUAUUACUUCGACUGUAUUAGUACAGCUGAUAAGAAAGUCAUCAGAUUGGUUGACUUAAAAUUAAUCGAUUAGCAAGGUUAAAAAGGAAGGAAAAGAUAUACACUUGUUAACAUUUAUUAAGAUACUAUCCUAAUUGAUUAAGACGCAUUUUUCCACCAAUCCAACUGAUUGGAUACAAGUGUUAAUCAAUUGGCUAGUACAAAAAAUUACCCAAAACUUUUAUGAUAACUCCUAAUUAUCUAUAACUUUAUGAGAAAUCUCUUAAGCUUUUAAAAUAAGUAUGUAAAUUGUGAUUUUUUUUCAAAAUAAUUUGCUAACUCAGUUGGCUUAGUACCACACCUAUGCCUUUAGUGUCCUUGGGUUUGAAAUCCCGAAGGACCAUGUUUAUUUUUAUUUUAAAAAUCCAACAUGGCGUUCCACGUCCUAUAAUAUUUGAUUUUCUCAACUUACAGUGACAACUCAUGACAUUUUAAGCAAUUCAAUCACAACAACGACUUCUUAAUCUUUAUUUAGCAUCGAAGAUCGUAUCUUGCAUACGUAUAAAAAUUGUAUAAUCGUUAAACCCAUGUAAGCUUUCAUUUGUACUUGUAGUUGGUUGUAUGAUUUUAAAGAAGCUUGACCUUCUAGCAAGUUGUAAACUGUAUAUAAGAAUUAUUUAGUUUUUUUUUUCAAUUUACAUUUUCUUUUUAGUUAUUGAAUUCUCAUUUAUUAUGAAUUACAUAUAUACGAGAAGUAAAUAAAUUUGUCUUUAAAAUUAAGUGUUGAUGAAGAGACUGAGUCAAUAAAAUUUCAUAUUUUAUAAUUUAUUUUGAUCUAUUUUAAAUUCAUGGGAUUAUAAAAAUUUAAAUUUUAUUUAAGUAUGUAUUACCACUAAACAAUAACAAAAUAGAAAGAAAGAAAACCUUAAAUUUGUAUAAGCAUUAAACUUAUGCUUUUAGAACUCUAAAAUUAAUUAACACUUGUGAAAUGACUCAAUAUUAUGGUCAAUAUUAGAUCCAUGUCCUUCUUCAUCACUCAUAUUUUUUGAGAAGAUAACUAAUGUGCAGAUAAACUAACUUCUAGGACUCUUUUUAACCCACUCCCCUUGAUUAGAGCAGUAUAUCCUUCUUUCUUGUAUAUCUUAUUUAUCAUAAUAAACUAGAUAUGUCUAAUUAUAAAUUUGUUAAUUAUUGAGAGGGUUUUGGUUGAGUUCCCCUCUUUUUCUUUUUUCUUUUGGAAUAUAUGAGUGACUUUAUAAAAAAAUUAACACUAGUGAAAAAAUCUCUCUCUCUCUAUAUAUAAUAAUUUAAGUUUGUAAUUGAUUAUAAAACUUGUGUUUAAAGAACUAUUUCACACUUAAUAAGUUAAAUCUACUUUGGACAACAAUUUAAUAUUCAUAUAUUAUUGAUUUCAUAUUGUUUUUUAGGCAAUUACAAUUCUAAAAUAAUUUAGUUGACAUACAUCAUAACCGUUAUUUUUAUUUAGCAUUAUUAGUCACAAAGUCCCUUAACUUAAUUUAAUAUUUUAAUUUAGUCCGUCUCUUAACUAAAACAUGUAACACAGUAGUCCCUUAAAAACCAUUUCAUUAGUCAAAUUGAUCAUUGCUGUUAAAUUUUAUGAAAAAACAUUAACUUCGUCUACGUGGCAAUGAUCAUAAGACAUUUGUUAAUAAGUUGAGUCAACAUAUUUUUUAAAAACUGGUAUUUUAUUUAAACUGCAGAGGUUUUAUUGUGGAGGUUAAAGACCCCUGCAAAUCGUUAAUAACGUGUAAAAAAAUACAACUCUUCAUAACCAGUUCUCAUGCAGAAUCAAACAUACACUCAACAUCAAAAGUAUAAAUAAUCUCAUCAAUAUGGCAACAACACAACUAUAUAGCUUGGGUAUCCUAACAAUUCCAAAACCAUUAUAGUAGUAUCUCUUCAACAAAAAUAAUACAAUAAAAUCUCAUUGCAUAACCAAAUUGACAUGUCUUUUUGCCUGAAACACAUAAAAAAUCACAUUUAAGUUUUUUCACUUUAUCUGCUUUUUGAUCCGGUUUCACCUCAGCAAUAACAUCUUCAAUCCCAACUUCACGGACAAUAUAAUUAGCAGUUCCUAGUUGUCCCCAGUCACCAUGAUGCUCUUAGUUUUCAUAGACUUGAGAAUGUAAAUAACUUCUUCAGCACCUGAUUUCAAUGGAUCAAAGACUUCUAAAACCCCAUAUACUUCUCCAUUUAUAGAUACUGCAUUUUCUGUUUGAGUCAAAAUUUCAACUUCAGCAAGUAGAUCUUCAGCAACAACGGAAAUUGCAAUAUUGUGGUAAGUGAAUAAACUCUUAUUACCCAUCAUUAGUUCCUUGUUACAAACAAUGACCUUUACUUCAUGUCCAACAAUGGAAACAAAAUCAUGUGCUUCUGCUCAAGAAGGAUUCUCCUAAUCUUUAAAUUUGUUGGCAUACUCAACAACAACCUUAGUAAGAGGAUGGUCAUUGUUAGCCCGAGAUAGAAAGAUUACAUAAUUAAUGAUCGAUUGGAAUCAUUUAUGACAUCCAUAUAAACAUAUAAUUCAUGAAUGUAAAAUAACUUGAGACAUUAUUAACCUAGUAAUAAUCAUAAGAACAAAAACAAAUUAUUAACUUCAAGUCAACUGGUCGACAUGUGCUUAACUCACCCUAGCCACAAGUUCAUAGAAACAAGGAAGAUUACCUACGGCAACACAAUCAUAAACAUAUUUAAAUGUAAAUUCAAAUCCACAUAAGAGUAAAAUCAUAAUUGCCAAUUUAUUAAAAAUAAUUAUUUUAUCUUUAUCAUCAUAUUAUACAUCAAACAAAAAUGAAGGAUACCAACAAAAUUUUAAAUGAGAUAAAAUUUUAGGAUAAAAAAUUAAUUUUUAAAAUCGAGAAACUAAAAAAUUUAAAUUUAUAAAACUGGAGAUAAAAAAUGCAUUUAAAUAAAAAAUAUAAAAUGAUAAUUUACUCCUUAAAAAUAUUAGUGAAAAAAAAAUAGAUAAAAAAAGGGGACAAAACAAGUAGAAGCUAACAUCGGCAAGAAGGAAAGUGCAUCAGACAAUGGCCACGGCGGCGGAAUCAUCGGAACCGGAGACACCCCAUUCCCCUGUUAACCAUUCCACAAUCACAAGCACCCAACCCCAAACCCUAGACGUAAAACCGUUUAUCGACUACGCUGUUGCCCAAGCCCUUUUCUACCAAAAGACCUUCAACGACGCCGUCGAAUCUGCAAUCGACGCUUCAACAUCUCGUUUUUCUCAAAUCCGUUCAACCUCUUCAGCUCAUUUUCAACAAACAUUGGUAAAUCCUCCGUUUUUUCUUUCUUUUUGUCACCAGAUAAUUAGUUUUUGUUUUUAGGUUUAACAAAAAUGAAAAUCACUGGUAAAUUGGAAAUUUGAUUCACCAUGAUCUUAUUCAACAAUAUCACGCUUUAUUUUGCUUUUUUCUUCAGUAUUAUUUGGAUGAUUUCAAGUCUCAGUAUAAUGCUUAUGAGGAUAUUUUGAUUGGAAAAAUCAAAGGUUUGCAUUUUGUGAAUUUUUUACUUGAAAUUUUUGGUUCUUCAUUUGUCAAUUUAUCAAGUUAGUAGUGUUUAUGAUUUUUAUUUAAUCUUCUAUUGCAGAGGGUGUACAUGUUGCAGCUUCACAUCCAGUAAUUACUUGUGGAGCCACUGCUGCAAUGGGGCUUCUUGUCCUCAAAAGUAAGAUUUGGUUUGUGUUUAGUACUGAGUAUUGCAUACUCACGGUUAUAAAAUGUAGGAUUGAAUAUGUUUUUAGUCCCUACAAAUCACGAGCUUUGAAGUUUAGUUCUUCAAAAAUACUGGUCACUUUUAAUCACCGAAGCACGAACACCGGAAACAUGACACUGACACUUCAACACCGGUAAUAAUUUGAAAAAAUGAAUAAAUUGAACGUAAUGAUCACAAGUGUUGGCACUGACACAUACACACCUUUUAACUCCUAUGUCAUUUUAUAGGGACUAUUUUGAGGACUAAAAGUAUCCAUUUUUUGGUAAAUUUUUUUCAAAAUAGCGACUAUUCUUGCAAACAACAAUAUUAUGGAGGUUUAAACUUUCAAUUAGAAUUAAGUAGGGGCUUUGAAAGCUCAUGAUUUUGUAAGGACUAAAAACAAAUUUAACCCUAAAAAUAUAUUUGUAUUUUGUUACUGAAUCUCGUUUCUGUUGUAUCAUUAUUAUAGUUAGAGAACUCUUGUAGAUCAUUGUAUAUAUUAUCCUUUGAAUGCAAUAAAUUGGUGAUAGCAUGUAUCAUAUUAUACUGCUACUUUGUCGCCGAGACAAUGUUAUUGACUCUAUUCUAUAUCUUCCAUAAGCGAUUCAAUAAUGAUUAUUAUUUUUUUAAAUUUUGGUUUUGCUGCAGGGCCUCGUCGGAUCUUGUACUACAACACUAAGCGUCUCUUUGUUAGUGAGGAGGUGAGUGAUGACUGGAUUUCUCUAUCUUUUUAACAGGGUCAAAGGUGCAGCAUUUUCAGUUAACUUGAUUAUGAACUAUAUGUAUCCAAAUCUGUAUGUCUUGUUUUAUUGUGUACUGGGAACUGUCUUGGAUUAAUACUGGGGAGUAGAACUAUUAAAUAUGCUGUGUUGUGCUUGUAAUAUGGAAACAAGCAAAAAAAUGUCAUGCAAUCUUCAAAAGAUUAAAAAGACAACAAAAGAAAAGAGGUUAAGGAACAUAAUUAUUAAUUUCUUUCUAUAUUUUUUCUUUUAUAGAUUUCUGAAUUUGUUAAUUAGAGAAUAUGCAUGUUUUCUCAUUUGUUAAUUUAAGAACAUGAUUUCUGUAUGGAGAAAUUGUGGAGACCUUACCUUAGAACAUUGAUCUGCAAAUGUUCAGCCUCAGAUGAUUUGAAAUGAACAUGGUUAAAUUUUUUUUUUUAGUUUUGAGUUGUAACUUGUAAUGCAUGUGAGUGUUAUUGAACUAUCUUCUCUUCGUUUAUUAUCGUGGAAACUGCUUGCAUUUUGCUCAACAGAAAUACAAUGGUACAUGCUUUGUUAACUGUGUUAAUGUCUAGACCAGCUUGCCACAAUCCUGGCAAAGCAACUGCAGCACGCCAGUACCCUUUAACUCGAUGCAAACUACUCAGCCCCUUAACAUCAAUGGGAAAUUGCCAGAUCUAGCUUUACCUGUUUUGCUUGAUUUAUUCUCUGAAUAUCUUUCAUUAGAUUAUAGUAGAAGUGCACGUGGAGCUGUGGAGGUGCAUAAUAACUGUAUUAUUGCUUUGACAUUGUAUUUUGAUGCAGUCUUUGGUUUCUAAAGCCAAUGCUGAAGUUAAAGAGUUGCGGCAGUCAAUUGAUCUUCUAAAAGCCGAAGUUGAAAGGAUGGAGGUAAAAUACAUUUCAUCUUUUAUUUUAGUAGUUUUAUAUAUUGUCAUACUUCUGUUAUUUCGCGCAUUGAGAAUUUCUGAUAUCCGUAUUAGAACUAACAGAGUAAAAUGAGCAAGUAUGAUGUUAUGAUAAGUAAUAAUGAUCAAAUUUUUCCUGACCAGUGCUAAAUUACAGUCAAAUAGCUAAUUUUAAUUUGUCUGUUCAGAUUGGCUGUUAGGGACAAUUGUAAUUCACAUGUUGACAAAUAACCAGUAGAAUCUACUAUAAUGACUAUCAGAGUUAGUUCAAUAACAAAACCUAUAUAAUAUCUUAUCAUGUAUUGAUAUAAAUGAUGAUGAAAGCUCAGAAUUAGGAAUUCAAAAAUAUAUGUCAUCCUAAUCAAUGCCCUUCUUUUCUAGUCCAUUCAUAAAUCCAGAAACCUCACACUUCCUCUACGCUCCAGUCACAUUUAUAUAGAACCCCUAAAAAAACUAAAGCGUGUGAAAGGAAGGAAAAAAAGUGGUCAUGCACAAGAUCAAAACAUAGAGAGAGAGUGUGUGUGUCAAAAGCCCGGAGUCUUUGGAGGGAGAAUAACUAGCUACUGAGCUGGCCGGUGAGUGGUGGAAGGUGAGAGCUUGGUACCAACGCUUUAACAGAUAGUGUGAGUAGUGGGAGAGUGAGAGCUUGGUACUUACUUAGGUUUGAUUUGAUGUAUACAUUGAUGUUACAGGAGGGCUGCCAAAAGCUUUUGGGUUUUGAUAAUAUUAUGAUGGGGGUGCAUAGACUAGCAAAAUAUGCUUAGUUUAUAGUUGUGGCUCACCCUUUCACAAGGAAAUACAUGGUUGUGAUAACCAAUAGGGAAAUAGUAAGACUGUGGAUUCCCAACUUCUACAGUAUCAGACAGGGAUGGGGUAUUCCUUAGCUACUUAUAGAUUUUGUGCGUGGAAGCUUUGAGUGAUCUUGAUCAAACUUUUGUUAGGUUAUCUUCUCCUUAAAAGGAAUAACACAACCAAACAAUCCUAUUUAUAUAAAAGCUCUUUAAAAAUAUAGAAGUUUAUUUGUUUAUUUUUGUAAAUUUGGCAUGUAAAAGCUUACUGCUGGACAAAGAAUCUCAACUAUGCCCCCCAGAUCCUACAAAUUAUUUGCAGCAUAUUAAAAUUCGUAAAAAUAUAAAAAAAGAGCUAUAGAAAAAGUACAUGGGAGGAGCUUUCAGGUUGCAAUUUUCAGGGUUUAUGCAGAAAUGCCUCCAACUUUGAAUCCUACCCACCUAAAUUCCAUCCUUUAAUAUCAAUUUUUAGACCAUCUCACUCUCAUCAAGGGUUGUACCUCUUUAUUCACCAAGUAUUUUGAAAUGUUUCAUUAACUUAUGAUAAUUAUACGGCUCACUUGCAAUUUUGGUCAUACUAUUUUAUCCAAUAUGCGAUUUUGUUCCCCUUUUCUUGUUUCUCAAUUUUUGCGUGUGAUUGGAAUGCCUGGUUGGAAUAUAUAUAUAUAUAUAUAUAUAUANNNNNNNNNNNNNNNNNNNNNNNNNNNNNNNNNNNNNNNNNNNNNNNNNNNNNNNNNNNNNNNNNNNNNNNNNNNNNNNNNNNNNNNNNNNNNNNNNNNNAACAUGCUACGCACCAUGUUCAUAAUCGUCCGAUUUUUUCUCUCGGCAACACCAUUUUGCUGAGGCGUAUAGGGUGGUACAACCUCACGCACAAUACCCUCAUCGUCACAAUAACUCCCAAAUUCCCUCGAAGUAAAUUCUCCUCCUCCAUCGGUUUUGAGAAUUUUGAGUUUGUGACUACUUUGUCGCUCAACCAUGGAUUUAAAUCGUUUGAACAUAUCAAACACAUCAUCCUUCCUCUUGAUUAGAUAAAUCCACAGCUUCCUACUGAAAUCAUCAAUAAACGUGACAAAGUAUCGGUUACCUCCAUACGAAUUGACUUGCAUCGACCCACACACGUCCGAAUACACCACCUCAAGAAGAUGCUUGGUCCUAUGACCUGUAUCCUUGCUGAAAACACUCUUGUGUUGCUUCCCUUGAACACAUUCAAUACACAACUCAGCUGGAACCACAAUUCUUGGCAGCCCGGUCACCAUACCAUGUCUAUGCAACGCGUCGAGGUCUCGAAAAUUGAGAUGACCAAGACGGUAAUGCCACAACCACUCACGACUUGCCGCUAUAGCUAAACAUCGAUGCUCCAUUACUUUGAAUGCUAUCUUGAAAGUUCGAUUGGCAGCCAUCGGUGCUUUAAGUACCAAAACUCCCUUUCGGUCUAAAACGCGCAAUACCUUGUUUUCCAUGCGAAUAAUGUAAUCUUUCUCGAGUAGUUGGCCAAUGCUCAAAAGAUUACAUUUGAUUCCUGGAAUGUACAGCACAUCCUUGAUCAAUGAACGACCACCAUCUUUCUUCACGAUCAAGACAUCUCCAACGCCAUCGGCGGAUAACGUCGUAUCAUCGACAAAUCUCACUUUAUUCUUCGUGGCUUGAUUGAUCUUGACAAACCAAUCCUUUCUUCCCGUCAUAUGAGUCNNNNNNNNNNNNNNNNNNNNNNNNNNNNNNNNNNNNNNNNNNNNNNNNNNNNNNNNNNNNNNNNNNNNNNNNNNNNNNNNNNNNNNNNNNNNNNNNNNNNNNNNNNNNNNNNNNNNNNNNNNNNNNNNNNNNNNNNNNNNNNNNNNNNNNNNNNNNNNNNNNNNNNNNNNNNNNNNNNNNNNNNNNNNNNNNNNNNNNNNNNNNNNNNNNNNNNNNNNNNNNNNNNNNNNNNNNNNNNNNNNNNNNNNNNNNNNNNNNNNNNNNNNNNNNNNNNNNNNNNNNNNNNNNNNNNNNNNNNNNNNNNNNNNNNNNNNNNNNNNNNNNNNNNNNNNNNNNNNNNNNNNNNNNNNNNNNNNNNNNNNNNNNNNNNNNNNNNNNNNNNNNNNNNNNNNNNNNNNNNNNNNNNNNNNNNNNNNNNNNNNNNNNNNNNNNNNNNNNNNNNNNNNNNNNNNNNNNNNNNNNNNNNNNNNNNNNNNNNNNNNNNNNNNNNNNNNNNNNNNNNNNNNNNNNNNNNNNNNNNNNNNNNNNNNNNNNNNNNNNNNNNNNNNNNNNNNNNNNNNNNNNNNNNNNNNNNNNNNNNNNNNNNNNNNNNNNNNNNNNNNNNNNNNNNNNNNNNNNNNNNNNNNNNNNNNNNNNNNNNNNNNNNNNNNNNNNNNNNNNNNNNNNNNNNNNNNNNNNNNNNNNNNNNNNNNNNNNNNNNNNNNNNNNNNNNNNNNNNNNNNNNNNNNNNNNNNNNNNNNNNNNNNNNNNNNNNNNNNNNNNNNNNNNNNNNNNNNNNNNNNNNNNNNNNNNNNNNNNNNNNNNNNNNNNNNNNNNNNNNNNNNNNNNNNNNNNNNNNNNNNNNNNNNNNNNNNNNNNNNNNNNNNNNNNNNNNNNNNNNNNNNNNNNNNNNNNNNNNNNNNNNNNNNNNNNNNNNNNNNNNNNNNNNNNNNNNNNNNNNNNNNNNNNNNNNNNNNNNNNNNNNNNNNNNNNNNNNNNNNNNNNNNNNNNNNNNNNNNNNNNNNNNNNNNNNNNNNNNNNNNNNNNNNNNNNNNNNNNNNNNNNNNNNNNNNNNNNNNNNNNNNNNNNNNNNNNNNNNNNNNNNNNNNNNNNNNNNNNNNNNNNNNNNNNNNNNNNNNNNNNNNNNNNNNNNNNNNNNNNNNNNNNNNNNNNNNNNNNNNNNNNNNNNNNNNNNNNNNNNNNNNNNNNNNNNNNNNNNNNNNNNNNNNNNNNNNNNNNNNNNNNNNNNNNNNNNNNNNNNNNNNNNNNNNNNNNNNNNNNNNNNNNNNNNNNNNNNNNNNNNNNNNNNNNNNNNNNNNNNNNNNNNNNNNNNNNNNNNNNNNNNNNNNNNNNNNNNNNNNUGACCUGUACGUUUUUUGUAACCCUCACCUCUCUAUCUUGUACACUCCUCUUGCAUGGCCUUUCAGAAUCUCCCACGCUGUGCUUUGCGAAUCGCAUCGCCUACUUGUUUCUAAAGCUUGGUGUCGCCAUCGGAACCAAGAAUGGAUCCAAGACGCGCUUUGUAAUCCUUCUUCUCUUUCUUUGAACGAGCCUUUUUUGGAGCAUCCGUCCUUCGACGAGAGCGUUACAUACUAUCUUGAUACUCUGAAUUAUGUCUGUGCGAACAAAACCUGAUCAUUUCCUUUGCAUGUCGUAGUUUUGCGGGUCAAUGAUUGAAAGAUGGUGGUAUUUUUCGUUUAAAACGGACUGGAUUGCCAGCGGAAUUGAGAUCAGACCAAAGUCUUGAUGCAAAUGUUGGAAAAACCAGAAAUGGAGUGGUGAAAAACAGUGUGUUUGGGAAAGAUGAAGAUGAUAAUGUGAAUAGAGAGAGAUAGAGAAAUAGAGAAAGAUUGAGAGAAUUGAAUCAUAUGGCAUUAACCUUUCAACUAUAAUAUACAAUGUCUAUUUAUAGGGUACAAAUUGGAACCACAAACAGGCCCAAGAAUAACAGAAAAAACAGAAUUGCAAAAACAACUUAUUUCCAAAACAACUUAUCCAAUAAGCUGUUUUCACUGCAGUGCUUUUUAAAACUUCUAUCAAACAUUUGAAUUAUUAAGGACUUCCAAUAAAAGCAACAACAUUAAACCUAGCAUCUUGGGAAUGCUUAUGAUACAAAAAGAUAUCAUGGUCAUGGUAAAGCUAGUUCUAAUAGUUCUAGUAGCAAAAAAAGGUUCAAGAUUGUACAUUCACUGUAAUAGACAUGAUCAUACAGAUGAGUAUUGUUUUCUACAACAUGGCCAUUUGAACUCAAGAACUAUCUCACUAAGGAGAACAUUCCUAAUGGUGUUACUGAUAGGGUUUUCGCAAGUCCUUGUGUUGGUCUAACUCAAGGUAGGUACGGAGUUUUUGGUGUUUGAUCCAAUAAGAAAAUUUGAUUUCCUUGGAAUCAAAUAUUAAUGGGGUGGAAAAAUAUCCUACAAAAAUUUAAAAUGCAUCAGAUUUCAAAGAUGCAUCUUUUGACGCACAUUUGUACCAUUUUAUAAUGCACCAAAUGAAUGUCAUUCUAGAGUAAAACAAAAUUUUAUUUCGGAGAUACAUCUGCGAGUAUUUUCAACAAAUAUAUUGAUAAUUAAACAAUUCAUUGGAUCUCUACUUUUCUACUUUUGUUUUUGUUUCAGCAUGUUACGGAAAUGCAUCUACGGACAGAUUAAGGAGAUGCAUCUCCGAUUUUAAAAAAAUCACACUCAUAGGACGUGACUCAGAAUUGACCUAAAAUAUGUAAGAUGUGUAUGUUUGGGAUGCGUCCGAAAAAAAAUUUAAAAUCCAAAAAGAUUUUUAUAUUUUUAAAUACUGUCAUAGUAAUAUAUAAGGUACAAAUACCCUUUGAUCAUAGAGGAGAAGAGUCCUCUUCCAUAGAUAUACAUAGUAUAGUUUCCUGUUCUUUUAAUGCUAGUUUCAAUUUCUAUAUCGUUGAUUCUUGAUCCAAUGAUCAUAGAUGCUCGUUCAUGCAACAACAAAAAAUUAGUGCUUUUUAUAGUCUACCAAAUUUUAAUGCUAUAUCACAGUUUAAUAUGCACCUGAUUUCAAACUAAACUUCAUGCCAGUUUCAAAAUUGUGUCAAUGUAUAGCUUGUAAUGUUCAAUUCAUUGUUGGUCAUUUUUAUAUACAUGGUAUUAAGUCUUUAAGAUGAUUAGUUUGGAUGACCAAUUGAUUGGAUUGUACAGACUGAUGAGGUAAUUCUUUAGAUAGGAAUUUACAUACUUAAAUAAUACAUUUACCCCCAUUUUUAGCAUUUUAGAUUAGUAAAUUUCUCUGUGAAUAUGUUCAAACAAUACCCUUCUAUUACUAAUGAUAAUCAAGUUGUUUGUGACAUUUGUCACUAUGCGAAACAAAAUAAAUAGCAUUACAAUAUUAGUAAUUCUCAUGCUAAUUCCAACUUUGAGUUUUUACAUUUUGAAAUAUGGGGUCCAAUAUUUCUUAACCUCUUUAGAUGAUUAUAAUAGAUUCAUUUGGAUUACCGUAUUAAAAUCCAAUUCUAAAGCCUUUAACCAAGUCUAAAUUCUCUAAUUAGGUUUACCUCAUUUAUAAUGUGGUGAUUUUGUUUCUCCACUUCAAUUUCAAAGCAGCGAACUAAUAAAUUUGAUUAAACUAUCUCUAAAAUGGGAUUGACUUCAUUCGCCUACAUGAUGUCUCGUCUUGAAAAUGAGUAACAACAUGUAAAACUUCUCCAUAGAAAAGAUUCCUUAAAAUAGGAUUGACUUCAACCGUCUACACAUUGACUUCUCCGGAAAGGAGUAGGACCAUAUUAAACUCCUCCCUUAAAAAGUGACUAAGUAUUAUAAAAACUAUCUCUAUAAUGGACCAACUUCAACAAUCUACAUAUUGACCAUCCUAAACAAGAGUAGGACAAUGUAAAACCCCUCUCUCAAGAAAGAUGUGGGUAUUGUGAAAAAUCUCCUCAAAAGAGGAUCAAUUAAAACCAUUAACACCUUGGCCCGGUUAAAAAUAAGAGAAUUUUUUAAUGCACCUUAUGAUUUAUUAGAGCACCUCGUGAAAAGUAAAAACUAUUCUUAGAUUUUAGAGAUGCAUCUCCGGACACAACUCAUGCACACACAACUCAUUCAUUUUUAAGUCACGCCCCAAAUUUAUGACUUAAAUUAUUUCGGAAAUGCAUUUUGUUAGGACUGUGCUUUUAUGAUUGGCUGCAUUUUGAAAAAACAAGUAUUAUUGACAUAUGUUGAACAAGAUGUCCUGACAUGUUGUUUCAACAUUGCAGUGUGACCUAGCUUAAGUAUCUUGUGAUAUUUGGUUUCUUUAAUAUUUUAUCUGAAGAUUCUCUAAAGAUUUAGUUCACGUAUUAUGUUGAGAGUUUUCUAAAAAGCAAAAGACUAUUGUGUCUUGACUUAUUUACGAAGUAACGAUGUCAAGACAUUUUAGGAAACAUUUAAUUUGAUUCUGCAGAAGAUUGCAGACUGGAUGUCGAAACAUUUAAUGAAACAUUAUAUUUGAUUCUGCAUAAGGGAUGUCAAAAAAUUUAAGGAGACAUCAGUUUUGAUUUGAUCAAAUAUUAUGUAGAAUAAAUGUCAAAACAUUUAAGGAGACAUCAGAUUUGAUUUUAUCAGAUUUCAUUUGUUUUGGAUAUGCUGAUUUUAUGCAUCAGCUCAUGCUUACCAAAGGCUAUUUAAAGAGGUCGUUACUAAACCUAAUUGACAGAAGAGAGAGCUACACUUGAGCAUUGGAAAAUUAGGGUUUUAGUUGUUUUUGUUUUCUGUGUGUGAUUCUAGUAUCUCCUUGAUACUUGAAUUGGACUGAGUUUAUUGAGUUGUAAUUGUGAAUCACUAAUGAGAUUUUAAGCAAGAGUGUAUUUUGUUUCAUUGGAAGUGUGUCUUAUGUUCUUUGAUUAUUUUCAUUUGUUAUCACUGAUGUGUGAUUGAAGGGAAGUGAGAGGGGUCUCAUAUCUAGGAGAGUCUUAGAUAGAAAUUCCAAUGGUAGUGAUUAGGUAAGAAAUUUGCAAAAACAGAGGUUGUUUAGAACUUCAAAAUAAUACUAUUAUAGUGGAUUUCCUUCUUGGCUUGGAUGUCCCCAGAUGUAGAUGACUUUGCAUCGAACUGCGUUAACAAUUGACAUAUGUUAUUUACUUCUUACUUUUUACAUUGUAAUUGUUUGUGGUGUGACAUGCCCCGAUCCUGGUGUCGUGACAUCGUAUACGACAUCUGUUAUCUACUUACUAUUAUAGUUGUGUGAAGUACUGAUAUUAGUGUCAUGACAUCGCAUACGAAAUCUGAUAUCUUCCUAUCAAAAUUUCAAUUGGCAUCAAAGCAUGCACCUUGUUGUGUUUUGGGUGAGCUCCAGGGUGAUACUUUCUAGUACCAUGGAAGAAGGAUUUGUUAACAGACCAUCCAUCUUAAAUGACACCAAUUAUGACUAUUGGAUGGCACAUAUGGUGGAAUUAUUAAAAUCUAUGGAUAGAAAUACUUGGAAAGUUGUCAUCAAGGGUUGGGAACAUCCUAUUGUGAAGGACAAAGAUGGGAAGACUACUACUGACUAGAAGCCUGGAGAGGACUGGUCUAAGGAAGAAGCUGAAUUGGCUCUUGGAAACUCCAAAGCUUUGAAUGCUAUAUUCAAUGGAGUUGACAAAAAUAUAUUCAUUUUAAUAAACACUUGUACUAUGGCCAAAGAUGCAUGACUAAUUUUCAGAACCACCCAUGAAGGCACAUCUAAAGUGAAGAUGCCUAGACUUCAGCUUCUCACUACCAAAUUUGAGAAUCUAAAGAUGAAAGCUGAUGAAACUAUUCAUGUUUUUCACAUGAAUGUUCUUGAAAUAGCAAAUUCAUCUAGUGCCUUGGGAGAGAAGAUGUUAGAUGAAAAAUUGGUCAGAAAAAUUCUCAGGUCCCUACCUAAGAAAUUUGACAUGAAAGUCACAACUAUUGAAGAAGCCCAAGACAUUUGCAACAUGAAAGUGGAUGAGCUUAUUGGGUCACUUCAAACUUUUGAAUUGACUAUCGGUGAUAGAUCUAAAAAGAAGAAGUAGAGCAUAACAUUUAUCUCUGAUACUGAGGAUGAAGAGGAUCAAUGUGACUUGGAGAUUGAUGAAGGAAUUUCUAAUGUCAUUGUGCUUCUUGGGAGGCAAUUCAAUAAGGUGUUGAAGAAAAUGGAUAGGAUGUCAAGACCUGAUGUCAAGAACAUGUCAUUUGACAUCAGUAAGAAUAAUGAUUCUCAAGGAAAAUCAAGAAUAGAAUAAAAGUCCAAUCAAGGAAAAGGUAUCCAGUGUCCUGAAUGUGAGGGUUUUGAUCAUAUUAGAUCAUAAUGUCCCACGUAUCUCAAGAAACAAAACAAGGGCUUGUCUGAUGAUUCUGAAGGUGAAACUGAUGAUGAAACUGAAGGAGAAUUGUGAUCCAAACCGCAGUGGAAAUUAAAAAUUUCUCCUUUAGUGAUCCUUACGAAUGGGCAUGAUCAGUGAUAAAAUCGUUACCUCUUGUGACGAUUGAAACCUUUGAUGCAGACCUACGGAGCGAUCACGAAUAUUGAACGAUGACAACGCCUUUACUCAGUCAACACGAACAAAUUCCUUCAAUCUCAGUGCUAGCUGCUACCGAUGAAGGCUUUGAGUGAGAGGAGAGAGAGAGAGAGAGAGAGAGAGAGAGAGAGAGAGAGAAAAUGAAAAUGCAACCGCACUUAAUGUUUCUGCACAAGGGUUAUAUUUAUAGAACCACUUGUGUGGACUUCAAGCUAAAAAGCCCACUUAAGUGUAAGUGGCCCAUAUUUUAUAAUAUGCCAAAAUCACUUAAGCGUGUGGUACCUUACCAUAUUUCGUAUUCUACUUAAGUACACCCUACCUUACGAUGUUCUACAAUUCACUUAAGUGNUGCCCAUAGAUCUAGUAUGGCCAUCAUGCUUCUGCUGCGCAAGAGGCUUUGUUAGUGGGUCAGCAAUAUUGUCAAGUGUAGGUACUCUGCAUAUUUUCACAUCUCCUCUAUCUAUUAUCUCUCGAAUAAGGUGAUAACGCCUAAGUAUGUGUUUAUAUCGUUGGUGAGAUCUAGGCUCCUUAGCUAGUGCGAUAGCACCAUUGUUAUCACAAUAGAGACCAAUGGGAUCCACAAUGCUAGGAACUAUGCCAAGUUCACUAAUGAACUUUUGGAUCCAAACAACUUCCUUAACUGCACUUGAGACAGCAAUAUACUCGACCUCAGUUGUAGAAUCAGGAACUGUAUCUUGCUUUGAACUUUUCUAGCUCACAACACCACCGUUUAAGCAAAACACAUAACCAGAUUGCAAUCUAAAGUCAUCCUUAUCUGUGUGGAAGCUAGCAUCGGUGUAUCCAAUUACAGCCAACUCUUCCUGACCUCCAUAUAUCAAGAAUGAGUCCUUAGUCCUUCUCAAAUACUUAAGGAUAUUCUUGACAACUACCCAAUGAGCAUCACCAAGUUCAGAUUGGUACCUACUCGUUGCACUUAAAGCAUACGAGACAUCUGGUCGAGUACAUAACAUGGCAUACAUGACAGAUCCUAUUGCAGAUGCAUAUGGAAUCUUAUUCAUGCGAUCCCUUUCUUCCUCAGUUGAAGGGGAUUGUGUUUUUGAUAGACACAGGCCAUGUUGCAUAGGUAUGAAUCCUUUCUUGGAAUCAUGCAGCAUAUGGAAUCUUAUUCAUGCGAUCCCUUUCUUCCUCAGUUGAAGGGGAUUGUGUUUUUGAUAGACACAGGCCAUGUUGCAUAGGUAUGAAUCCUUUCUUGGAAUCAUGCAUAUUAAAGCGUCUCAACACUUUGCCUAUGUAUGUACUCCGACUUAGGCCAAGCAGUUUUUAUGAUCUAUCUCUAUAGAUUCUGAUUCCUAACAUAUAGGCUGCUUCACCUAGGUCCUUCAUAGAAAAGCAUUUCCCCAACCAAGACUUUACUUGUUGCAGGGUAUGGACAUCGUUUCCAAUGAGUAAUAUGUCAUCUACAUAUAAUAUCAGGAAAAUGAUCAUGCUCUUACUAACCUUCUUGUAGACACAAGGCUCAUCUUCGUUCUUGAUGAAUCCAUAUUGUUUUACUGUUUCAUCAAAAUGAAGAUUCCAGCUUCUGGAAGCUUGCUUCAAUCCAUAUAUUAAUCUUUGUAACUUACAUAUCUUUUGGGCUUCUUCUGGUAUGUUAAAUCCUUCAGGUUGUGUCAUGUACACAUCCUCAAGAAGAUUCCUAUUAAGGAAAGCAGUUUUGACAUCCAUCUGCUAUAUUUCAUAAUCAUGAUAUGCAGCGAUAGCAAGUAAAAUCCGAAUAGAUUUAAGCAUUGCAACUGGUGAAAAGGUUUCAUCAUAGUCAACCCCAUGAAUUUGUUUAUAUCCUUUUGCAACCAGUCUAAACUGGUGAAAAGGUUUCAUCAUAGUCAACCCCAUGAAUUUGUUUAUAUCCUUUUGCAACCAGUCUUGCCUUAUAGGUAUGUACCUUACCAUCCAUGUCAGUCUUCCUUUUGAAGACCCACUUGCAUCCUACAGGGUUAACUCCUACAGUAGGCUCUACCAAGGUCCAAACCUGGUUUGUGUACAUGGAAUCCAUUUCAGAUUUCAUGGCUUCUAGCCACUUCUCAGACUCGGGACCAGUUAUGGCCUCUUGGUAGGUCACAGGUUGAUCCAUGAGUAAUAUAUCACCUUGAUCAGUUAUGAGAUAUCCAUAUCUCUCAGGUAGGUGACGUACCCUGCCUGACCUACGCUGGUCUUGUUCUACUUAAUUAGGUUGCUCUUCCAUAACUAUUUGUCUUUCCUGCUCAUAUUCCUCCAUAGGUAUAUCAAUGCUUUGUGAUUCUUGAAUUUCUUCAAGCUCUACUUUCCUCCCAUUGAUUCCUUUGGAAAUAAAAUCCUUUUCUAGGAAAACUCCAGUUCGAGCGACAAACAUUUUGCCCUCAGAAGGAUUGUACAAGUAAUACCCUCUUGUUUCUUUAGGAUACCCCAUAAAUAAGAAUUUGUCAGAUUUGGGCUCAAGCUUAGUUGAAAUUUGUCGUUUCACAUAAACUUCGCAACCCCAAAUCUUCAUGUAAGACAUAUGUGGUUUCUUACCACUCCAUAUCUUAUAUAGUGUCUUCUCAACCUUUUUGGAUGGAACAUGGUUAAGUGUGUAAGCUGCUGUCAGUAGUGCAUGUCCCCAAAAGGAGUUUGGAAGAUCGGCGUGACUCAUCAUGGAUCGGACCAUGUCUAAUAGGGUUCGAUUUCUUCUCUCAGAUACACCAUUCCACUGGGGUGUUCCAGGAGGAGUACGUUGGGAUAGGAUCCCACACUCUUUUAGAUGGUCAUCAAACUCUAGGCUUAAAUACUCACCACCUCGAUCUGAUCGAAGAGUUUUAAUAUUCUUACCUAGUUGGUUUUGCACUUCAUUCUUGAAUUCCUUGAACUUUUCAAAGGACUCUGAUUUAUGUUUCAUUAAAUACACAUAAACAUAUCUACUGAAAUUAUCAGUGAAUGUGAUGAAGUACUGAAAACCUCAUUUGGAUGGUAUGUUCAGUGGUCCACAUACAUCAAUAUGUAUGAGGGCUAAAAGAUCAUUCGCUCUUUCACCUUUUCCUGUGAAUGGAGACUUUGUCAUCUUUCCAAUUAAACAAGAUCUGCAUGUCUCAUAUGAUUCAUAAUCAAAAGAGUCCAAGAGUCCAUCUUUAUGGAGUUUGGAAAUGCGUUUCUCAUUUAUGUGGCCUAAUCGCAAUGCCAAAGGUAAGUGGAUUUAACUCAUAGGUUUCAUCCUUUUAGUAUUAAUGUUAAUAAUAGGCAUUUCAAGAUCAAGGACAUAUAGUCCAUUGUUCAUUUGUGCAGUAGCAUAGAAUAUAUCAUUCAAAUAAAUUGAGCAACAAUUGUUCUUUAUUAUAAAUGAAAAACCAAACUUGUCCAAACAAGAAACGAAAAUAAUAUUCCUGCUAAUUGCAGUUACAUAAUAACCGUUCUCUAACUGAAUUAUUAAACCACUAGGUAAAGUCAAUACAUAAGUUCCUACAGUUAAAGUAGCAACCUUUGCUCCAUUCCCAACUCGUAGGUCAACUUCACCUUUUGCCAAAUCUCUACUUCGUUUUAGCCCUUGCACAUUUGUACAAAUGUGAGAACCACAUCCAGUAUCUAAUACCCAUGAUGCAGAAGUAGAUAAAUUCAUUUCAAUAACAAAAAUACCUGAAGUUGAAGUCUCUACUUCAUUCUUUAUAUCUUCCAGGUACUUUGGGAAGUUUCUCUUCCAGUGUCCGGUCUUACCGCAAUGGAAGCAGGUGUCUGCCUUUGCUAUGCUUGCACUAGGCUUCAAAGCAGCAACAGUGGGUCUGGGUUUAGCAACUUCCUUGUCUUUCCUUUUCUCACCCUGCUUGGUGGGUCUUUUGUUCUGUCUUUUUCCAUUUCCGAUCAUCAGAAUGGACUUCCCUUUUGACUUCAGAUUCUGCUCAGUAGUUCUUAACAUGGCUAGCAGUUCAGGAAGAGAUUUGUCCAUAUCAUUCAUAUUGAAAUUUAGGAUAAAUUCACUGAAUCUAUCUGGCAACGAUUGCAAGAUCAAAUCAGUCGCAAGUUCCUUUCCGAGGGAAAAACUCAACCUUUCAAGGUUUUCCACAUACCCAAUCAUCUUGAGCACAUGGGGACCUACAAGGGCUCCCUCAGCUAACUUGCCUUGAAAAAGGGAUUUUGAAACUUCAAACCUUUCAUGCCUUGCUUGCUCUUGAUAGAGCAUCUUCAAUCGAACGCUGCCAGAUGUUCUCAUGUUGGCGUUUUGCUAAUUGCUGAGUUCAUGGAUGAGACAAGCAGUUUCAUUGGCAUCAUCGACAUGCUUCUUAUAAGCAUCUCUUUCUGCCUUAGGUGCAGAACUAGGAGGUUCCUCUUCAGGAAUAGGUUUCUCCAAGACAUAUAGCUUUUUAUCAUAUUUGAGGACAAUCCUCAGGUUUCGGUGCCAAUCCAGAAAAUUUGUCCCAGACAAUUUUUCCUUGUCAAGGGUUGAUCGCAAAAUAUUGUUAGAGGUGUUUGUUGUCAUGGUAAUCUACAUGAAAUUAAUAAAAAUAUAAGUAUCAAUAACAUAUUUAAUUAGGCCUUUAAUUAAAUAUGCUUCCACUAUUUUACUCAAAACAAAUGACCCUCAUCAUUUGAUUCGGAAAAUCCCGUUGGAAGAUUUUCAAGUGAGUCGAUAUUCAUAUUUCACUUUGUUCUAAGUCUGCGUAGGCGAGAUUCAUAUUUCACUUUGUUGGGUAAAUAACUCCUUAUUCCAAUCCAUCAUAUGGAUCAUGUCCAACUCUUGCUUCUAAACACAUACAAUCUUAUUAUAAUUUGUUUAGUUAAGUUUGACCCAUUGUUUUAGCAAUUGGAUAUUACAAUUAUCCCAUCGCACCUUACUAAUUAGAACAUGCACCUCGCGUAGGCGAAAUCUACAUUAUCCGAUACUAGUCUUGAUGAGUGCUAAAACUUGGAAAGCAUAAACUUAAUAUUUAAUUUGAGGGAAUUGAAUUUAUUCUGAUCUCACCGACUUAUUUAUCAUAUAAAUCGUCUCUCACAUGCAUCAACAUACAUUCACAUGCAUCAACAUACAUUCACAUGCAUCAACAUACAUUCACAUGCAUCAACAUACAUAAUGAAACAGUUAUGGCCCCUAGCGCAAUUGUUCUCCCAAGCCAAUGAGAGAACCUAAGCUAACCUAAUAACGAUCUAAGCCUUCAAGCAAGAUCUUCAAGGUUGUGCGGCUCACUUUGAUAUUGAAUUCUUCUCUUUCUUCAUAACAUUACAUUACAUAAAAGAAACUCGUUUUACAUACAAGGGAGUGAGAUGAGAAAAGAAGUUACAUUAAGAGAUUAAAAGAGAGGCACGACACACAAGUCGUAUUUUUAAAAUCCCAAAACAAAAUAAAGGAAAACUAAGGCCAUAACCGAUCACCACAAGACAAUAAUAAUAAACAUAUUAUUAUUAUUAAUUUUAAUUCCUUUAAUUAAUUAAAACCAAAUUAAAUUUCGACGACCGAUCACACUAUGCAGAGUUAGUCGGGGGUCCGCUGCCUGGUUAGCGGGAACUGGGUUUCCGCUGCCCGGUCAACGGACGGUGUUUUGCAUCAACACAACUCUUGCGCAGUCACAAAACAGAACCCCCGAGAAUUCUGACUCUGUGAAUGCGACGACCGUCCAAGCAUGUUACGACCGUCACGUCCAGCUUGUUACGACCGUCACAGGCCCAUGACGAACGUCACGCGACCAAAAUAACAGAAACACCUAGAAUUUUGAACCUGUGAAUGUGAGGACCGUCACAAAGCAUGUGACGACCAUCACGUCCAGCUUGUUACGAUCGUCACAGGCCCAUGAUGAAUGUCACGCGGCCAAAAUCAGCGCUUUUGAACAAGUCCCCAAUUCAUAACUCUUUGACGGCACAACCCUUGUGCCGUCACUAACCCUAAUGCACCAAUUUCAGAUCGUCAAACACACCUCGAUUGUUGAUUCAGUAUGAUUGAUCAACAGGUCAUUGCUUCACCAUACUAAUGUCGGAUUCCGAAGUCAAAGGAAAACAACCAAUUAAGUGUUUUGAAUGAAACGAAACAGAAACAAAUACAUUGUAUCAUAUUUUGCAUUUAGGAUUAACUUAUAUAUAAUUGCGUAACCUAUGGACGAUCGAUGUAUCGCUGCUUCACCAUACUAAUGUCGGUUCCGAAGCAUAGUCAACAUCAAUCAUCCAAAUCGUACACACAUGAUGCCAAAUUUAAUUACUCAUUUAAUUAAUUAAUUCAUUCUGCCUUUUAAUCAUAUUAAUAUAGAAAAUAAACAUCUAUCAGAUGCAUGGUUUCGUAAGUGGCUCUGAUACCACUAAAGGAGAAUUGCGAUCCAAAAUGCAACGGAAAUUAAAAAUUUCUCCUUUAGUGAUCCUUACGAAUGGGCAUGAUCAGUGAUAGAAUCGUUACCGCUUGUGACGAUUGAAACCUUUGAUGCAGAUCUACGGAGCGAUCACGAAUGUUGAACGAUGACAACGCCUCUACUCAGUCCACACGAACGGAUUCCUUCAAUCUCAGUGCUAGCUGCUAAGAAUAAAUGCUUUGAGUCAGAGAGAGAGAGAGAGAGAGAGAGAGAGAGAGAGAGAGAGAGAGAGAGAGAAAACAAAAAUGAAACCGCACUUAAUGCUUCUGCACAAGGGUUCUAUUUAUAGAACCACUUGUGUGGGCUUCAAGCUAAAAAGCCCACUUAAGUGUAUGUGGCCCAUAUUUUAUAAUAUGCCAAAAUCACUUAAGCGUGUGGUACCUUACCAUAUUUCGUAUUCUACUUAAGUACACCGUACCUUACGAUGUUCUACAAUUCACUAAAUGCACCGUUUACCUUACGGUGUUCCUUAGUUACUCUACUCUCAUCAAUCUGUCCUUUGUGUGUGACAUUGUAGGUUUUCGCGGCAUUGGUAAUUAUAUUAAAUCAGUAUUUAACAUAAUAAAUAUAAUGAGCGGUAUCUAGCAACACAUCACUGCUUACCCAAGAUACGAAAAUGCCAUUGAUCUGAAAAAUCCUUCUGUGAUAAUAACUUAUGUGUAUAAUUACCCUUUUGCCCUUGUGUCUAUAUUGAACACAAAGGCAUAUACCGUGUCAUCCUUGUCCAGUUCAAUAUUGGGCCCAUAGACAUUUAUCUGUUACGCAGGAUGGGAAAAUUCCAUCUAGGUCACUCAUGUCCCUUAGCAUGCUUCGUGAUUACCCAUCAAACUGUCAUAUCAUCUAGUUAUGGAUAACGUUUGAUCAGCAAUAAGUCACUCGACUCUACAUGUAGGGUGCCAUAGUGGUUCAGGGUCGAAGCGUGGUAUACACCAUUAUCACCAUGAGAAUAACUUAUGACACUUUGCAUAACAUUCUAUAUAGUAUUCUCAUAGCGGGUCAAUCCAGAUAAAUAUACUCUUAAUAUUCAUACCUAUGUUUAAGACUUGAUAACGCUUAUCCAUAUCCAUGAGAUGUGACAUCAGUUCUAUAUAACAUAAUAGUCUUAGCUUUAAUGUUAUCCCACUUCACAAUAAAGCUCGACUACGGAUACUUAAGAAUGGUGUCCUUAUUUAAUGUGAUCUCAUGAUUAAGUCAUACUUGAUACAUUAAACGGACUAGCUAUUCUAUGGACUUUAUUAAACAAACAUAAUAAAGAAAAAGCCUUUUAUUAUUAAUAAAUAAUUCAAUACAAGUACCGAAAGUAUUUGCCUCUAGGGCUUACACCAACAGAAACUGCUAAGCAUGUUACAACUUUCACUGGUAGAUAUGAAUCUGAUGAAGAUUCUUAUGACGAGGAUCUCUCUUAUAAAGAAUUGGUCUCUUCCUACAAAGAUCUUUGUGUUAGAAGUGAAGAGCUGUGUAAGACAGGAAAAGAGCAAAAGAGAAUAAUAGCUCAACUACAGGCUAAAAAAGAGAAUCUUUUAUCUCCUAUCACUGAUCUUGAAAAUGAGGUAACUCUAUUGUCUUCUAAACUUGAAAAUAUGACCAAAUCUAUAAGAAUGUUGAACAAUUGGUCUGAUAUGCUAGAUGAAAUUCUUCAAGUUGGGAAAAGGGGUUGGAAACUUAAAAGAUAUAGGUUUUAAUUACCAAUAUCAAAAUAAACAAGGAAAAACCCCUGUGACAAAAUUUAUUCCUCCAAAAAAGAAGUAUGAGCCCAUGAUGUCCGACCAAAUGAUACAACAUCCUGCCAGACAUCAGGAAUCUCAAACUAAAGUUGAGUUUUUGCCUUGGAAAUGUCAUUACUAUGGUAAAUACGGACAUAUAAAGCCUUUCUUCUACACACUGUAUGGUUAUCCAAAACAUCCAACAUAUCCUAGGGCUAAUCAUGUAGUGAUUAAAAAUAGAAAGGAGUGGAAACCUAAAGUUGUUCCACAUGAAACUACUUGUUCUUCCACAUGCCUAAUGUCCAAGGAAGAUGAAGUCAAGUUGUGGCACCAGAAGCUUAAACAUAUGAAUCUCAAAGGGAUAUCUCUUGGUUACUCUACAAAUAGUAGCACUUACAAGGUAUUUAACUCUGGAACCAAGGGACUGAUGAAUCCAUUAGUGUUGUGGUUGAUGAUUCAAUUAUUGUAAAAGGGACUGAUGUCGAUAAAGAUGUUGGAACAUCAUCUCAGCAAACUGAUGCUUCAGAAAAUAUGGAAGACAUUGAGUCAAACAUUGAGCCAACAAGGAAUGAAUCAGAUGCUUUUACUGGCAUCUGAGCUGUUUGGUUUUCUGUUUGAUUUUGUAUGCUUCUUGUGGGCCUUUGCCCUGAGUAUUGCACCUUUGUGUGCCAUGAAUUGUACCUCUAACUCACAUGUUCUGCUACUGCUUUGCUCUAUUGUUUUGUUGCCAUUGAUGAAUAUCUGCUUGGUUUGUCAUAUUUUGGCUAAAAAUGGGGAGUAGAUAGUGUAGAGUUGUGCUAGUUGUGCUUUUUAUUUUUUUUGUAUUCUCUGUGUGAAGGUUGUUUCUUUGAGGAGGAGUAUGUUUCCUGUGUGAUAGUGGGGGUUAUUUUUAUGCUGUUGAUCAUGACAUUUACGGGGAGUUUGAUUUGUUUGUGCCUAGGUUGUUGUGUACUUACUGUUAUGUCAGACAAAAUGUCUUGACAUUUUAUUUCAGAGAAUUCUAUUUGUGCUUAGGUUGUUGUGUACUUGUUGUUAUGUCAGAUAGAAUAUCCUGACAUUUUAUUUCAGAGAAUUUUGUUUGUGCUUAGGCUGUUGUGUUCUUGUUGUGAUGUCAGACAUAAUGUCUGGACAUUUUGUUUCUGAAGGAGGUCUGACGUGUGAGAGUUUAUUUCUCUCUAUGUCUUUUCUGUGAGGUUGGGUUUCUACUACUUAUUUAUGAUGUAUGUGUCUCUGAUAUGUCUUGGCGUUAUACCAAGUGUUUGGUUGUUUGGUUUUGUGCUUGUGAUUAUUGUUAUUGUUUUACCUUUUCUCCAACUAUAUGAUCCAAAGGUUGUUUUAUCCAAAAUUUACUAAAGGGGGGAAUUGUUAGGUUUGUGCUUUUAUGAUUGGCAACAAUUUUGUUAAAACAUGUAUCACAGCAAGAUGUUGAGCAAAAUGUCGUGACAUGUUGAUCAAACAUCUUUGUAAGUUUUGUUUUACUUCUUGGAAGACUUAUUUUAGUAUGAGAUAUCUGAAGAUUCUCUAAAAAUUCAGCUAUUAUAUCUGAUUUUCCAAGAAGGUUUAUUUUAGGAACUCUUGUUUCAUUUCUAGUUGCGCACUUGUUUCAUAAAAAGGGACGUUGAGACAUUUUAAGGAAACAUUAUAUCAAAUAUGAUUUAAAUCUGUGGAAGAUUGUGCAGACUGGAUGUUGAAACAUAUAAGGAAAAAUUUGAUUUGAUUCUGCAUAAUGGAUGUCAAAAAAUUUAAGGAGACGUCAAAUUUGAUUUGAUCAAAUAUUAUGUAGAACAAAUGUCAAAACAUUUAAGGAGACAUCAGAUUUGAUUUGAUUUGAUUUGGAUCUGCUGAUUUGUAUGCCUAAGCCCAUGCUUACCAAAGGUUAUUUAAAGAGGUCGUUACUAAACCUAAUUGACAGAAGAGAGAGCUCCACUUGAGCAUUGAAAAAUUAAGCUUUUAGUUGUUUUUGUUUUUUGUGAGCCAUUAUAGUAUCUCCUUUAUACUUGAAUUGGAAUAAGUUUAUUGAGUUGUAAUUGUGAAUCACUCAUGUGCUUUUAAGAAAGAAUGUAUUUUGUUUCAUUAGAAGUGUGUCUUGUGUUCUUUGAUUGUUUUCAGUUGCUAUCACUGAUGUGUGAUUGAAGGGAGGUGGGAGGGGUAUCAUAUCUAGAGAGUCUUAGAUAGAAAUUCCAAGAGUAGUGAUUAGGUGAGAAGCUUGUAAAACCAGAGGAUGUUUAGAACUUCAAACUAAUACAAUUAUAGUGGAUUUCCUUUCUAGCUUGGAUAACCCCAAAUGUAGGUGACUUUGCACUGAUCUGGGUUAACAAUUGACCUGUGUUAUUUACUUCCUGCUUUUUACACUGUAAUUGUUUCUGGUGUGACAUGUCCCGAUCCUAGUGUCGUGACAUCGUAUAUGACAUAUGUUAUCUGCUUACUACUAUUGUUGUGUGAAAUAAUGAUAUUAGUGUUGUGACAUCGCAUACGACAUCUGAUAUCUGCGUACCAAAAUUUCACAUUUCCGGAAUGUUUCCGAAAAUACAUUUUUGGAACUCACAAAUGAUUGAGAAUUGAAAGUUUGUUGUUUAUCAGAUUGGUUUUAUUUCAGUGUUUUGGAAGAUACCGUAAGGGAUGUUAAGUAUUUGUCAAUAGUGUUAGCGAAUGAUGACAUUGUUCUAAAAUUUGAGUUUUCCAAAUGCUUGUAUUUUAAGUAUUUGCAUGUUGCUUUCUAAUAUUUAUCUAGAAGCUACUAUCAUUGUAUUCACUACAUUAGUUUAUGUUUUAUUGUUUAAAUUGAUUAAGUAACCAUAAAAUCUAAGUGUUUUUGUAAGUUCUGGAAAUGUACUUUCAUAAUGUAUUUAUUAAGCACCCAUAGGAUCUAAGUGUUUUUGUGAGUUCCAGAAAUGUAUUUUCGGAGACAUUCCCAAAUAUAUUUUCGAAAUAAAUUAAGUCAUAAAAUUGGGGUGUGGCUCAAAAACAAUGAAUUAUGUGUACAUGAGGUGCGUCUAAAGAUGCAUAUCUGGAAUCUAAGGGGCAUUUUCGAUUAUCCAUAGGGUGUUUUUCCACCCCAUAAGGUGGGAUAAGAUAUUCCCAAAAAUAAAUGGGGAUAACAAGGUCAAGACUCAAAGACAGAAAAAUUCACAGGUAAACAAAAGAAAGAUAAUAAAGUAAAUAGAUGAGAGGGAGAGAGAGAGAGAGAGAGAGGGAGAGAGAGAGAGAGAGAGAGAGAGAGAGAGAGAGAGUUAGGUAGGUAGGUAGGUAGGUACACACACACAAACAAAGAGAGAGAGAGAGAGAGAGAGAGAGAGAGAGAGAGAAACACCAUAUAUUUAUACAGGUUAAACCUAAAUUGACCUACUUAUGUUCGAAAGAAUUAUUCUUGGGAGUAUCCACUAAUCUUGGAAGCUUUUACAAGGAUGUGCCAAUGAAACUUCUUAUAAAAGAAAAUGAAGUUUAAAGGCUAACUUCCAACAAAACAAAGAACAAAGUUUAGAAGUGUUAUCCUCCAAACCAAACCUAGAUUUUCCAUAGGCUAAUCUCGAAUAAAGAUGGAGUUUUACACUAACUAUCCUCCGAACUGAGAUGAAGUUUUAUAUUGGCUACCCGCAGAACUGAACCGAGGUUUUACACGGGAUAACCUCUAAAUGGAGAUGAGAUUUUUCAUAGGAUAAUCUCAAACCAAUCGAUCUUUUACACCAGGUUAAAUUCAGGAACCAAGAUGAGAUUUUACACAGGCUAAUCUCAAAUUCAUAGAGCUUUUAGUCACACUGAUCUCAAAAACCGUUGUGGAGAUUUUACUGGUUGAUCGCCAUGAACCAAAAUAUAUCUUUUUUUGGUGAAAAUUAUGAACCAAUGGAGACUUUUUAAGAUAAUCCCCAAAUCAAACAAGAGUUUUUAAAAGUUUAGCUCGCAACCAAACAACUUCCUGUAGAAGAAUAGUUUACUUAAGAGAUAAUACACUCUUGGUAAAUUACAAUUAAACCCUCACCCAGAAUAAUGACCCUCACAUAGACACAAAAGCACUCUCAAAGCACUAAUGCAAAAUAUAUGUGUGAGAAACUGAGAGAUUUAUUAAAAAUGAUGAUAGAAUAUGAAAGUGAGAUAAAAGAUUGUUUUCUGGAAGAGAUGAGAUGAUAGGGAGACUCUCUAUUUAUAGGUAAGAUUAUGGUUUAAAUUUGAAAAUAAACCAUGGGAAAAAUGAAUGUCAUAAUCGAUUGUUGACCCCCAAUAAUCAAUUAUUCAAACCACAAAUGAAAGGUUUUAUAUUUAGCCAUUACCAAUCAUUAAUAAACUAUCCCAAUUGAUUUAGACUCAGCCAAAUGAAAAUAAUUGAUUAUAUGAUUAGGGCUAAUUGAUUAUCUAAUUGCGAAAAGUCCUAAAAAUGAUCAGACAAUAUCCUAAUCGGUUAACUAGGCCUCGAAAACAUUUUUGGAUGCUUUUACUAAUAUAGUAUAUGCUUUUCAAAGGUUUUUAGUGUGUGUGUGUGUGUGUGUGUGUGUGUCGCUCCUUUGAGUUUAGCAUCAGACAAGAAUCUUAAAUUUUAUAUCUUGAUGAGGCUUGAGUCAUCUUCAAGUUAAUUACCAUCAUUUAAGAGUUGAGAAGGAAAACCACUGACGAACCUUAAAACAUUAGUCUUCAUUUGAAUGUCGUUUGACCAUGGUGUUGACUUUUAAAUAGAUGACUUGAUCUUCAAUAACAACUUCAAAGGAUAGCUUAAUUCAAUAGGAUAGGUUUGAUAAAACAUCCUGAUCAUAUUCUACAUUUGAGUUAUCUUCAAUAGAUAAGGAUUUCACUGAAUAUCAUUUGAUAUCAGGUGUUGUAAUCAUCAAAACCAAACAACCAAUCAAUUGACUGCAACUUUGCUAUCAACUAAUUCCACCACAUUGGAUCACCUCGAAAUACAUGUAAAAACAUAAAUCCAUAAAAAAAAAUUAAAAAUGAAAGACUAAGGAAAAAAUAAGAAACACAUCGAAUUUAAGGAAAUCACACAUCAUACAAAAUAACAGUUGGUGGUUAAAACACACUUGUCAUAUCAUUCUAUGUGACAAAAUGAAAGCCAUUUAGACACUCGAAAUAUAAGUCAAAAAAUGAAAAAUAUAAAGACCACAUCAUAAGAACAACAUUCAUCCUAGUUUGUACUAAAAAAGAUCCUUGAAUACCUAUGUUUGCAUCAUAACAAGCAUGUAACCAUAGAAAUAUCAAAAGAAUCAACAUCCGAGAUAUCAGAAUUUGUACGACUCAACUCAACUACAUGGCUCUCAUCUGAGAGACGAUUUCAACCAUAAUCUCGGUCACGUCUACUAGUCAUCUCAUCAACAUGACAAUCAUUUCAGCCACAUAUAUUAAACUAGAGCAACAUGUUGUCUUAACCAAUUAUCCCUUACAUGAUCAUGCUUGGGAGCUGAUGGACCAACCAAUGAUUUUAACUACUUUACCCUUACAUACCUCAUGUUUGGCAAGUUAUGGAUCAACAUAAGGUUAGGACCAUAAACCUGGGAUAGAAACUUCUUAAGCAUCUCAGACUUAUAGCCUCAUGCAUAAUGGGUUAUGGACUGGGACAUGUAUUAUACUAGAUUAGGUCACUCAUAGACGACCUCGACCCAUAUCAUGAAAAUCACCAAUAUCCAAAUUGGAUAUUUUAACUUAUAUAAGUAAAUUAUCUCUCAACAGCUAAACCUAAGUUAUCCUUAAGUUAAGUCCUAAUAGGUCAGGCAAAAAGGAGGAAACUACCGACAUAUGUUUCUAAUCCAUUUGAUGAUGAUGUUUCAAAUAAAGUAUGAAUAGGAAAAUAUGUCUCUUAUGAUAACUUGAGUGUUUGGCUGCAAUAAUUUUUCACAUAGGAAAAUAUGAGAAGUCUAAACCUAAAAAGAGAUCUAAUAAGUGUUUGUUUAUGGGUUAUGGUCAUAAAAAGCUUGAUUAAUGAUCCAGUUGACAAGAAAAUCAUCAAAAGUUGCAACAUGGUAUUUAUGGAAGACUAAAAUAUUGAAGAUUUUAAUAAAGCUCAUAAGAAAAAAUAUGAUGUUAUGAGUUACGUUAAUAUUGUGACUAAACUCCUAAUAGAAAUUUUAUUGAUGAUAGGAUAUACAAGUAUAUAAUUAGAUUGUAAGUAAUGACCAUGGACCUUGUCACGAUGAUCCAGUUGAAGAGGCUUUGCUUGAGCCACCGGUUGAGACUAACUUGAAAAGGUUUAUUAUAGAGCUUAUAGUUUUUUUAGAAAUAUCCUCCACAUAAAUAUGUGAUGAUCACUAAUAAUAGAGAGUUAGAGCACUAUUAAGAUCUCAUUGAGUAAUUUGAUGAAUUUGAUGUUAUAGGAAAAUAAGAGUUUGUUUUUAUAUUGAAGAAAAUUUUAUAUUGUCUUAAACGAGAGCCGUAAUUUUUUUUUAGAAUGUUUGAUUUCUUUUAUGAAGAAUAAUGGGUAUGGUAAAACUUGUGAUGACCAUUGUGUGUUUAUAAAGAAAUUAUGUGAUUUUUAUUCUUUUAUUAUUUUGUUAUAUGUUAAUAACAUGCUAAUUAUUGGUCAUGACACUAAAAUAUUCAAAGCACAAAUAAAUUGAUAAAAAAAAGUCAUUCAUAGUGAAGGACGAGUCUUUAACAACAAAUAAUUGCCAUGAAAAUUUCUUGUGGAACAAAUAGUGGAAAAUUGUUUUUGUCUUAACACUAUUACAUUGAUAAGGUGUUAGAGAGGUCUAACAUGAGAGUUUUAAAAUCCACGAGUAUUCCACUUGCUAGAAAUUACAAAUUGAGUUCAAAACUAUGUCCUAAGAAAGACAAAUAUGAUAUUAGAAAGGUUCCUGAUGGCUAACCAAUUUGUAAUUCAUAAAUUUUCUUAUACUUUGAUCAAUUUAUGAAAUUUAUGAUUUUAAUGUUGUAAAAUUGAUUGAGGACACACAAUUUAUUUGAGUUGGGAUACUUUUGAAAAUAAUAAAAAGAUAUAAAGAAAUUGAUGGAAAUGAUAAAAAUGGGGCACCAUGUUCUUUAUAUAAAUUAGAAGGGAUGAUAACCCUAAGUGAAAAUUACUACAAGAAAUAUGGUUUCUUGAUAAGAUAAAAACUUGGUCAAAUCGAGAACUAAAGGAGAAAAACUCUCAAAUUUAUAGGAUGUGUUUAAAAAAUUCAACUUCCUUUUUUGUUCAUGAUUAGCUCUUAUUUAUAUGUAUAAGGUAGCUUGUUGAUUUUUACAAUAACAACUCAUGAAAUGCUACGAAAUCAGAUCAUUAUUUUAUCAAUAAUGGCUUAGGCUGAAAGGUCACACAAUAACAAUAAAAGGUUGUGGAGGGAGUGGAUAUUCAUCUCCUUGAUGAAUAGUAGAAAUUUAUAGCCACUUUGAUCAAUUCAUUUCCACCUUCCUUAAUGUCCCUCCUUCAAUGCUUUUCCUUUUAUUUUUUUAUUUUCUUUUGAAAAAAAAAAUUUUAAGCUCUAGAAGUUUUAAAAUGGUUAAAAACACAAUAAAAAAAUAAAAGUAAGUGUUUUUAUCUAAAAUUGGACAAGUUGAGCUCUUAACACAAUUUAUUAUAACAUGAUUAAUCAAAAACAUUAAAACGGGACAGUAAGUCCUCAUGGCAUGCCCUCUUCAAGUUUUCUCAAAUUGACAUGGCUUGUCUCAUUUCCUCUCAAUUAGUAUUUUGCUUCCAUUGGUUUGCUUAUCAAUUAUAUUAUGGUACCAUUCAUUUUCCUAUCGCGCGCCCUUGUCUUAAGACCUUCUAAUCUUUUGAUUACUUCAUAUAAGCCUUGGUGCUAAUUUAUUAUUCAUGGGAUAAGAAACAUAAAACCAUGAAUUAAAUGAAAUAAGUUGUAUGUUUUUCUUGUGCAUUUUUAUAAGUUUCCUUCCACAUGCCUAAUGAAUUCUUGAUUACAUCAUUAUCUCACUCUUUAAGAGGAUUUGUCCUCAAAUCCAAACAUGCAUAAUCAAUUAAUGAGUUAAAAUAAAAUUCUCUCAUUUUGUUCUUCACAUUCUUUUGAAAGACUUCUUCUUUUCUUUCAUAUAUUUUUUCUUCUCAUUCUCUUUAUUUUAUUUUUUAUUUACUCUUCUUUUCUGUUACGAUUUUCUUUCCUUUUUACUUCCUCCCGACUUUCUUUUCUCUCCUUUUCUUUUACUUUUACUUCAUUAUUAUUUCUAUUUAUAUUUUCAAUCAAUCCCUCUUUCUUUUCCUCAUUGUGAAUAUUCCAUUAUAAUUUUUUUCUCACUUUUUAUUUUUUGAAUUUGAUCUUGAUAUUUUUUUUUGGAAUAAGAGAAAAUUGGCAGUUUUCAAAUAAUAAUAAGUAUAAGCCGGUGAGAAAGUCUUUUUUUAUCAAUGUUGUUGCUACCACGAGAGCAUGUGUAACAAAACCCUCAUUUUAGAAGGAACCACAUUACAUAGUACCUCAUCUUUAUGUUCUCCAAUCGUGGUUGAACUCGUACUAGUGUGAUCAUCAAAACAUCAGACAUUUCUUCAAACUCGGGAUCGUUAAGACUAUAAAGUAUAUAUGAUUUUGGAUGCUAAAAAAUCGUAAGUCUCAACUUCUCCACCAUAGUUAUACUUGUUAUAUUUAUCCAAUAUUUUCUACCAAUGAACAAAACACAAACCUUAUCAUUAACAACACAUCUUGUAAACAAAAAAAAUCCUCUUGUUUUGCUUCAAUGAUGAAUCCCUAAGAAAAGGUUUAAAUUUGGCAAACAGGAGAAAAAAAAAAAGAGUAAUAAUUGAAAGUUUUGAAUAUUUUUCUUCCUUUUUCCAUUUUCGAAUAUUUUCUCUUUUUUUUCCAAACAUAGAAAUAGAGAACUUACAAAAAUUAAUAAGAUUUAAAUUGAAAGGUAACACAUGAUUUGAACCUAAACUUUUCUACUACUUGAUAGCAAGUCAAAUUGUAAUUCAGUCAUUUUCUCAUACUUUUAUCAAUUUAUGAAACAUGUGAUUUUCAUGUUAUAAAAUGGAACGAUGGCGUGUAAUUUUAUAGAUUAUUUGAUAUGAUACAUAAUUGAAGCAAAUGAAAAUAUAUAAAUAAAUUUAUGGAAAGUAUAGAAAUGAAGUGUCACACUUUUUCUAUGAAUUAGAAAGGAUGAUAAGCCUAAGUGAAUAUCACCACAAAUAACAUGAUUUAUUGAUAAGAUCAAAAACUCAGUUUAAUCCAUAACCAAAGAAACAAAUCUCUUAAAUUCACGCAAUGAUUUUGUUUAAUAAAAUUCAAAUUCCUUUUUAUAUUCUUGAUUAGCUCAUAUUUAUAGGUAUACAACUUGCUGAUUUUUACAAUAAUAACUCCUGAAAUGCAACAAAUUCAGCUCACUAUUCUAUGAAUAAUAACUUAAAGUGAAAGGUCACACACUAAAAGAUGGUGGAUGGAGUGGAUGUUCAUUUUCUUGAUGAAUAAUAACAAUUUAUAUCCACUUUAAUCAAUAUAGUCUCAGAUUCUGUAAUGUCCCUCCUUCAAUAUUUUGCCUUUUCAUAUUUUAUUUGCUUUUGAAAUAAAACACAACAAAUGUAAAGCUCUAAAAAGCUUUAAAAAAUUUAAAAACACAUUAAAAAUGUAAUAACCUAUAUUUCCUUAAAUGCUAAACUCGUUGUUAGUUGAAACCAACUGAAUUCCUAUAUAUUUUAUCACUUGUCAGUUGAAAUAAUUUGAGCUCAUAUAUGCUCUAAUUAUUGUCAUUUUUGAAAAAUAGAGUAACCAGUGAACUCGGAAAAGACUAAUUGUUACUCAAAGAGAUUCACCAUUAUUAAUAAAUAUAAGAGGGAACUUUUGAUAAUAUUGACAAUUGGUAAAUUAAUACUAGAAGACAAAUAUCAUUUAAGUUAUUUUUUCUCUUUUAUUUAUAUUAUUUAUAUAGUAAAAUAAAAGGAAAAAAUAAGAAGUGUAUAAGAAGAGAAGAAGAUAAGAACAAGAAAGAAAAGAAGAAGAAAAACCUGUAAGAGAAGAGAGAAGAAAAGAGGAAAGAAAAGAAGAGAAAGUAGAAAGAAGAGAAGAGAAAGGAGAAAGAAGAGAAGGAAGGGAAGAAGAAGAAGUAAUCAUGUGGAAUCUACAUCAUCACCAUGAACUUUUCAUCUCAUCAUCGCAUCACCAACUUCACCUCACCUUCUUCAUCUACACCAAGUAAGGCGAGUUCCUAGAUAGUGUUUAGCAAUUUGUGAGAAUUUCAUGAGAAUGGGGUUAAAAGGUUUAUAUGUAUUUGCUAAACCAUGAAGUUAUUGUUAAUACAUAAUAAUUUUUUUUGAUUAAAAUUAUUCUAAUUGAUAUUAAUUGACCUCUAUAUGUUAUUGUUGUUGUUGUGUUAAACCAUUGUAUUUUGGUAUUUUUUCUCAUCUAAACACGUCAUGUUGUGUCUUGAUACUAUCAAAUUUGCCAAAAGUUCACUAAGAGAAACAAGGGAAGUCUCCUACUAACUUGAUUCGCUAGGAGUUCGCUCAAUGAAGUUUGUUCCCUAGAACUUCGCUAAGUGAACAUUACAGAAUUGGGGAAAAUGUUUGAUUCUUGUUUUCCCCAUAAUUUGAGCAUCAUAUAUCUGUUUGAUGUGAGAUUUGAAGCGUUGGAAAUCCCUUUCAAUGAUCUAUUAGAUGGUGAAGUAAAAACAUGGUUUUACGCCAAUGAUUUAUAGGAUAGUGAUGAUAAACUAGCAUGUAUGAUAUGAUGAAGUUGAUUUAAUACCCUGUUUCCUUGUUUCUACUAUAAAGCGAGAAUGGUAGCUUCAUUGAUGUGAGAAUGGAUGCGUUAGGAAGCUAACAUUAAGGGAUAUGAUAUAGAUAGAAGUAUCUAUGAGUUAUUCCAUUAUAUAUUUACCUUUAACUAGUUAACCCAUCAUAUGGUGAUCAUACAUAUGUUUGCCUUAUGGCGUGAAAGUGAAAUAAGAUAGAUUGAGGCAGAUCGUAUAAUAGUUUUGCCUAUAGUCCUUGUAGCAUGUCAUAUUAUCAUGUGUGCUUUAUGUAUGUUAUGAAUCAUAUAAUGAUACAUGCUAUAUGUUUUUGGUUGUGAAGCUUGUAUGUUUGUAUAACAUGAUUAAAAGUCUAUGAUGAUGAGUGAGAAAACCUAGGAGUAUAACUAGGUGAAUGACUUAGAAAGAUAACUUAGAUUGUGAAUUGACUUAAGUGGUGAUGCUUGGACGUAAUGAUACCUCGGUGUGUAUCGUGGACCAACAUUCGCCUGAUUAAUGAACCAACAAGCUCUGUAUGGAACAUGUGAAUGGGUGGAUACACUACAAGAUUUUGACUCUACUACAAUGCCAGGAAACCGUUGUGAAAUCGUGAAAAACCGUUGCCUUUUCCUUUGAGAACGGUUUCCAGACCGUGUCCAACCUAGGUGUUGCUUUAACCUUUCGCAACGGUAAUUUUAUCCUACGAAAACACCUUGUUGAGAACCAUUGUCUGACCAUUCUUUAGAGAACGGUUUUCAACAACAACAGUUCCGCUCUGUUUUAAGAUUAAAAUCGUUGUUGUUGACAUGUGUUAGAGAACGGUUGUUUUACGAGAUAUAGCAACGGUGUGGACCCGUAGUUAAUUAAAAAUCGUUCUAAUAGAGCCAUAUCCUAAUUUCUUAUAAGGAAGUUACGUCAACGCUCUCUAUACCACGACAACUCUUUAUAACCGUUGCAACAUAUGGUUUUUUUUAAACCUAAAUUUAUUUUUUUAUAAACCUAGUAAUGAAUGUAAAUCAUCAUUUCACAUUUCUUUUUUGAUAUAAUUCAGAAAUAAUUUUAAAAUAAUGUUACAAUAUAAAAAUUUUACACAACAAAAUAACAUAAUAUCAGAAUGUCAAUCAUGGUUUUCAUUCAACAAAACAUCUUCAAUAUACAUAUUUUAAUAUCAAUCAUCAUUCAUAAUCAAAAUAACAUCUGAAAUAUAUAAAAAGCAAACUUAAACAUCUACAUCUUCACAUUAUGUCUCUUCAUCUUCGAAUGACUUAAAAUUUUCAUUGAUAUCAUCAUCCAUGACCUUCAAAAUAAAAUAUAUUUAAAAUAAGAAUAGUAAGUAUCCAAAGGCUCUAAAGUUAUAAUGUAAAGCAUGAAACAAUUCAAACUUACUUUAUCAUUUGUCGAAGCAUGUGCUGAUGUAGAAGAAUGUAAGACACUAUUAGCAUUAGUUGUAGGAGACAAUAUCGAAGCUACUAGAGCUUAUAUAUCCAACUCUGAAGUGUUUUGAUUCAAAACAGUCUCAAGUCUUAGAAGAAGUUGGAUGAUGUUAGCAUCAAAGUUGCUUAGUGUUAACAUCAGUAUGAAAAUUUUAAAACCAUAGUGAAUUCAGUAUAUCAAUAUGAAAAUUGUGAAAUUGUAACUUAAUUGUUGCAAAAUAUAGCUCAACUAAAUUGUAAAAACCACUCAUGAACAAUAUUUCACAGAAAAGCUCUAUAUCAAUAUGACCAUUAAAUUCCAUCUAACAAAGGUCGUUCACUUCCACCUAACAUUCCAUCUCACCAUUAAUAUAAUAAAAAACACUUAAUAACAAUAACUUACAAUUGCAUGGUUGGUUUCUUGAUCCAAAACCUUUUCUUUCCUACUUGCUCACCAAUGUAACUUCCACCUAACAUUCCAUCUCACCAUUAAUAUAAUAAAAAACACUUAAUAACAAUAACUUACAAUUGCAUGGUUGGUUUCUUGAUCCAAAACCUUUUCUUUCCUACUUGCUCACCAAUGUUCUUUGAGACUUGUGAUUCAAUCGAACCUUUAACUUGAUGAUCCACUGUAGACUUCAAUUUCUUCUUCGUAUUAUUGUUCAGACCAAACACUUUGCUCGGCUCAACAAUGUUUCGAGAAGCUUCUACUUCUAAUUGUCUCUUAUUAUUAUUUUGAACAGGCACUUUGUUCAGCUCAACAACUUUGUUAGAAACUUCUACUUCCGGAUGCCUCCUAAUGUUACUAUUAUGUGCACACACUGUGCUUGGCUCGAAUAACUUAUAAGUCACAAUAACUAUUGCACAUAGAAUUAAUACAUGCUGAUCAGUUUCUACUUUAAUACCACUAUAAAAUGAACAGAAUAAAAAUGAACUAAAAAGUCUAUUUAAACAGUAGAAUAACAACAGAACAAUAAUAUCCAUCAAGACUUUUGUAAGCCUAAAAUCAUGACAAAAGAGAAUGAGUAACUACCAAAAUGAAGUUCUCUUUGACAAGUACUAUGAGAACAUUCAUAUACAAAAUCCAUAUGCAAGUUUCCUACGGUAGACUCUAAUGCUAUCACAUAUUUAAACUUUGUUAAACAAGUAUAAAAGACAAGACCAAAAUGUGCAAAUCUGCAACAACUUUAAUACAUAGAAGCUAUUUUUUCAAAAUGCAUACUGCAAUCAAAUUUUAUAUAUAUUAAACCCAUACUUAACUUAUCUUAACCAAAAUUGUGUGACACGUAAAAUGUGAAUACUCAAAUACCAGUAUAAACCAUUUGCAUUUAAGCAUUGGAAAACUACUAUCAUGCAGUACAAUUGGAGUUAGAGUGAGAUACUUUCUUUUUAAAGUAGAAACGUAAGGAAAAUGUGAAGAAAUAUUAACCAAUUUCUAUAGUAUACAUUUUUCUUACCACAAGUUUUUAAUCUACAUAUACUGCUUUCCAAUUACAAAGUUAAAGUAAUAAUGAUGAUGGUGCAUCUAACUAAUGAACUUAAGCUUAGUAUACACAACCCUGUGAAUGUGUUGUUGUUUCAUGAUCACUAGAACCUAAAACUCAUUUGCUCCUGAAGUGAACUUAGUGGUUCAAAUUUCAAACCACCCAAGCAUCAAUGUUCAAUAUAGUUGUAAAAUUGAGUUAUUGACAAUUGGAAACACACACUAUCAUCAAUCAUCACCUAUCACCCAAAAUCUCACCAACAUAAAGAUGCCAAAACAAAUCAUGAAACAGAUAAUAUCUCAAUCCAUAAAGAACAUCUAGAUAUUGAAAUUGUGGAACAGAGUGAAGUAUAAAUACACGAAAAUUCAAUUGCACUGCUUAAAACUUCCAUAGGAAGCAUAGAUCUAGCAACCUUAAAAAACAAAAUUUUGCUAACUUGAGCCAUGACAACAAAUUGGAAGCGAGAAAUCUUCCACUACAAAACACCAAAGAAGAUAAAGACAAUAAAUUAACCAAUUCUUAUGAAGCACUGAUGCAACAUGCAUAAAAAAAGAGAACAAAAAUGUUCAACUAUUUUGAAAUUUAUUUUAAUAGCUUGAUUAAUUUCACCACCUAUAACGGCCCAGUAAAGCCGGCGAUAUGGUUGGACUUUGGCGCUCCACAAUCAACAAGUAAAUCUUUGAUCAAAUCCUCUCAAAACUUGAAAUCAAAUAACACUAAAUUUGCAGGGACCAAAGAUAUAUUCAAUCCAAAACCAUAUUAUCAUUGUCUAUCAUCUAUAUUGUGAAUAUGAUCAAGUUGCCCAUAUGAUGAAGUUGCCCAUAUGCUGGAUCAAUAUCAAGAAUUAACACUUAUAUGAUAUUAUUCUAGAUAUACAUUAUACAGGGUGUUAUAGUUUGUAUCGGAGCAGGUCAAUUUUCGACCUAGCCUUGAAACAUCAUAAAUAAAUCUAUUCUUGCCUCAUAUGUGUGUUUAGCCAACAUGAUUCUUAAUAUCAUAGUAUAUAGUAUUGGGCCUAAUCAACCUAAUUCUAUGUAUGUGGUAGGUAGGAUCAUGGUUGAGCGACCACAAGAACUCUAAAGGUGAGUAUAGCUUGUACGUAGAGGGAAGGUCCAAGCCAAGAGUGGGAAUUAAGGAAAACCGGUAAGCUCAAUUGAUGUGCACAUGUCAGAAGUGGUCUCAAGUGGAUUUGUGCAAGAUUCAACAUUAUAGAUCAUGGUGCCAAACAAAGUUAGGUCACCAUGUUCAAGCUUAGGCCAAAUCCAAUCCACUCGUGUGUUUUCCAAAUUUCUUCGAGCCAAAUGAUCACUUCAUGGAGUCGAAUAAAAAAGAAUCAAUCAAAAAGGAGCUUUAAGGUGAAAGUUAUGGGCUUGUGAAGUUGAGGUUGUGACCUGGUUUUGUGGGCUAGGCUAUUGGUCAAGCACUUUGCAGCAUGUUUAAUCAUUUUGAGGUCCCAUGUUCAUGAUGUUAUAAAUUUUGAUUCCCUCGUGCACUUUGAUCCAAACUUGGGCAAAAUGAUCUUUGACAGAAGCUUAACACAAUACAAAAAUAAUGGAAUCAAAGGAAUGCUUGAGCUGAAAUGGAAAGGGUGGAAAGUGGGGGUCAUGGCAAGGUUUUGACCCAUUUUGGCAAAUUGGUCCUUUGCACAAAUGAGGUCUUAAAUGGAUGAACUGAUGUUUGACCCUUGGAUAAAAAUUGUAGAGGAUCCUAAAAGGCAUAUUUGGCUCAAAGAAGUUUGGCAGUUGGGUAAAUAUUGAAGGAGUUAUGGGGUUUGGACCAAAGGCAUGGCAUGCUUGCAAAUUAGGUCAAACCAUCUUGCACCCCUUUGUGCAAACUUGAUGUUUUCUUGCAUUUUAAACCAUGAUGAUGAUGUAUUAAACAUCCCUUGAUGAAAUCUUGAUUAGGGCUUGAGUUAUAUGGGACAUGGCUUGAAUAUUGAGGGUUGUGGCAUGGAAACUAACACACGACCCACCUUUGAAUCAACAUGAACAAACUUGCAGUUCUCUUGAUCAAAGACCUUGACUUUGCCUUACUUUGAAGCAUGAUUACCUACUUGAGUAAUAAGAACAAACAAGUACCAUCUCUUCAUGAAGUUAGGGCUAGUUGACAAGUAAAAAAAAGUGAAACCCUAGGUUAAGAUAUCAUACACAAUUGUGGAAGAACAAAAAACCCAACAUUUCAUAUUUUCAUCCUUUUGGAUGUGACUGUUUUAUGUUGAACACUAAGGACAAUCUGAACAAGUUUAAUUCUAAGGCACAAAAGUGUAUUAUGUUAUGAUACUAUGAACGUUCUAAAGGAUAUAUAGUAUACAACACAGAAACACGAAUUAUUCAGGAAUCAAUUCAUGUUUGAUUUGAUGAUAAGCUUGACCCUGAAAAGUCAAAGCUAGUUGAGAAGUUUGCAGAUAUGAAGAUCACAUAUUUAGGUUUUAAAGGUAAAACUUCAGAAGAAAAAGAUGCUAAGGCAAAAGACUUUAAAGCUAUUUGUCAUACUCCAAAAUUUGCCCUCCCAUUUUUUUAGUUUUUGUCAGGCUUAUUGCUCAUUUCAUCUGCAUAUCCACAUGCCCUAAUAAUCCAUCAUAAAAAAUCCAUCUACAAUUACAUCCUUAGAUAAACACCAUUGAUUCAAAGGGUCUUUCUGAUUUAUGAUACAAAGCUAGUAGAUCAAGCUUAUGCUAUGUCUUGACUAUUUUGGCACAAUAAUGAUGAUUGGUUCACUCUUUAUGGAUUAAUGCCUGUGAACCCCUAAUUCUUGGUGCUUGAGAUCUUGGUUUAUGGGGAUAUCAUCAUGGUAUUUGAUUUGAUCAUAAAACCCUAAUUAUUGGGUUUUGGAACAAAUGUAUAGUUUGGUUUGCAUCAGGGCAUUGACUUGGUUUUGGAUUACAACUUAGGUCACCUUUGGUGGAUUGAUUUUAACUGACUAUUUUGGUUUGUGCGUUAGUCCAUCAGUUUGUUUGAUUGAGAUUCAAGGCCAAGUAUCACGUUUCAUGUUUUAUUUCAAGGAUGACAUUCAAGCAUUUGGAUUCAAAAACAUUUAAAUUGAAAAUGGAGGCAAAUUGGAUUACUUGGAUUACAAGUCACGGUUACAAGUUACAAAUUACAAGUUACAAAGUCAAAAGCCUUCAUUUAAGUAUGCAAAUACAUUACAAAGGUGUCAAAAAUGGAAAUUACAAGAAAAAAUUGAUUUUGACCUUAGGUUAAUUUUUUGGUCAAGCAGUUGACAAAAGUCAACUCUACUCUAAAUUCUACUUUUUUCUUCGUUCAUAAAGCCGGGUAGUUUGUUUAAUGCCUUCACAAGUCUUGAUGUUAUUUGGGCCAUGACCUAUCCAUAUUUGAUUCAUGCCUUUAUUUCAUUUCAUUAAUUCACCACCAGCCCUGCAAGAAUCAAUGUCCACAUAUUAGCAUCAUGCACACAACCAAAAUCAGUCAUGACCUAUAAUACAUUGCAAAUUCAUCAUACAUACACAACAUAAUACAUCUAGUUCAUUUUGAUAGAUAGCAUACAAACAUGACUAAUAACAACCACAUUUUCAUUUAACACACUACUAGCAGCCAUCCAAUGACAUAUAGAAUUGGACCAUUUCUAACAUAUUUAGCCAAGUUAACUUUUCUUAACAAUUCACCAACAGGUUUCAAUCAAUAAUGUAAAGAAAUUUAGCCUCUAAGACAACUCAGUUCCAUCAAUCCAAAGUGGUUUCAAAACAGUCCAAACAAUUACUACACUAACAAUAAUUGUCUUCAUCCUAACUAACCAAUUCAAAAUCCAUUUAACCAACUCGGAUUGUGCUAAGAUAAUUCUACUUUGACCUUGCAGCAGCUGACUUGUUUCAAUGGCAUUAACUGACUUCAAAGGCAUGGCUCACUAUGCCAAACAAGGGAUUAGACAGCGCUUUUUUUGACAUUAGACAGCGCUUAAAAGCGCUGGCUAUACUGGCGCUGGUAUAGGUCUUAGACAGCGCUUAAUUUACUAAAAGAGCGCUGGCAUAGGGGGGGUUUAGACAGCGCUUUUUCAGUAAAAGCGCUGUCUAAAACCCCCCUAUGCCAGCGCUUUUUUAGUUAAUUUCAUGUUGAAAUUAACUAAAAAAGCGGUAGGCACCGUGUAAUCAAAAAAAUAUGUGUCUAAAACCCACCCUAUGCCAGCGCUUUUUACACUAUAUUUUGUUGAAUUAACCACCUAUGCCAGCGCUUUUGAUAAAAGCGCUGUCUAAGGUCAAAAUUAAAAUGCCUUUACCAGCCGUUUUGCCUAAAAGCGCUGUCUAAGACUCCAAAUUUUGGAGGAUCUUUUUAUACGUUUUCACCACAUUAUUAGCACCUGUAAAUUGCAAAUUUCAGCAGAUUUCAUAAAUUGGAGCUUGAAUCCAAUCUAUAUGCACCUUAUAGUUCAACACAUGUGUUCUAUCUCUGAAUAGCACAUAUACUUGAAAAUCUAUAUGCAUUAUAAACACAUUAUAGUUCAACACAAUAUACUUCUAAUUUCAGCAGUUUUUGAGUAUUAUAUAUAUACUUGAAAAUGUUUGCCUUUACAAAAAUCUACACAUUUCUAAUACCCCAAAAUGCUAAUCAAAUGUAUUUCAACACAUUCUAGUUCUAUCUUCUAAAUAUGAUCUAUAACCUGAAACAACACCAAAUAAAGAUUGUAAGCAAAUGGAUCAUCAAAGUUAUCAGAUCCCAUUCAAAAUUAAAGUAAGAGUUCAAUACCUCACAAAACCUGUAGCUCGAUAAUGAAUUGACACAAUUCCUCUUUAAUUUCAUCCAACUGAUCUUUUGAGUAAUAAGCACAUCUAUUCAUCAAAGUACUACAUAAUAAUAACAUAGUAUGAUUAUUAUAUCUAUUUAAUUAUGAGAAAUAUGUGUUAAUAUGAAAAUAACUCAUAAGUUAGAAAUCCAUACAUCGAAUGGAUAUCUGUUGAUCCAUAAGAAGAGUUUCUUUCAUAAACCUCAACGUGUAAUAUCCACAAUCUAUAUUAUUACGCUGUCGAGGACACUACACAUGGAAAACAAUAUGGAUAAAUAUCCUAAGUUUAUCAUGUCAUCACUAAUAUAAUCAAAAUUGUGAUAAUUAAUAUACCUCCACUCUAUUCCAUGUAAUGUUAUUGGCUUUCUCUUUGGUACUUGAAUUUCUUUGUGCUCGACAGUUUGUAAUGCUAUAAUGAAAUAUAAACGAAUAUUAGAACAAUUCACAUAAAUAAAUAAUAUACCAACGAAUAUGGGUUAUUUGCACUUACGUGUCAACUAUCGUCUUCAUACAGGGUAUGUUGUCCAAUCAUUGUGUAAAGAAUCCAAAUAAUACACAAUUUCUUUAAAAGAUUUAUCGCGACCAACAACCAAUGUCCACGAAAUAAAACAAUUUAGAUGGAAACUUUCUACACGACGUCAAAAUAUGAAAAAUUAUAACAGAUGAAUUUAGAUUGAAGAACUAACCCGUCGCCGGUAUUAAACGGUAAAAGAACAACUUUUCUCUAUCUGUGUCGGCCAUAAGACGCGCUCGACUACAUACGUCCGACUUCAUCUGGUUUCUUAUCAUUUCGGUUAAGUUCGUUUUCUAUGGGAUUUAAGAUGAAUCUUUGCUCCAACCCAGCGGACCCCCAAUUUGUCAUAUAAAUACUUAUAAAAAAUCAUUAACAUUUAGACUAUUCAUAUGAAACGAGUAAAUAACUUGUUCAAGAAUUAAACAAGUAGAUCGGAUAUACCUCAUGUAUGUGUUGAUAACACCAACGCUUAAUUGCGUAUGAUACAAAAUUUGAUCAAACACCUCUCCAAUGGCUCGGCAUACUCAAAACAAAAAUAGCUCCAUCCAAGGUAUUAACGAACACAUCCAUCCGAAAUAUCUGUCGUUUCUAAAUAUGUAUGGAGCACGCUCAUACUUGGAAGGAUUUUUCUUUUUAGCCUCGGUCCUCUUGGAAAUUUCAGUCUUCUUAGCAACAGGAAUCUAAAUCAUAAUUAGUAAGGUGAAGUGUAAGAUGACGAAUUAACAGGAUCUAAAUAGCAUAUAAUUGUGAUGUACUCUUUUGCGAUGCAACUGACUCGAUUCCCGCGCAAUCCCUUAUCUUUGCUUGGAUUUGUGGGAGUCUAAUUAACAUUAACAUGUAAAAAUGUGUACGUAAAAUGCGCGUAAAAAUUUGAAUACCUAAAGGUUCAUAAUGGUUUUAACAUACCUCAUAUCCUACGAUAAUGAGGUCUGUCGGCCAUGCAACAAUGAACCUAUGGCAUCUCCCAAUAAAGUUGCAUCCGAAACAUCGUCAGGAUGUGGUAAUAACGCAUCCUUCUCCAAAGCAAUAUCAACCGAGACUUUCAAAGAUCCAGUAGGGAGCGGUUUAGUGUGAAGUAAUUCACCCAAAUUGUUAUGAACUUCCCCUUGCCAACCAUCGCGAUAGUCGGUCUCGCUAAGUAGAGGUGACAAGGUGAAAUGCCCUAAAACCAAUAAUAAGUAGAGGUGUCUCUUUCACAAGAUGAACAACAUAAUGAACCAUUAUGUCAAAAAAAACGAGGAAAUACAUUUCAAGCUCACACAAGGUAAUUACAAUCUCUUUUGUAGUGUUGGUAAACUCGGGAUCGAUCACCUUACUACAAAUUGACCUAAAGAAAAAACACAAUUUAGUUAUGCACUUCUUACUUUUUCUGGCAAAAAGAACGUAUACCUAUCGGUAGAAAAUGUUCCAUUAUAACAUGGCAAUCAUGUGUCUCUCAAAUUCUUCAACUUGAGGUCUUUCAUAGAAACAAGUCUUCUGAUAUCAGAUGAGUAACCUUCUGAACCUUAACUUCACUCAGAGACUUACACAAAUUUUUUUUCUCCUUUCUAGAUAAAGUAAAAGCGGCAGGGUGUAAUAUGUUCGUCUUCCUUUCUUCACGGGUGCUAAUUCAGUUCUUCCCAUUUUUAACAUGUCCUGCCUUGCUUUAAGGCCAUCCUUAGACUUGCCUUUUAUAUAUGAGUAAUGUACCGAUAACAUUUCAAAUACGUUUUUUCAAUAUGCAUAACAUCGAGAAAAUGUCUCACGUACAAAGACUUCCAAUAUGGCAAUUCAAAAAUAUCGACCUUUUCUUCCACCCACCUUUCACAAUCUUAUGUGCAAAAGGCUUGCCAAACUCAGUACGCACAUCUUUCACCUUUUCAAAACUGUUCACCUGACAAUGCGGGUGGAGCUCUACGAUGUUCGGUGUCUCCAUUGAAUGCUUUUCUCCACCCACGGUAGUGAUGUUUAGAAUGUAAGAAUCUACGAUGACCGAGAACACAUUCUCUGGCAAAGUUCCAAUCGAAUCGUAUCGGUUCCGUCUUCACAAACAGGACACGCACGUUGACCUUUAUGCUACACCCAGAUAGAUUCCCGUAUGCUGGAAAAUCAUUAAUUGUGCCAACAACACGCCCUCAAAUUGAAACUUUCUUUCCUAUAUCCAUCAUAAACCUCCACACCGUUCUCCACAAAACUUUAAUCUUCGAUCAGAGGUGUCAAGUAUACGUCUAUGUCAUUCCCUGGUUGUUUAGGCCCAGAGAUUAACAUAGAUAACAUCAUGUACUUAUGCUUCAUACAUAGCCACGGAGGUAGGUUAUAAUCAUAAGAAUCACAGGCCAUGUGGUAUGUGAGAUACUUUGAAGACCAUGUGGGUUCAUUCCAUCAGUAGAUAAUGCCAAUCGAAGGUUUCUUGCUUCUGAUCCAAACUUAGGAUAAUCAUUAUCAAUCUUCGACCACUGUGGAAUCAGCCGGAUGCCGAUACUUUCCAUCAAUAACUUUCAUCUGCAUGCCAGUAAGAUGUCUUGCAUCGGUUUCACUACGAAACAUGCGCCUAAAUCUCGGAAUUAUCGGAAAAUACCAUAGACUUUUGCGGGAGAUAAUCUUUUCUUAUAUCGAGACAAAACCGCAUUUAGGGCACUCAGUUAACAUUGCAUAUUCGUUACGAAACAAAAUGCAAUCGUUAGGACAAGCAUGUAUCUUAUCAUAGCUCAUGCAUAGAGCACAACAUUUUUUUUGCCUCAUAGGUUCGAUUAGGAAGAACAUUAUCAUCCGUAGCAUUUCUCUCAUAAGGGCCAACAACUCUGUGAAACUUUUAUCCGACCAUCCAUUGCCCGCCUUUAAGUUGUACAACUUUAAUACCGCAGAAAGUCUUGAGAAUUAGUGGCAACCUUUGUACAACGGUUUCUCUGCAUCGCUUACCAUCCUCUCAAACAUUUCAGACAAUCAUGAAGAUCUUCAUCCAGUGCUUCUACAAUCUCUUCAACUCGAUCACAAUCGUAUGUUUCCGUGUCUUUGUCGUAUGAAGCAUAGGUCGUAUUACUUUUCUCCCUCUGUUCAACAUUCUCGUUAAUUUUCUCACCAUGAAAUAUCCAACACGUAUAACUUCGAUCAAUUCCACGCAUCAGUAAAUGCGAUUUCAAUCCAUCUGCGUCAACCCGACCAUAUAAACAACCCAAGCAAGGACAUUUCAUUCGACUGGGUCUUUGACAUGUUCAACAGCAAACUUAACGAAUUCCAAUACCCCAUUCUCGUACUCUUUCGACAAUCGAUCGGCAGACAUCCAUUUUAUCCAUGGUUUUCCUAAAUUAUUCACGCAACUAUUUCAAAACAACAUAAAAAAAAUUCCUAAGAUAAACAUUUCGCGUCACAAAAAGAGAUGAUUUACAAAUAAUAAAUUAUAUAAUAAAUAUAUAUAUAUAUAAUAAUAUAUAUAUAUAUAAUAUUAUAUAUAAUAAUAUAUAUUAUAUAUAUAUAUAUAUAUAUAUAUAUAUAUAUAUAUAUAUAAUAUAAUAUAAAAUAUAUAUUCUUCUACUAACUAUGAGUGAAGUAACUAUAACUAUGUUGUAGUUAUGCUAUUAAAAUCAUGACAAUUUGGAUAUUUAUUAUGAUGAAUGUCAAAUGAUUGGAAAUAAUUUAGAGGACUAACACCUAUUGAAUAAACAACUUAUUUCCGCGUUUAUCAUAUAAUUGCUAUAUAUAAGUCAUUUCUAUGAAAAAAAGAAGGCAAUAAUUACUACCUUUUAAUUGUGGAUGUCAACAAGCUUUGUAGCAAUAGUCCUCAAUUGAGUCCUAAGGAAAUGAACACCCUAUAUAAAUAAACAACAGCUUAUUAGACAUUAAACAGAUCAAGCAAUGUAUCAAUCAGUCAGUAAAGUAAUCAACUAAAGUACAAGCAAUCAAGUAGGGUAAUAUGUCAAUCCAAAACUAGUCAGCAUUGUCAAAAACCAAUUUAAUACCAAUCCAACUUAGCAAAAUAUUUUCCAAACCAGUCCAACACAUUCAAGCAAAUAAAAGUGUAGUUCAAAUGUGCAAUAUAGUUCAGCAGUCCAACAUAAUUCAAGUUUAAUCAGUUCAGUUUCAUGGCACAGAAAAAAAACAAUUCAACAAGGUAAAAUCACAAGCCAAGUCAAUGCAGUUCCAUUCAAUUAACUUUGACUCACAUCAUUCCCAUUCUAACAAGCUAGCCUUUCUUUAACUGUCUAACAGCUGACCUGCAUUUUCUAAACUUGCAUUUCAGUUUUUCAUUCUAACACUAACCACACUAAUUAACUAUUUCAUUAACACUAACACAUCUCCCUUUAACAGUUCAUCUAAUCCUAUCCAACUUACACGCCAAGCUAACAAUCACAUUUAACACUUGCUACAAUUCAUCAUCAGUAUAAUAGAAACCUAAUGGAAGCAAACACAAACCAUCUCCUUUGACAUGGUGAUUAAUACAAAAUAUAUACAUUUGUUAACAUCACACACAAAGAAUCAACUCUAAACACACAAAAGAAUCAACUGCCCUAACACAAGAAACAACUGCCCUAACACAUGAACCACAAAAGAAUCAACCCAGAAGCAAACCUUAUCACUAAUAAACUGCCCUAAAUAAAGAAAGAUGAAACGAACAGAAAAUGCACUUACAAAAAUGUAACGUGAUGAACGAAGUGAGUGAUGAACGCAGAAUCAAAAUGAAGGUUUUGGGAGAAGCAGUGAUGAUGAACGCAACGAGUAUGAACGCAGUGAGAAGAAGGUUUGUGGAGCGAGGGAAACAAAAUGGGUCUUAACGUACUGAAUGAAUUCAUAUAUUAUAAUUUACUAAAAAAAAAAUUUGGUAAAUAAGGCCUUAGACAGCGCUUAUGAAAAGCGCUGGCUAAGCUCACAAUUAAAAUGGCCUAGACAGCGCUUUGAAGGAAAGCGCUGGCACAGGAGGGGUCAAUAGCAGCGCUUCUAAAGCGCUGUAUAAGGUAGGCCUAUACAGCGCUUUUUUAAAAAUUUAAAAGGCCUUAGACAACGCUUUUGGGAGAAGCGCUGUAUAAGGUGACCUUGUCAAAAGCGUUGUAUAAGUAGGCCUUAUACAGCGCUUUUGUUGUGAUUAAUUUAAAUAAUUUUAAGGCCUUAUACAGCGCUUCUCCAAAAGCGCUGUCUAAGGUGACCUUCUAAAACGCUGUAUAAGGUAGUUAGACAGCGCUUUUGGUUGUGAUUAAUUAAAUAAUUUUAAGGCCUAGACACGCUUGGAGAACGCUGUAUAAGGUGGACCUUCUCAAAAGCGCUGUCUAAGGUAGGCCAUUUAGCAGCGCUUUUAAAAAGCGCUGUCUAAGACCAUCCAUUUAGCAGCGCUUUAAGCCAUCUACGUAUUCAGUUUCCUUAUUUUUUUUUUUUUUAACGUGUAGCAGCGCUUUUGGAGAAAAGCGCUGUCUAAGGGGCGCUGCCAAAAACCUGUUUUGGCGUAGUGGCUUAACAAAGUUUCUAGCAUUCAAUUAAAAGUUUCUUUGUUAUGAUAGGAUAAUUUACAUAUUUAAUUUAUUUAAUGACUAAUUUAGAGUAUCUGUAAUAUAUUUAUUUAUCUUAUAUUUUAUAAAGAGUCAUAGCAUUUUAAUGUGAGUAUUUUUAUGGGUAAUAUUUUAUUUAUAAAUAAUUAUAAUAAAAUAAAUUAAAUUAUGUUUUUGUUAAUUAAAUCUCAUGAUUAGAAAGAAAAUAGGGCGUAGAAAGUCUCCUUCAAUUUUGUAUACGUGUCAAUAAUGAUUGGAACAAAAAUUUAUUUUUGAUGAAUUGACAAUGAUGACUAUGAAUAUUUUUAAAUAAUUAAUUAAAAAAUUUAUUUAAUUGUUUUAGAAGUUUAUUUGAAAACUAUUUAUUAAUAUAAAUUUUAAUAUUUAAAAUAUUGAUUUUGGGCUUUAAGCAAAGCCCUAUCCUUCAGCCCACCAAUGUAUAUAAUAAUGUGUUUGUUUCACAUGUUUAAAAUGUUUUUUAUUGAAAAAUUGAUGUAGGACUUAACCAUAUUUCUCUCAACAUUUCAUGCAUCAUUUCCUGCAACAUUUUCGUCCCUUGAUCCACCGGAGCACUUGUAUCCACCAACUUCCCAGCAUCAGCAGCAGCUUCCAUUCCUUAUCAAAGGUUGCUCAUAUUUGGUAUUUGGUGAUAAUCUUUCUACUCAAUUCUCUUAUUACAUAAGCUUUUUGUUUUAUAAUCAAUAAGAUCUAUUUGCAUGAUUGGCAAGUUCUAUAGUUGAUUACUGCUACUACUUUGCGUGAUUUGUCUAAUUUAGAUCUACUUUGCCACAUUUCUACUAUGUCAAUAAUAACUACUCUCUUAUGUCAUAUAAAAAGAGAACCUUCUUGCCACAUUUCUCACUAUCCAGCUUAAAUUUUCUCUUUUCUCUCUUGACAUAUAAUAAGCUCUUUUUUGUUUCCAUUUAUGAUACUGUUUGAGACAACUAUAGAAACUUUCAUAACAGUAUAAUAAAUACUUAUGUUAUGUUGGAUUGAAAAUUUAUUAAUAUUAAUUAUAAUGUUAAAAACACUAAUUAGUAUGAGCAUGUUACAGAUCUGGCUUCAGAAGUGAUUGCUCUGUCAUGAAAGUCACUGAUGACAACAAACCGUUGCAUCUGCGAAGUAUGCAUCAAGGGUUUCAAGAGAGACAAAAACCUACAGCUACACCUGCAAGGGCACAAUCUUCCAUGGAAGCUUAAUCAAGAAACCAUAAGGAGGUUGUAAGGAAGGUGUACGUGUGUGCACCUUGACCCUAGUAGAGCUUUAGGUGAGUUAACAGUAAUAAAGAAGCACAGUGAGAAGAAGUGGAAGUGUGAUAAGUGUUCUAAGAAAUAUGCAGUUCAAUCUGAUUGGAAGGCUCAUAGUAAGAUUUGUGGUACUAGGGAGUACAUAUGUGACUGUGAUACACUAUUCUUCUGGUAUACAUAUUCACCAUUUAAUGCAUGUUUGCAAAAACGAAAUCCCAUUCAACAAUAACAUUAUUGAUACUUGAAAGUUUCUAUAUUCUUCACUAAUGUCCCAUAUAGAUUUGUUUACACAUAGAAUCAGAGUUAUAUACAACAUAAUACUAAGUAUGUUUGAGUGAUUUGGAGAGAUGUUAAAAGGAUUGGGCUUAAAACAUAUUAAAUAAUGUAUUCAAAAUUGGAGGGGAAUAUUAAAAUUCUACUUAAUUAAUAAAUACUAGGAUAUCAAAAAUUAGUACAUUUAAGUCAAAAUAAUACAAAACUAAUUUUUUAGCAUGUUUUUUUCAUUUGAUUAAUCUCACAAUUUUAAUUCGUAAUUUCUAAUUGUAUUUCCGAUUUGAGUGAAAUCAACACUAAAAAGGCCAUAUUAAAAUUACCAAUGUUAUAAUUCGAUUUAAUUUAUUAUUUGAGAUCAUUUUUUUAAACUAAAUUUUGAAAUUGAUCUUUUAGUAAUUCUCAUAUUCUAUUAUUUUUAUUUACUACAAAUUAUCGUGUUGUUGGAUUGAUUAGAAGACGGUGGGUGAAACAAAGGGAAGAUUAUUGCAGGUGGAUUCAUAAUAGUGUGUAAAAGCAUCAAAGUAAGGAACGGGGUGAGAUUUCAUUUAAAUCAUGAGUGUAAAAUAAGUAAGAUGAACAUGAGAGUCAUGUUUCUUGAAAUUCAUCUGGGACUCAAUACGAUAAUUGAAGCCCCUUGAGUGAUAAUUAAAUAAAUGUACAAAUAUGAAAGUGUGAGGUUAAAAGAGAAACUAGAAACUUUAUUAAGGUUUUUAUUGAUUUAAUUUAUGUCAAUGUGUGAUAAUUGAUGUUAUUAUAGAAUAUGUGUUUUAUUUUGAUUAUGUGCAAAAUAUCUUAAUUAUAUAAUCAUCAUAAUUAUUUGAUAAUCGAUAAAAUAGUGAGUUGAGCAUGUGUGAUAUAUGAGUUUAUGUGAUAAAUUAUCAUAAUAAUAUACUAGUGGUGACAUUGGGAUUGCAAUUAAGUUUGUGUGAAUACUUGGUAUGUUAGAUUAUGAAUUGAUUUAGUUAUUCGUGUAUACAUAUACUAAGUGAUGUGUGAUGGUAUAAGUUAUAUAAUGAUUACGAAAAUGAUGAAUUUGAUGUGAUGAAAUCGAGAUGCUAUGAUUGUUUGAUUUGAAGAAUUAUUAUUGGUGAAAAUGUUAUGAUUGUGAUUGAUAUGUGAUAAUAAUAAUUAUUUUCUCUCGGUAGAUUAAGAUGAAUCGAUAUACCUAAUUGUGAUAUAUAGGUAACAAAUGGUGUUUGAAUAUAAAUAUGUUUUGAUGGUGUAUAAAUAAUGAAUAUGAUAUUGUGAAAUUAAAGUGAAAAAAGUAUUUGAUGGUUUCCCAUAGAUGAUGAAAUAUAGGUUGUUAUGACUCGUGCUGAAGACGAUACUUUUAAGGAGUAACCUAGGCCAAUGAGGAGAGGGACUAAACACUAUGGAUUUUGACAUGGAUGUUAUUUUGUCAGCUAAUCCAAUAAAACUUCUAAUCUAAGUGACAUACUUCAAAGUCUCCCAUUGUAACAUAACAUAUAUCUUCGAUGGAUCCACAACUAUACCACCACUAGAAAUCACAUGACCAAGGAAACUCACUUAUCUUAAUCAGAACUCACACUUGGAAAACUUUCCGUACAACUGAUUCUCUUUCAAUGUCUGCAAUACAAUUCUCAGAUGUUCCACAUGCUCUUCAUCAGACUUCGAGUAUAUCAAGAUCUCAUCUAUAAACACAACUACAAAUUGUUCUAAAUACGGAUGACAGAUUUUAUUCAUGUAUUCCAUGAACACUCCAGGUGCAUUAGACACACCAAAUGGAAUUACCGAAUACUCGUAGUGACCAUACCUAGUUUUAAAAGCCGUCUUCAGAAUAUCUUCCGGCUUCAUAUGAAUCAGAUGAUAACCCAAACGCAAAUCUAUCUUGCUAAACACACAAGCACCUACCAACUGAUCCAUAAAAUCAUCAAUCCUAGGGAGUGGAUACUUGUUAUUGAUAGUCACCUUAUUCAGCUAUCGGUAGUCCAUAUAUAGCCUCAUAUUACCUCCUUUCUUCUUCACUAGUAACUCCAGCGCACCCGAUGGAAAAACAUUCAUACAAACAAACCUAUUUUCAAGAAGAUAUUAUAGUUGCUUCUUCAAGUCACCAAACUCCGAAGCAUCCAUCCUAUAAGGAGACCUCGACACCAGACUAGUACUAGAUACUAAGUCUAUAGAAAACUCCACCUCGCGCUCUGGAGUUAAAUCACUAAUAUCAUCUGGAAACACUUCCGGAAAAUCACUCACCACAGGUAGCUCGUCCAACACAACUUUAGUCUCUGCCUUCAUAGAAGCUAAUAUCAUAAACAUUGCAGCAUUGUCCUUUACUAACUCAUUCUCUUGCUUAUUUGAUACAAACAUCAACUCUUCACCUUCAUCGAUCUCAUAUUCAUGCUCUGGAGGCAAGUCGUAGAUAUCUUCAGGAAAAUAUCAGGAAUCACACACCACUUGUAUAUAACUAGCCAUCACAUUUCUCCUCACUCUUCGAGAAGAAAAUCUCAACAAUACCAAAUCGUUCUCCCUCAAAGACAUCCAAACUAGACCAACAGACAGAAAUCUCGAAUCCACAUCCUCAUUGGAUUCAAGAAACUCCAUUGAAUUAUCAAAACGAUUGGUAAACAUUUGGUUUAACUCCAACCAAUUCAUUCCAAGAAUAAUAUCAACUUGUUGCUUUGAAAGAUAACCCGUACAUAUCCUUAGGAAACACGUCAGGAUACUUAACAUACCACUGGCUCAUGUCUAUCCAAAACAUAUCCUUCCCCCUUAUAAGGAAGCGAACAAGGAGAACACCUGAUUGUCUUUCCUCAAGGAUCACUCCAAUUUGUUAACCGACACCAUCCUCGAACCUAACCUCUGUUUGGGUUCAGAAAAGUAAAACAUUCUCAAAACUGUUGAACUAGCCAACAGUGCACUCUCGCAUGCAACAAUAUGAUGUACAAGCUCUCUACAUUUGGAACAUCCAAAAGAAGCUGACGCUUCUCCCCCACUUUUUUCAUUCCCAACCUGCAAAUGGAAAACAAAAAAACACCACGGUAGAGAUUGAAGAAGGGGCCUCCGGUCGACUCAACUUCAACAUCAGUUCUUAUAAUUCAUCCAGAAUAUGAAGGUUGGUACGUGCAACCUCUAGAAGGUCUAUGUUGUCCAUCUUUAACUUCAGUUGUUGAAAGAUUUUGUCGAAAUUAGCAACAUGGGAAGCUUCAGGUGAAGAAGAAGAGUCCAUGACAAGCUUGUCAUAUGGUUCGAUGAGGUGUUUAAAGAGUUCAACUAAAGUUUCUUCGGGUUCCUCUAUAGCGAUAAAAAAUUUAAGAUUAAUCCAUUGAUUAACUUAACUCACAAAUCAAGAGUCGCCAUCGCACUUUUAUGAUUUCUAAAAGAAAGUGAAAAAAAACGAACAAACCCCAAAGAAAUUUUAAAACGAAAAGUAAUAAAAAGAGAUAAGGGUCUAGGGGUUGGAUAUGCAAAGGGAAGGUACUAGCACCCUAAACAUCUAUAGUACUUUAUAGGAACCUCUUUGGAAAUCUGUGCAUUUUGGUUUUAAAAUGCUGUUGUUUGCAAAAUAUUGUGGGAGGUCAGAAAAUAAAUGUUUUUAUAAUUUUGUGUUUGCCAAGACUUCUUGAGUCUCAUGCCUACGUGCCAACAAAGUGCAAUGGAGGAUCAAAAACUCAUAUUUCAUGGUAAAAAUAACAAAGAUGCUUGUUUAGAUUCAUUUUUAAUGAAAAGACAUUUUGUCAUUUUAAGGAGAACACUCAACUAGCCGCACACAAAUAUGAGAACUUUGCAUCACCACAUAGAAGGGCCCUAACUUGGAUAAAAAUCAACAAGUGUUCCACUAGCUCUCCUAGGUGGAAAAUAAUUAUCAUAAAUACUAUGGGGAUAUGAGAAUUACAUCUCAACUAUGGAAAUGACUCAUGUCUAAACUUUGAGAAAAAGAUUUAAAAGGAAAAAAAACACACAAAGGGCACAAAAUGGUUUGAAUGAGUUAUAUAUUUUUUAGUCUUUUGAAAUUGGUUUUGAAUAUGCUUAGGAUGUAUUGGCAUUUAUUAAGGAAUUUUUUUGAAAAUCACUUGACAAAAGUCAAGGUUUAUUGAGAAAAGUAGUUCAAGUUUGAAAACAAGAAGGUUUUCGAAAAGAAGAGAGAGGGAGGAAAUAUCUAACCAAGAGAUAACAAGCCUUAUGACAUAAGUCAAGCAAGAAUUCUCUCCUUUGGAUUAAGCCUCAAACAAGCUAAAUAAGCAAAGAAUAAUCCAUGUAUCAGAUGAAACCAAAAUGACCAAGCCAAGUCUUCAAAAGAAGCCCAAUAGUCAAAGGUGCCAGAUGAGUCCCAAGGUCUCAAAUCACAAACUCCCAAAGCAAGGGUCAAGAUCCUAGUUCUAAGUCAAUAACUCCACAAUCAUGCCAAUGAUAGUAACCUCAAGUCCAUGAAUCAAGAGACCCAAUUUUUUAGGUUUUUUUUUCUUUAUCAAUGUCUUUAAAAGAAAAAGAAGUCCAAAUGGAUAAAGGAAGAAAAAGAGCAUAAACAAUAUGAUAUGACAUGCUAAAAAAAAGCAUAAAGUAAAUAUCAAGAAAUAAAGAGCAUAAGAUAAAUAACAUUAAAGUAAAGUUAAUACAAUAACAUGUUAGUAAGUUGUGUUAGUAAUAAAAAAUAGAAAGACAGUUUGUCAUUUUUUGGAUAACACUCAACUAUUCAUCCACAAGUAUGAAAAUAUGGACCUCUACAUCACCAUGACAAGGGAUCCAACUUGGAUAAAAUCAACAAGUAUGCCACUAGAUAUUAUAGGUAAAAAGGAAACAAUAUUUUUUCACACAAUACCAUGAGGAGUAAGAGACUUACAAUCUCACUUAUGAAAGUGACUUACUUUCGGGAUAAACUUAGUGCUAUGUUAAGCAAUCGUAAUUGGACUUAUGUAGAAGUUACUACUAUCUGAGGUCAGUCAAUAAUAAUGCUUGUGUUAAUACAUGCUAGAGAAAUUAUAUGUAAAUCAUUCUCCUAAAGUUAUGCCACACAAAAACAAAAGAGGAUGGAUCAAACACAAAGGCUAGGAGAAUGGCCCAUUACAUCAAUCAAUACUUCAUGAUACUUAAGACAAACUUAUGCAUCAAUCCAAAGUACCUUAAAUGAUCUAUGAUUAAUUAAGAGGUAGAUUUGAAAUGAUGAAAGUUCAUCAAGUACCAAUCCACACAUCAUGAACAAGAUGGACAUAAACCAUCUGAUUGAUCAAGAAAACAAAAAUAGAAGGGGGAAGAAGAAGAAGACGAGAAAUAAAACCCAAAUUGGAUCAAAGGAUUGAUCAAGUCAUCAUAAAAAUCAAUCAUCCAUCUUGGUGGAUUAGGGUUUUCACCCCACUCAAGUCAGCAUCAAAAUCAUUCAUGUAGGUUUUACUCACUCUAGAAACCUUACUAGAUAAUGAUGCAUGUAUAUGGUAUUUAUAUGUAUGUGACCAAUAGAGAGCAAAAGGAAUGAAAAAGAAAUGAAAACAAGAGUGAUUUUUCAACAUUUGUGUUCAAUAGGUGAACCUGUACGAUCCAUGUGUCGAUCUAUUGAAUUAAUGUGUCGACCUAUCCGAGGUUAUUUGUCGACCUAUCAAGGCAAUGUAUUGCCUAUAGGUCGACCUAUUCAGUCAACACAUAAAACAGAAUCUUACAGGCUUUAAUACUACAGCGUAUGUAUCGACAUGUUCCUACGAUGUAUCGACCUAUGCAUCUGCAGACGAGCUAUGUGUCGACCUAUUUCACGCAUGUGUCGACUUGUAAUGUGAAAUUUUCACCUAAAACCAGUUUUUCACGAAUGAUACAAUAUUUUGAUGCACAAUCUUUUUCCAAACCAUUUACCUAAUACAAGAACACUAAAAUGCAUACCAUCCAAUAUACAUAAAUGCUAAUUCAUAGUUUUGACAUCAUACAAAUACCUAUCUAAAUAGAAAGGUGCACUCACGGGAGGUAGUUGGGACACUUAUAUGAAUUUGAUUGAGUCCACCUAUAAAAAUAAUAUCCAUUAUAGUAUUGGAAUGAAACCUUUUGAAGCUAUGUAUGGUAGAAGGUGUAGGACACCUUUGUUUUGGUACGAAGCAGGAGAGAGUGUUAUGCUUGGACAUAUAAUUGUUCAGUAGACUAUUGAGAAGAUUAACAUGAUUCAGGAAAAGAUGAAACAGUCGCAUAACAGACAAAAGAGUUAUCAUGACAAGCGAAGGAAGGCACUUGAGUUCCAAGAGGGGAUCAUUUGUUCUUGAGAGUCACUCUGGUGACUAGUGUUGGUCGUGCAUUGAAGUCUAGAAAGCUCACGCCUUAUUUUAUUGGUCCUUAUCGGAUUUUUCAGAUAGUAGAAGAACGGUUCUAUAGGGGUUGACUUACCACCGUUUCUUUUGAAUUUCCAUGAUGCAUUUCAUGCGUCUCAACUUCAGAAGUAUCUUCUUGAUCUAUCUCAUGUGAUCCAAUCUGAUGAUGUGCCAGUGAGAGAGAACUUGACAAUUGAGGCAUUACCUUUGUGGAUCGAGGAUCAAGAAGUGAAACACUUGAGGGGAAAAGAGAUUUGUUUGGUGAAUGUAGUGUGGGGAGAACCUGUUGGUGGAAUGGCAUGGGAGCUGGAGAGUCGGAUGAGGGAAUCUUAUCCGGAGCUAUUUUCUCCAGGUAAUUUACGACGGUGAAAAUACUUUUAAGUGAGGAUAGUUGUAACACCCCAAUUUUAAUUCAAUAUUAUUAGUAUGAUUUUAAUAUUUUUAAUAUUAUUUUUAUCUAUAAUUUUUUGAGAGUUGAUAUGCUUUUAUUAAAUAAAUAAAUAUUGUAAUUGAUUUAUUUGACUUUUGGGUAGUGGAGUUUUAUGGAGAAUUAAUUAAUAUUUAAUUGAGAAUAUUGUGAGAAUUAUUAAUUUGAGGAGAAAUGUAUAUUUUAUUUAAAUUAAUAAAGAUCUUUUUUUGGAAAGGCAAAUAGGAUAUAUAUAAAUAGAAAAGGAAAGAAGGAGGCAAUAUUGGCCAAAAUACAAGGAACAUUCGAGAACAACAUAAGGAGUGCCAAUUUAAAUAAAAAAAGGAACCAACUAGAUAAACCCAACCACCGAGCAAGGGGAUCACAAACGACAAGGGAAAAGGAGAAAAAACACAAAAUCCCAAACCAGACAAAGCUACAUCUCUCCAGUACACGGACACCUCUAAAAGCAACAAGCUCACAAAGAAUCAACAAGAACACAACCAAGGGAGACCAAAACCACACACCUCGCUAUUAGCUUAGAAACACGAUAGGGUUCUCAAGCUAGCAUGAUAAGGCACAAAAUUUUACCACAGACCUACCAAAACACCAUUUCCAAUCCAUAACGAUGCUCAUGUCUUCCAUGUAUUUUUGGUGCCACUGAAGAACCUAAAAAAACUAAAUUAUUCAUGGAUUCCCAAAUCGACCAAACAACGACAUGCCAAAUCAUCCUCUACCCCAUAUAGUCCUAGUUCCUCCACUCAUAGGAGUAAACAUCUGGAAAAGUAUCAAAAUAUCUCUAGGAAAAAUAACACAACACCCCAACCACCUAAAAUCAUAUACCAGACAAUGGAUACAACCGUACAAGUCACAAAAAGAUGGGAGAAAGACUCAAAAAAUAAGGAGCAAGAGGGAAAUAGACCCAGAGGUCAACUGGAUUCCCCUCUUAAGUAAGUUAUCUCUGGUUGGGAUGCAAUCCUGAAGAAGCUACCAGGAGAAAACUAAAACUUUUAAGGGGGGGCUAACUACACCAAAUAGAUGGAAGGACUAACUCAGCGGGAGAUACGUGCCAACCUGAGGUGAGCUGACGGGAUAAAAGACAAAAGUAUGCAGAAGAUACAGAAUAAACAUCAUCACUCGCCUCACAUCAUCUCCAAACUUUACUCUCAGACAAAGGUGUAAAACCUCUAAUAACCGACUGAAGAUCGCUAAAAUGCACCAACUCAUAGUCAAAGAGAAAAGGUCUAUGCCACCUAAGGUCCCACAUACAUUUCUCUCUCUCCCAUCUACAUACAUACCCAACAAAGCUAGAGGUAUGGUCCUAAAUGGUCGACACAUUCGAAAGAAAUCUAGUUCACUACGCCAAAUAAGGGAAAAGAGAGCGCUUUUUUUGGCCUAUAACAGCGCUUUAAAGCGCCCUCUAAUCUGGCGCUGGCAUAGGUAAAGACAGCGCUUUUUUUCCUAGUGAAAGCGCUGUCUAAAGUGGCUCUUUAAGCCCUUUAAGGGCCAAAAACCGACUUAGGAUUAACGAUGCAUGACAAUUAGGCUCGAGUCUCAGCUCCCUAGUUGUGUAUCUUUCCCCGGUUCUGGUUAGCAAUUUAGCCCUGUUAAGGGGAACUACAUCGCCCUGAUCCUUGUUCCAGACAAGGUAUGUAGGCAGGUGGUCGUGCGAGACACUCCGGCAACCUUUUUCUUUUUGCGUGCGUUACUUGUUAUCUGAUUAUGUGUGUUUGCUCGGAUGCCGACGUAAGCCAGUGAUUGGCGUCGGGCUCCACGUUUGCCGUUUUGAGUGUGUUUUGGUUCGGAUGCGACGUAAAUUCCAUCCAGUGGUUGUCGGGCUCCAUGUUUGCCACCCUUGCUUGUUUGUAUGUUUGUGUUGUUUGGCGUGCGUAAGCGAACUACAGUGGCUCUGAUUCUUGUUCCAGACAAGAUAUGUAGGCAUAAGGUGCGAUACUUAUCGAGCCCGUUUCUCUUACCCACCUGCGUUCCCUUGUGUGUGUGUGUGAUGUUAGCAACCUUUCUUUUCUAGAACGUGGAUCCCGUCGAGUACGACGGACGUGAGGGUGCUAAUACCUUCCCUCGCGUAACCGACUCCGAACCUUUUCUCUCUGGUCGCGAGGACCAGUCUUUCCAGGUUUCUCUGAGCGUUUCCUUUCCCUAUCUUGGGAUAAAUACGUUUAGUGGCGGCUCUGUGUGUUUUCUUUUGAGGCUCGCCGGUUGAUUUUUCGCAGGAUGCGACACAUACGUAUCUCAUCUGAAUAUGAGAAUCAGAGUCUUCGUAGCUCGGCUGACCUAUGGGUUGGGGUAAUUGUGCUCGCUAAGACAUCGCGUCUUAUGCCUACGUAUCUCAUCUGGAAUGAGAAUCAGAGCAAGCCGUAGUUCGACUGACCUACGGGGUUAUGGAUUGAGUUUGGACGAACGACGUCACUACUCAAUCUACCGGAUGCUGACCUUGGAGACUUACUCGCCUGUAGUAGAAGGAGUAAACGUGUUGCUUUGGGUUUUAGGGUUUGUUUGCGUUGUAGGAACGCGCAUGCAAAGGGAAGUCCUAGGCGGAACAGUGCUACCUAAAUUGGCAUGCAAACGGGAGACUAUGCGAAGCUCGCAUCCUAUGGGAAACAAUCACAUCACACAAAACAUAUAUCUUGAAAUAGAAAAAAUGCACCAAGGGGCUCAAACAUUGCCUCCUAUCGAGGUCUUCCAGCUAAGAAACAGUAGAAAUAAAGGGAAGAAGUAAAAUACCACACGGAUCAAGAUCCGAAGUUACAGCAAUUAAAGGAUAAGCGACCCUGAGAUUCUCCCAAGCUGAUGAGAGACCUGUUAAAUUGGAAGACAAGGCGGAUUGGCGAAGCAACGUUUAGGGUUUGCGUGAGGCGAAUGAACUUCUCAGGGCUGCCCGAAGGUUGCUGCAGGGUAGUUCCUAGGUUGAAAUCCACGUGAACUCCAAGUCUAUUUCUCAGGGAAUUUCCAAGUGUCUGAAACCCUACUGAAACUCUUAUAUUUAUAGCUGAUUUUCGUGGACUUGUGGGCUUGGAAUGAGGGAGACCCAAGUCCAAAAUAAUUUGUUAUAUUAUUUAUUUAUUUUAAUUUUUAUUUUUUUUUAGGAAAAAUGAAGGGUAAAUUUUGGGGUAUUACACUUUCCAGUAAAAGCGCCCUCUAAACCCUUAAAUGUUUCCACUUUAGAGGCGCUUUUUUUUAAAAGCGCCUCUAAAGNNNNNNNNNNNNNNNNNNNNNNNNNNNNNNNNNNNNNNNNNNNNNNNNNNNNNNNNNNNNNNNNNNNNNNNNNNNNNNNNNNNNNNNNNNNNNNNNNNNNUAGUUAGUCGAACUACGUUUUGCUCUGAUUCUCAUUCCAUAUGAGAUACGUAGGCAUAAGACGCGACGUCUUACCGAGCACACUUCUCUUUAACCCAUAGGUAGCCGAGCUACGAAGACUCUGAUUCUCAUACUUAGAUGAGAUACGUAGGCAGUGGACGCGACAUCCUUGCGAGCCAUUUUCUUUUAACCUUCCUUUUAGUAAAUAUUACUUUAGAUAUACCUACACCUUUUAGACUAGAACAACACUUAUGAAAAGGGCUCCCUAGGAGUACCUAGGAUGUUUUGGGUGCUUAAAACCUUCCCAUUGCAUAACCAACCCCCAUACCCAGAUCUCUGACAUUUUUACUAGUUUUUGAUUCGAUAAAAAUUUUAGGUUUUUUUUCGCUUUCUAACCAUUCCUUUGGAUAAAUAGAAGUGCGGUGGCGACUCGACUUGUAUGGUUUAUGUUAAUACCUUAGGAUUGACAUUAAUUUUGUAAAACAAAUAAUGCAAUCAUCUCUGUUGUUUUAAUAUGUUGGGUUGAAGAAGUUCAACAUCUGGACCAACAUGUCAUGUACGAUGUCACGACAUCAUUCCUGUGACAUCGUACAUGUGUAGAAAACUGAAUUAAUUAAUUCAGUAUAUAUUCUGGGAUUAGUGAGGAUAUUUGGUGAAUAUCCUAACUCCCAUGUGGAGGUCUUAAAGACUCAAUCAGAAUAUAUAUAGGCUCCAAAUAUGGAGAUAUAUAUGGAGAGAUUUUAGGAUUGAAGACCUUGUUUGUAGCAGAAAUUUUNNNNNNNNNNNNNNNNNNNNNNNNNNNNNNNNNNNNNNNNNNNNNNNNNNNNNNNNNNNNNNNNNNNNNNNNNNNNNNNNNNNNNNNNNNNNNNNNNNNNNNNNNNNNNNNNNNNNNNNNNNNNNNNNNNNNNNNNNNNNNNNNNNNNNNNNNNNNNNNNNNNNNNNNNNNNNNNNNNNNNNNNNNNNNNNNNNNNNNNNNNNNNNNNNNNNNNNNNNNNNNNNNNNNNNNNNNNNNNNNNNNNNNNNNNNNNNNNNNNNNNNNNNNNNNNNNNNNNNNNNNNNNNNNNNNNNNNNNNNNNNNNNNNNNNNNNNNNNNNNNNNNNNNNNNNNNNNNNNNNNNNNNNNNNNNNNNNNNNNNNNNNNNNNNNNNNNNNNNNNNNNNNNNNNNNNNNNNNNNNNNNNNNNNNNNNNNNNNNNNNNNNNNNNNNNNNNNNNNNNNNNNNNNNNNNNNNNNNNNNNNNNNNNNNNNNNNNNNNNNNNNNNNNNNNNNNNNNNNNNNNNNNNNNNNNNNNNNNNNNNNNNNNNNNNNNNNNNNNNNNNNNNNNNNNNNNNNNNNNNNNNNNNNNNNNNNNNNNNNNNNNNNNNNNNNNNNNNNNNNNNNNNNNNNNNNNNNNNNNNNNNNNNNNNNNNNNNNNNNNNNNNNNNNNNNNNNNNNNNNNNNNNNNNNNNNNNNNNNNNNNNNNNNNNNNNNNNNNNNNNNNNNNNNNNNNNNNNNNNNNNNNNNNNNNNNNNNNNNNNNNNNNNNNNNNNNNNNNNNNNNNNNNNNNNNNNNNNNNNNNNNNNNNNNNNNNNNNNNNNNNNNNNNNNNNNNNNNNNNNNNNNNNNNNNNNNNNNNNNNNNNNNNNNNNNNNNNNNNNNNNNNNNNNNNNNNNNNNNNNNNNNNNNNNNNNNNNNNNNNNNNNNNNNNNNNNNNNNNNNNNNNNNNNNNNNNNNNNNNNNNNNNNNNNNNNNNNNNNNNNNNNNNNNNNNNNNNNNNNNNNNNNNNNNNNNNNNNNNNNNNNNNNNNNNNNNNNNNNNNNNNNNNNNNNNNNNNNNNNNNNNNNNNNNNNNNNNNNNNNNNNNNNNNNNNNNNNNNNNNNNNNNNNNNNNNNNNNNNNNNNNNNNNNNNNNNNNNNNNNNNNNNNNNNNNNNNNNNNNNNNNNNNNNNNNNNNNNNNNNNNNNNNNNNNNNNNNNNNNNNNNNNNCCUUCUGCAUGUUAUAAUCCUGUCUGCCAUAACUCAGGUUGUAAUUCAGUCUGCUUAUCAAGUUAAUAACAGACCUGAUACAUAGCCUUCUGUUUGAAUGUCAAUCAGAAUGUUUUGACAUUCAUCAUUAACAACACAUACUGAAUAAUAGGCAUGUUGAUCUCAGUUCAGUAUUUAGUUAAGUCUGGUCUUCAAGAGGAUAACAGACCUGGCCAAAGGAUCAUAGUGAAACUGUCAAACUGGAUGUCUUGACAGUUGUACGUGUAGGCUGAUACUGAAGUAGAGACUGAUUAGUCUUUCACAGUAUAGUAAAGUUAGCACAGUCUGUUUUCAGGAACAUAACAGACCAGCAUAAGGUAUAUGUUCUGAAUGUCAAACUAAAUGUUGUGACAUUCACACCUGACAGUUGGUGCUAAAUUGUAGGAUAAUUAGUUUUUCUGUUUCAACAUUUUUCUCAGGCUAAUUUAAGGAAUCCAACAGCUGAGCUAAAAUCCAGGAAAAUAACAACUAACCUACAGUUAAUGAACCUAAAAAAUAACCUAUUUGUCAGCUCCCUAAUGUGUGGAAAUUAGGUUACCUUGUUUGACUUUUAGUUUAGGAAACACGAGUACUAAGCUAGCAAAUUGGAAUACCGUAGCAGAUGUCAUGACUACUGUGAAAGCGUGCUUGAGUACAGGGUUUUAAUUUGUAUAACUGUCUUGCUGUAUUAGUUACAAUGUUGGAUCAGAUGUCAUGACUUGGAGUAGAACAUCUGAAUUCUGACUACGCCAGAAACUGUGAAAGCGUGCUUGAGUACAGGGUUUUAAUUUGUAUAACUGUCUUGCUGUAUUAGUUACAAUGUUGGAUCAGAUGUCAUGACUUGGAGUAGAACAUCUGAAUUCUGACUACGCCAGAAUUUCAGUUUACCUUGGAUUUAGUCAAUAUCUCUAAUGGUAAUGAAUACCCUGCUACAAACUUCAAACUUGAAAUCUUCUUGUAGAUGUUUGUUGAAGCAUGUUCAGAGUCGUUGCUAUCCUUAUACAUAACUUCUUGAUUCAUAGACUUUUUAUAGAAUUAGUUAAAGAUUGAUCAGAAGUUGAAGUAUGUCUUCAGAACCUGGUUGGAGUGAGACUUCAGAGUCUAAAGUUCACAUGUUCUAAGAUUGUCUUCAUCAGAGUCUUGAUUAGAACUAGUCUAGAUAAACACUUGCAGAGUUGAUAACUUGAUGUAGACAAAUAAUCCUUUGAAGUAGAAUCUUCAGAAUUGCUGAUGACGCUUGUUCAGAAGAUGAAAAGUUAAUCCUUUACACUCGAGUCUACUUGCUUUAAAUGAUUCCAGUCUUCAGAGCUUUGCUGAUCUUUGUAAUUCAUGUAAGCUUAGGUUCAACAUCUGAAAGACUUGAAUAGACUCAUCAGUUUUUGAAAGCUUGAUUAUGAUCCUUCAGAAUCAGAACACUUUUCUUCCCUUUAAUGGUUCUUCUGAGUGAUAACUUGAUUAAUAUCAAGGUUAAUGUCUUUUGAUUCUGCACACAAGAAUAACCAUUAGUAAACCCUAGCGUUCUUUAAAUAUUUUGUUAUCAUUAACACCUUUUAGGAGCAUGAACAAAUCUUGUUCUAAUAAUCUCCCCUUUUUUGAUGAUGAGAAAUAAAUUUAUUUAAGAACAAUGGUUGAUGAUUUAAUUAACACAAUCCAAUAUCAGAGGUUGAGGUUUGUAAGCUCCCCCUAAGUUAGACAGUCCAUUAAGGCGAAGCUUGUAAGCUCCCCAUAAGUCUGAUAGUACAUUAAGAUGAUGUUUGUAAGCUCUUAACUACCUAUCUGUGUUAAUUUAAUCCUAUAAGUUUAAUCAACAAAGUAUAAAAUCAGAGUCAUAUCACUUUUCCUUGGUCCUUUACAUUGAUUUGGAACAUACAAGGGUCUUAUUUUGGCUGCUACAGAUUCCACUUUUUGCCAAUUUGGGAAAAUUUUAUUUUUGCACAUGGGGUUGGGUUUUGAUCCUUAGGAUGUUUUGGCUUGCAAGUUGACUUACAUUUACACCACAAUACCCUAUGAAAUAUGCUUGGGGAACAUUGGGAUCAUAUCAAAUUGGUUUGGUGACUUGGAUAAUGGAUUUGCAAAUUCUGAGUUGGUCAUGUCUGGUUUGUACAUCAUGGUGGUCACCAAUGUUUGAACCAAGGCAAAAUGAAAUUGACUCGUGCAUAUUAUCUCAAACUUGUGCCAUUUGUUCCUUGCCAUGUCCUUGGUUGAAUGCAAAAAGAACCAGAUCAAAAGGGUUUGUGCUUUGGAAAUGGAAAUGUGCUAAAGUAGUGGUCUUGGUCAGGUUUUAGGGCAUCGUAGGCAUGUUGGACCAGCUUGGCCAAUAGAAAAAUUAAAGUCCUUCCUCAAUGAAUUAGGUCUUAAACCUUGAAACAAAGUUGAAGAGGAACUUAUUUAGGACAUUUGUCUCUAAAUGGAAUUUCAAAAUCUUGUGAAGUGAGAAAGUUAUGGUCUUUGGAACUUUCCAUAGGCCAUUCUUGCCAAAAUGUGACCAACCAACAUGACCUAAAAACGGGAUUUUGUGAUUUCUUGAUUUCCAAGGCACAAUGGUGAAGAUUUUGAGCUCAUAUGAUCAUACCAUGAUGGUAAAUAAGAUUUGGAUCUUUGUGGGAUGAUUUUUUUGGCCAAGUUGAUGAAUUGAUCAAGGCAUUGAAAGUUGAAAAAUCAUGACCAAACCAAGUACUUGUAAGAUGGAUUGAAUGGAUGUUUAAAUGAUGUAUUUUGAUUGAAAUGGGAAUGAAGUGGUGUUUAAUUAAUGGUAGGGUGAUUGGAUAGUAAAAAUGGAGCAAGGUCAAUGAUCAAUGGAUCCCCAAAUUAGGGUUUCUUAAGCCAUAAGUUUUAUCAAGAACCAAGGCCAGGCAACUAAGGUUUGGUGAUGCAAGGAUCAAGUUGAGAUGUUUAAAGGGUAUGAGGCAUGAACAAACUUUGGAUUUGAGGGGUCCUUAAUGGUAUAGUCAAGAUCCAUGGUGAAUCAUGACUUGUACAAGCCAAAUGAGGUCAAGAGCAUGGGUUUGGAUCAUUGGGUGACCAGAUGAAUCAUGAAGCUUCUUAAAAGGGGACUCACCACCUAAAUUGGGUUUGGGGAGUCAGUGAGAUGUCUUGAGUGAUCCUCCAAGCUUUUUGGGAUUCUCGAGGAUGAAAUUAGGGUUAAUGUGGCUUGGUAACACCUCAACAUAGCUUGAGGAUCUUGAAUCUUCACAGAUGAAUCCCAUGCCUUGAAUUUGUGGAUUAAGUAUAGAUGCAUAUGAGAUGACAUGUAUGGUAUGUAUGCUCAUGGAGUAGGGCUUAAGAAGGUUAAGUGGGGUAGGGUAAAUUUGAGGGUAUGACACUUAAUAAUAUGAAAAUACAAGUCUUAAGUAAAAACAAAACAAAUGCAAUAACAAAUUACAAAGAAAAAGUCAAUCAUAGAAAUAAAUGUACUAUUUUUUAUUCAAUGUCUUACAUGAAGCAUUGGAUCUCAAGAGAUACAAUUUAUUACCAUAACUGGAAAAAUAAGGACAAAAGAGACGAAAGAACAAAGAAAAACUAAGGCAGGAUCUGAAAACUGUGAAAGUUUGAGAGGAGGAAGAAGGGAUGGACUGUUCUUACAAAACAUCAUAAUCUUCACUAACAAAUUUUCAGCCCUAGGUUAAGUGAAAAUUUGUUCAGACUUACAACCGUUCCUUUUAGGGAGACAAGUUCACCCAUAACUUGUUCUAAAGGAAUGAAGAACAACUUUAUCUCAAGGAGAAGAAGUAUCAUCUUCAGGAAAUUGAAGAUUACUUGAUGAAAUUUCGCUUUUAAGCUUGAGCCAAAGAGUAGUAAAAGAUCAUCGUCAGAGACUCCCAGCUCUUCAAGAAGAGCUAGCCUUUCAUUGAUGCUCUCUAGCUGGUUUCACGCCAAGGUUUAAUCUAGAGGUCAUCUCAUGUUAAGAAAAAAGCGAUAGAAUGAGCUUUUUAAAAACCAGAUCAAGGUUGCACAACUAUGUCAACCAGGUUUGAAGGACAUGUUAUAAAACCAGAAUGGGAAACUUAAACCGAGAAUGAUGAGUUUAAAUAGAAAAAGAAAAGGCUUAACUAAGAGAGUGAAAAUAUUUACGACAUCUAUAUUUUGAAAAGAUAAAACACAUAAAAUCUUUUGGAAAACCAACAAGCAAGAUAAACAAGUACAAGGAAAAAGUAAGAUAUGACAAGAGAGAGAGAGAGAGAGAGAGAGAGAGAGAGAGAAACCAUAGAGAAUCCAAGGAGUAAAGCCUUACAACUAUACAGAUUCUGCCAAAAUAGUUUCGCAGCUAGCGUAGAAAUUUUAAGACACGUGGAUUUUUAUAAAAAGAUAUAAGUAAUCCUUAUUCUUUUUCUGAGUCUCAGAGCCUGAUGCUUUUUAGAGGUUACAUGUCAUCAGGGUAUGUUCAAGACUUUGAUGAAGCUACUUCUGAUUAGCAUUAGUCUUUGAUGCUAUAUAUUAAGAAUCAAGCUUUACAAAUAAGAAUUGAGUCUUUAAAACACAAAGCGUGGAACAAGCAAAACACAUCAUUAAAGAGUUCACUUGAAUAACAAGACUUUUCCGAUCAAAACUUUUGAGCUUACAAUACUUGGUUCUGAACAAAGAAUAUGAACAAGGAUACAAACAAAUAUUUUCCACUUGUUUUGAAAAUUCUUAUGAAGACAUAUUAUCUAGGAUAGUUAUGCAUCAAGGAGAUAUACGCAUAGAUUAAAGUAAAUCAUAUCUCUUUCAUAAAAGUUGUAUAAAUAAAUAAAAAAGGAGUUUAGACAUACCUUGGAUGAUGCUUCUGAACAUAUUUUGGUUCCAACAAUGUUCUUACUGAUGUGAAUAAGUCUUAAACACUCUAGUUGUUGAACUUGGUCCUCGUUCAAUACAGUCUUGGAGUAGUAUCAGUGACCAUAGUACUCUUAUUCUACCUUUCUCCAGACUUCAACUAUCCUUUCUCUUUUAGAGUUCGGAUAAGAAACUAUGUUUUCCUGUUGAAGAAAAUUUAGUCAUCUGUUGUCCAGACAUUAGGAUAGAUAAACUAACUCAAGCAUAUCAGCAAACACAAAAUCAUAUUUUGGUACCCAUAGUCUUAUGAGUCCUUUUGUGUUUGUUACUCUAGGCCUUUUCUCAAUGAGUACCACUGCCUUGGAGUAAUUUCUAGCUUUAUUCAUACUUUCUUCUUAAAGAAUCUAUGUUAUGGAUAAGCUUUGACAUUAGCUUUUGAUCAUUUCAGAAGCUUGGAUCCAGAACUCUUGGAUGUUGAGUUCCCUUGACUUUUGGAUCAUGGUGUCUGGUUCCAUCAAAACAACUAACUUUGAGAUCCCAGGUUCUAACUUCUGCAUAAAUUUUGACCUUGAGGUCUCUAGUUAUAUCAGAGCCUCUGAAUUCUCUGUUAUUGAAUCUGAAGGGUUCAUAACUUUGAUCCAUUCAAUAUCAGAUACCAAUAAGUCAUAAGCAUGACUUGAAGAAGAUAGUUCUGAAGGGUUAUUUAAUGUCAACAUUAUGAAAACCACACAUUUCAUGAAAGCCUGUCCCAUCUCUUUUUCUCUUUCUUACUCCAUAGAUCAUGGGUGCAGGCAUAGUUCUUUUUAGAUCUAUUGUUAAGAAAUCUUUGAGAGUUAUAUCAUGCUCACACAACAACCACUACGCCAAAAACUGGAAUAGACAGCGCACCUUAGAGGGCGCUUUAUUACAAAAGCGCUCUCUAAAGUGAAGCGAAAAAAUAAGGAGCAAUAGACAGCGCACUUUAGAGGGCGCUUUUGUAAUAAAGCGCCUCUAGGUAAGCAAAAACAAAUAAGUGAGGAUGAUAGAGGGACAACAUAUCAUUGGGCUUAUUUACGAAAGCGCCCUUCUAAGGUUACCUUUAGAGGGCGCUUUAUAUAGUAAACGCUGUAUAGAGUCCAUGAUGCAUUUCCGAGCUUAUAAAGGCGUUCUGGAAAAGCCUGGUAGACGCGUUCACAUAAGGCGCCCUUCUGAGCCCCUUUUAGAGAGGUCGACUUUAUAUAAUAAGCGCUGCCCUCCUAAUGGUGUUAGACGAAAAAAAUAAGGAGGAAGAUACCUUAGAGGCGACUUUUAAUUAAAGGCUGUUCAAGUUCCAUUGUGCAAUUUCCAGCUUAUUAAAGCCUUUGCUGGAAAGCCUUAGAGAGCGCUUCCAUAAGCGCUCUCUCUAGGCCCCCCUUGUAGGAGGUGGCGCUUUUUUUCGCACAAGCGCCCUCUAAGGUGCCUUUUAUAAACAUUUUAAAAUUAGUAACAUAUGCGCAGUUUUUUAUUUCCACUCUCUGUAUUCGUUCUUUUUACAAGUCUAGGUUCUAAGGCGUUUUCCUUCCACCUCGUGAUUAGAUCUACAUUAUUAUGGCGUUUCCUCCUUCUAACUUAUAAUUUCGAAACCUUUUCCAGGAUCACGAUGCAUAAUUUAUACUUUGUUUACUAUUUGCGCUUUGUUUAAGCUGUUGCUUCCCAAAGUUCAGUUUUUAUGUUAUUGUUUUAACUAAUUGCUUGUUUUAGCUAGUGCGUUUUUAUAUUGCUUUAUUUAUCAGCUUUUUGUUGUGCAGCAAUUGCAAUGGGACUGACAUUCCCAGUAAGUUAGAGUUAUACCGAACCUAUGAAAAUCUGAUGUUUUUGUGUCAACACCAAUAUCAUUCUCAGAAACCUAGGUCUCAUUGUUGGUUUGAAACUUUUCUGAAAUUGUUUUUGUUUAUUUAUUUAAUUUAAGUAUGUGACUAAUUACUCAUUGGAUUCUUCCAAUCGAUUUCGAGAGAGUACGAAUUGGGGUUAUCAGAAUGCGUUAAGUUUGGCCUUGCGCCCACGAUCGAAGACCCAGUGAAUGACUAUGUCCUUCUUGGGUUGUUUGUAUAUGGGAAACGGGUUGACGCAGUUCGAGUUGACAUCGACCAUCUAUAUGAAGGCAUGAAUUAUGCGACGUUAUACAUGUUGGAAUAUUUGCAUUGUGAGAAAUCGUUUAACGAGAAAUGUUGAACCGGUGAUUAGUACGACCUUAGCCCUCAAACUAUAGUCGGCGCAGAUAACUAUAGCGAUUGUGAUUCGAGUUGUAAGAGUUUGAUCAGAAGCACUUGAAGGAAGACUCUGAGAUGUCCCGAAAUGUUUGAGAGGUUGGUAAGUUGUGAUGCAGGAUAAACCUUUGGUAUGAUGGUUUCACUAAAUCACAAGAUUGUCUGCGUAUUAAACGUUGUACAACUUCAAAGGCGGGCAAUGGUAAUGGUCGGUAACAAGUCACAGAGUUAUUAGCCACUGUUUGAAAGAUAUGCUUCCUUGGAGGAUAUAUAUUCUUCCCAAUCGAGACAUAUGAGACCAAAAAAUGAUGUUGUGCUCUAUGGCAUGAGUCUAUGAUAAGAAUACAUGCUCAUGUCCAAACGAUUGCGUUUGUUCGAAAUGAGUAUGCAUGUAAAUGAGUGUCCUAAAUUUGCGUGUCUCGCGAUUUACGAACAAGUUGUCUCCAACAAAAGUUCUUGUGUAUUUCUGUUAUUCGAGAUUUAGACGCAUGUUCGUGAUGAAAACAUCGAUUCAAGACACUUGACCCUGGCAUUGACAGAUGAAUAGAAUUAUAGAAUGAAAGUAUCGACAUACGCGGCAGGAUUAACCACAGUGUUAGAAAAUUGAUAAUGAUUAUCCUGAAGUUGUGAGAAGAAUCAAGAAACCUAACUUUCGAGAUUUUGCCAUAUCUUACUGAUCGAAAUCGACACGUAUCCAGAGUAUCUCACACAGUACAUGGCCUGUGAUUAUUAUAAGAUUUAUUAACAACUACCCUCAUGGCUUAUAUGAAGCGUAAUAACAGUGAUGUUGUCUAUGUUGAUUUCUAGGACCUAAAACAACAGGGAAAUGAACAUAAUGACGUGUACUUUGGAAAGCUCUAACUCGAUAGAUUUAAGAUUUUGUGGGAGACGGUGUGAGCUCUUCAUGAGGAUUAUAGGAAAGAAGUUACAUACUUGAAGGGGAUGUGUGUGUUGCACAAUUAAUGAGAUUUUCUAGCAUACGGAAAUCUUCUCAGAGAGGAUCAUAGCGAUAAAAGGUCAAUGUUCGGAUGCCUAUUUGCUUGAAGAUAGAAACAAUUGGAAGGCGCUGAGUUUGGUCAGAAAAGUGUCUUUCGUCGGUCUCGGAGAAUUCUAAAUUCAAUGCAUCACUACCGUGGAGGAGAAAAGCGUUUCAAUGUGAGAGACAGAACCAAGGCAGGAGCUCCACCCUAUAUUUACGGUGAUCAAUUUGAAAGUGAAAGAUUUGGAUACUAGUUUGGCAAGCCUUUGACCCACACACUUGUCAUAAGAUAGGGUGAAGAAGAGGUCAGUUUUUUUUUGAAUUGCGUAAUUGGAAAGUCUUGUAGUUGAUGACUAUUUCUUGAUGGUUAUGGCAUAUUGAAAAGAAAUGUAGUAUGUAGAAAGAGGUUAUUGGACGGUUACCAACUAAUGACAAAGUGAAAGUCAUAAGGAUGGCUUAAGGCUAAGGAAGGCUGAUGAGCGAUGGCAUUAAUGACUGAAUAGGACCAAUGAAGAAAGGAAAAAGAACAUAAUCUACGCGCUGCUGCAGCUCAUAAUACUCUAUCCUAGAAGACGAAAAAAACAUUGGUUGUAAUGUUCUUACAGUUGAAUUCAAAGUCCAGAACGGUACUCUUCAGAUAUAAAGACUUGUGUCUAUUUAAAAGACCUCAAGUUGAAAGAGGUAUUAAAGACGCCAAUGUUUGCAUGUUAUAUAGCGACUUUUUCUCUCCAAUAGUAUACGUUCUAUUCUCCGAAGAAAGUUAAGAAGCUCUAUAACUAAGUUGUGUUUUUCAAGUCAUUUGCAGUAAGGUUGAUCAAUCUGCUGAUUCUUACCAAUGUUGGCAAAAAGAAAUCUUAUACUUUCUUUGUGUGAAGCUUGAUAUGGUUUUAUCUUCUCAUCAUUUUUUGAAUAUAAUGCGUACACUAUGUUUGUUUAUCUUGUGAAGAGGAACACAACUUUGUGGACCAGCGUUAUAGUUGAGAUAGGAAGUGUACCUGGUUGAACGUUUAUAAAAAUAUUAAAAGGUACGUGGAAGAACGAAGUCGACACAGAAGUUGUGAUGGUUGAAAGAUACAUUGUUUUUGAAGAAUGCGAUGAGUUUUUUACUGAGAUAUUUGUCUAAUGUUCAGUUCAAUCGGAUCCCCAAGUCGCAGCUUGUGCGAAAAAGAAAGAGGAGAAAAUCUAAUUGGAUAAAACGUAAGCCUUGUAUUAGGCAGAAUCAAGAGGAAAUCGACUGGGAUGCAAGUGUCAUUUGUAUGUCUGCACAAUGAAAGAUGGUUUGAGGCCGUAUGUUGACAUUCAAAGGAUGUUCUCAGGAUUAAAUCCAAUUAGAAAUGAAAAUUGGAUAGUUACGAGAGCACAAUGAUAUUUAGGUAUCCUUUGGUGUAAGGAAUCAUAUUAUUGCAAAGUAUUAUUCGAUCCUGCCUUGAACAGAAAGGUUGAGAUGCUUAGCAAUGGUCAAGGUUUCCAGUGUUUUUAUCUAUAGCGGAGUACGCGAUGUAAUGGUUACAUUUAUACCAAAGAACUAAGAAUAAAAAGUAACUAUUUAGAAUAGUGGUUGUCACCGUUGGUAGCUAAGCCACUAUGCACAUAUCAAGGUGUGGACUUAAACCCCAAAUUUUGCAAAAUCUGUCUGCUAUUUUUGUGUGUUAUCGAGCGCAUUUUGGGUGUUUGAUUAUGAGAAGUUUCAGAUUUCCUUAUAUUUGGGUUGGCAAGUGUGAGGUUGAAAGAAAUUAACGGGCAUGCGAAUGGAUAAGUUCAGGAUUUUUGCAAGUGGAUUCUUAUAUAGGUUGUGGAUACAUAACGGUGAGUCUUCUCUUAUGUCUAGCUUCAUGCUAUAAGCAUAGUGUUCGUAAUGUUGUUCUAGUACGAAAUGAUCGCGAAAAGUACGAAAUGGUCUAUAGUUCUUUUUCCAAAAGUAAUUGAUGAAGAACACUUCAGGAGAUCAAAGGUGAUCUUGAUGUUGAGUCAUGGAAUCGGUUAACGAGAAAGUAUCAAGAUGAAGAUAUAUUAUAUUACGAAUUGAUAUGCAAGUAUAGUUAGAAAUGAUCAUUAAUGAGGGUAUUUUGGAUAAUCCCAACCGUAUCCGUGUGUAAAGAGACAUGGUCGACACAUAUUUCAACCAAGAAAAGAAAGGAGACACUUUAGUGAAAAAGGUACAGGUCAAUGAUAUUUAAUUGUGCUCUUGUAUUACUAAGGUAAAUGACUUUGUGGAGGUAUGUUAAUUGUGUUUACAUUUGUUCAUCUGAUUUUUAAUAUUUUCUUUAUUACAGGUUAAAUGGCUAUUAUGAAGGUCAAUCAUUGCUGCAAGGCAAGAGGAUACCGAAAGUUCCAAUUGAUAUUUUUUAGAUGGAGAUUGUUCAUUUGUGUCAGAGCUCAUUCGCGUAGAUGAUGAUGCGGAUAUUUGAAAGCUAUCCGACUUUCAUAUGGAACCAUGUCAUUUAACACAAAGUAUCCAAUUCUUCAUUCAAAAUGAUUAAGAGACGAAGACAUAUAAGGAUACGCAGGCAAUCGAGUCAGUUGCAUAAAAAAAAAAUGGUAUAACCCACAUAUAAUUAGUAUUAUGCAUAGAAAAUGUUAAUUUUGACUUUACUAUCACCAACUAAUUGAUUCUGAUAUAUUUAGUUCAUGCUAUUGAUAUUGAAACAAAAAGAGGUUGUUGAUUAAGUAAGACUGUCGCUAGCAAAAAAAAACAUACAUCUCAGAGAGUGCCUUUGCUACUUAGAGUUUUAAUUUUCUUUUAAUUAAUGAAUUGGUUGAUAUAUACGAUUAGAAGUUAAACGAUAUAUAUCAGUGGAUUGUGUUGUGUAUGUUACGUGGAUUGUGUGUAUUAUAAGCCUUGUUGAUGCAAUGUAUGAAAGGGGCUUCAAAUUUAUACUAGUUUUGGGGUUCUGUACUUGCGUCAUCAAUAUACAGUUGUCUAAAAAUAAAUUAAAUAAAUAUUAGCGCUUUUAAAAAAAAAAGAUUUGUAAAUAGUCCACCCACUUUUAGAGGCGCACUUUAAAAAAAGCGCCUCUAAAGUGGAACAUUUGAGGGUUGUAGAGGGUCGCUUGUACUGGGGUGAGAAAGCGCCCUCUAAACCCUUAAAAUGCUCUUCCACUUUUAGAGGGCGUCUUUUUCGCCAAUCCAUGAAAAAUUACAGUGUGCGAAAAAAAAAAAACAACAGCCGGCGCAAAGAAAAUGACAGAAGAGUCGCUAGGCCGGUGCGUUAUUUCACACGGGAGGGGAAAUGGAAACGUCGAAAGUGAACCGUGAAAAAGGCGAAGGGACAAGACGGCUUGGGUCUUCGCAAUCCAAAUCAUGGUUCGGGGAGUGCUAGAUACGAAGGGGAAGGUAUAGCACCCCUAGCCAUCCGUAGUACUCUACGGUAGUCCACACUACGCGUUUCUGUUUGUUUAAAGGGUAUGGGUUUGACCUAAUUGCUAUUUUACUAAAAAAGGGUUAAAGAAAUGACUCGCGCGGACUGUCGCAUCCAUGAUACUAUUCCAUCUGGAAUAUCCGGGAAUCAGCAUCUUCGUAGCUCGUCUGAACCUAUGGGGUUUGUGGGUAAUUGUCGUCGCUAAGACAUCGCGUGCUUAUGCCUACGUAUCUACAAUCUGGAAUGAGUGAAUCGAGGCAAGCGUAUAUCGGAGCUGGAAACCUGACGGGAUUAUAGGAUUGGAGUUUGGACAAGAACGACAGUCACUGCUCUACCGGCAUACACUUGAUCCGAUGUCGAACCUUUGGAGACUUUACUGCCUGUUAGUAGAGAGGAGUAAACGGUGUUGUCCUUUGGGUUUUAGGGUUUGUGCGUCGUUGUGGAUACGCGCAUGCAAAAGGAAGUCCUAGGCGGAUCGAACAGGUGCUACCUAAAUGUGGCAUUGCAAACGGUAGACUAUGCGAAAGCUCGAUCCUAUGGUGGGGAAACAAAUCACAUCACAGCAAAAAUACUAUCCUUGAAAUAAAAAAAAAAUGUGCCACCAAGGGCUCAAUAUUGCGUCCCUAUCUAGUCUUCCAGCCUAAGAAACAGAGAAAUAAAGGAAGAAGUAAAAUUAUCCAAGAGGAUCAGAUUCCGUAGUAUAACAGCAAUUAAAGGAACAAGCGACCCUGAGAUUUCUCCCAAGCUGUAGAAGAGACCUGUGUAAAAUGGAAGACAAGGCCGGAUUGGCGAAGCAACUUUAGGGUAUUGCGUUGAGGCGGAGAUGAACUUCUCAGGGCUGCCCGAAGUGAGUUGCGCAGUAGUAGUUCUAGGUUUGAAACUCCACGUGGAACUCCAAGCUCUAUUCUCAGGGAGUUUUUCCAAGUGUCUGAAACCCUAUCUGAAACUUUGAUAUGUAUAGUGAUGUUUCGGGACUGUGGGGCUGGAAUGAGGGAUGACCCAAGUCCAAAUAUUUGUUUAUAUUUUACUUAUUUAUUUUAACUUUUUUUUUUUAGGAAAAUGAAGGGUAAAUUUGGGUAGUACAUGCUGCCCUAUUCAAUCGAAACUGGAGACCCGGAGGAUAGUGACAGUUGCCUUUCGUGGCUUUCGAGGUAUGAGGGAUUGAAUACAAUUAAAGGCCUAAAAAUUGCACUGAAGUUGAAGUGGAAUAACAGAUGGUCUGUACAAGAGAUCGUGCAAAGAGGUGGGUUCUGAAAGAAGAAAAUCCGCUGGUACGGUGGAAGUCAAGUUCUGAAUAUCGAAAAGGGAAUGUUUAACUGAGAUUCCAAAAUAAAUGGUAACACAGAAAUAACAUGGCUGAAUGCGCCUCAUCUCGUCUGGAAUACUGGAAAGGAUUUCGAGUCUGAGACAUCGACACUGGCGCUGAAGUGCCACAAGUCGGCACUGACCUGAAGUGCGGAAAACUUCUUCUGCGAUCUGAACAUUCGGAAAAGACUUGGCCGAAUGGCCAUUUCUCAUCUGAAUAUCGUGAAAAUUGCUGGAAUGCCACUUCGUCUGGAUCGACCGGAAAACUGGCCUGAACGGCCACUUCGGUCUGGAUAUCGGAAAUAAAACUGGCGCGAAUGCCACUGUUUCGGUCUGGAUACGGAAACUGGCUGCAGAUGCCACUCUCGGUCUGAUACCGAAGAAACUGCCUGAACGCCCUACUCGUCUGGAUACCGGAAAACUGGCCUGAAUGCCACUUCGCUGUCUGUUGGGAUUACGGAAAACUUCAUGCCAUGUCAGCAUCGGGCAGAAAAUAGGGAAUGAUAUAUAGAUGGCGGCGCCUGGGCCAAUGACACAAAGUUAGAGUCGAUAACAAUUCUUUAGUUCUGAGUAUUGGAAACAGACUUCUAGCUUAUCACGUGGGAUAGUCGAGAAUGUUUUAUGUUUACAGCAUGAUUUUUGAAUUUUUCAAUGGCGUAAUGCUCCAUGAAAAUGGAAAUGCUACGCGAUUUGGAAGGAUGCAAUGCAAUAUGAUUCUACAUGCAGGGAUGCGAAAUGCUGGGUAGAAUGCCAAGCCGAGGCACGGGGAUCUGCUGGGGAAAUGAUCACCAUCUUCUGGACCCUGGCAAGGCUGUUGGAGAUGCACAGCGCAAAGAACUCAGUGGGGAGACGACUAGCCAUGCGGUGUUCUGGCCAUACCGAGACUCUGAUCGGGGAAGGAAUGGCAUUGGAAGCCUGCUGUUGAGGAAAGCUACAAUGGUUCUGGCAACCACGAUUUGCGAGAGAUGACUCAGCAAGGGGAGCAAACACUGAUACGGUACCGAGGUUCUGCUUCAAGAAAAGAAACCAUGGAUCUGACAUUGGGAUUAUCGAUCUGGCAUCGAACUCUAAGGAGCAGCCACUUCUGCUGGAAAGAUACAGUCUGGCACUGUCAACUCCGCUAGGGAGUGUAUGUCCUGAAACAACCGCUUGGGGAAGUGCGAUGGUGAGAAACUGCUGGGGAUUGAAGAAUCCAACGCUCUGAUCAGCUCUGCAGGGAUAAGACACCGAACUUGUCUGUUGGUGACUUCACUGGGGAAGAUAUUCACGAUCAUCUGCAGGGAAUUUUAAGGAAAUGCCCCGAGGGUAUCUGUUCUGAAUAGACGAUCCAAAGCACUUAAAAUUUACAGCAAUUUUAAANNNNNNNNNNNNNNNNNNNNNNNNNNNNNNNNNNNNNNNNNNNNNNNNNNNNNNNNNNNNNNNNNNNNNNNNNNNNNNNNNNNNNNNNNNNNNNNNNNNNUAUCAGGGAAAGACGAUAUAUGAGUUCAAUAUUUGCUUCUUAAGUUGAAAAUAUUAUAUAUAUAUAUAUAUAAUGAAAAUAAAAAAGGUAUGAAUAUAUGCUCUAGCACUGCUAGCUUCCUAAGAGGAGCGUGAGCGUGUCUACCAAUUUCACCAUAGCGGCGGCUUGCUCGAAAUCAUAAUAACCAAUUCUUUUUUCAAUCAUCGAGAUUGAAUAAAUUAAAGUCCUAUAUUUAUUGAGUACAUUUCUUUACUAAACAUUUAUUAUAUAAAUUCAUAAUAAAAAAAAGUAAUUUCAUUUUUUCUAAAUAUUGAAAAGAUAUGAAUAUAGAAAUAUAUUAUAUAUGGAAUCAUUUUAUAUUUAAGUAAAACAACUUAUUUGAUUUCUAUAUUUAUUUCUAUUAUUAUUAUUAUUUUUAAUUUUGACUUUUUCAAAUUAAAAAAAAAACACCGUUGAAACUAGAACUAUCUCGUUCUGCAGUAAUGAAAAAGAAUUUUUUUUUAGUUGCUUAUGACUCAUUCAAAAAAAAUUAGAUUAUAGAUAUAUUUAGAAUAUAUUAUAUAUUAUUCUAUAAUAUAUAAUAUAUUCUAAAUAUAUGUUUACUAUUCUAUAUAUAGUAUUAGUAAAUACUAUUAGUAUAAAAUGACUAUUAAAGAAUACUCUUUGAAUUGAGGUAAUUCAUAGUAUUCUAGUCCAAUAUUUUUUUUCUUACAAAAAAAAAUCUUUUGAGUUAUCUUAGAAAACACCUUUUGAGUUAAAAACUUUUGAGUUAGUUGAACCAAAACCUUUUGAGUUACCUGAACCAAAACCUUUUGAGUUAAAACCUUUUGAGUUACGUGUGAAAAUGGAUUCAGCUAAUGAAAAGGCUUUCAAUCGUGUCGUAUAUCUUUUUUUUUUCCAAAAAUUCUUAAGAAUUUUUUUUUAAUAUAGAAGUGCGUUUUUUUGGAACUGGCAUACAAUUGGUAUAGUUUUUUCGUUGCUAUAGUUCGAUGUGAAAGACCUUUGUUCUGUAAAUGAAAACGAAUUAUUCCGUAUGUCUUAUCUAUGUGAAUUAACUCUUUCUUUUUUUUUUGAUCCAAAGAUAAAGUAAAAAGAUUGAAUAUUCUAAACAUUUUCCAAAUUUUUCAUAGAUAAUAGAUAUAUAUGGAUCUCUUUUUAUUGUAAUGUAAAAUAAUCAAUUAGUUCAAAAAGGAACUAAUGUUUCUGAAUAAAAAAAUAUUAUUUUAUAUUAUUUUUAUAAUUUCUAUCAAAAUAAACAAAUGUUGUUAGUUAAUGAAUAUAUUACUUUUAAUAAUAUUUUGUUUCACUAGGAAUUUUUUUAUUGGCUGGUUUUCACUUUGUACUUUCCAAUAUUGGGACCAUUGUGCAAAGAUUCAGAACAAUUAAGAAUAUCCAAUUCUAUUUUUAUAUCCACUUUUUUAUUAACCGAACCCCUUUACAAAAGAGAUAAAACAAAAAAAAGGAAGAGGAGAUAGUUUUUUUUUAUUUAUGGCAUGAAACAACUCGAAGUAUGGGUCUAGCUUAUUGAUUCGUUUCAAACAACACCACACGAAUACGUUUUUUACUGGCAAAAACUCGUGCUCCAAAUAAAAUAGAAAAUCUUUUUUUUCUAUUUUGAGCACGGGCUUUUCUGGCCCAAGUGUAUCUUAUUUUUAUCACGAAUUAUUUUCCUUGGUUAACAAUCGUUGUUGUUUUGCCAAUAGCCGCAGGUUCCUUAAUUUUCUUUUUUCCUCAUAGGGGAAAUAAGGUAAUUAGGUGGUAUAGCAUUUGUAUAUGCUUAAUCGAUCUCCUUCUAACAACCUAUGCAUUUUCUUAUCAUUUCCAAUUGGAUGAUCCACUAAUUCAACUGACGGAGAAUUAUAAAUGGAUCCAUUUUUUUGAUUUUGACUGGAGAUUAGGAAUAGAUGGACUCUCUAUAGGACCCAUUUUACUAACAGGAUUUAUAACUACUUUAGCCACUUUAGCGGCUCAGCCGGUUACUCGAGAAUACCAAUUAUUCUAUUUCCUGAUGUUAGCAAUGUAUAGCGGUCAAAUAGGACCAUUUUCUUCUCGAGACAUUUUACUUUUUUUCAUCAUGUGGGAAUUGGAAUUAAUCCCCGUUUAUCUACUUUUAUCCAUCUGGGGGGGAAAGAAACGUUUCUACUCUGCUACUAAGUUUAUUUUGUACACUGCAGGAGCUUCUGUUUUUUUAUUAAUGGGAAUUCUGGGUAUCGGUUUAUAUGGCUCUAAUAAACCAACAUUUAAUUUUGAAACAUUAAUUAAUCGAUCGUAUCCCGUGGCACUAGAAAUAAUAUUCUAUACGGCAUUUCUGAUUUCUUUUGCUGUCAAAUCGCCAAUUAUACCCUUACAUACAUGGUUACCAGAUACCCACGGAGAGGCACAUUACAGCACUUGUAUGCUUUUAGCCGGCAUAUUAUUAAAACUGGGAGCAUAUGGGUUGGUUCGAAUUAAUAUGGAAUUGGUUUCCCACGCUCAUUCCAUAUUUUGCCCCUGGUUAAUGAUAUUAGGUUCUAUUCAAAUAAUCUAUGCCGCUUCAACAUCUUUUGGUCAACGUAAUCUAAAAAAAAGAAUAGCUUAUUCUUCGGUAUCUCAUAUGGGUUUUCUAAUUAUAGGAAUUGGUUCCAUAAGUGAUACUGGUCUCAACGGGGCCAUUUUACAAAUCAUAUCUCAUGGAUUUAUUGGCGCUGCACUUUUUUUCUUGGCAGGAACUAGUUAUGAUAGAGUGCAUCUUCUUUAUCUUGACGAAAUGGGCGGAAUGGCUAUCCCAAUGCCAAAAAUAUUCACAAUUUUUACUAUCUUAUCAAUGGCUUCUCUUGCAUUGCCUGGCAUGAGCGGUUUUGUUGCAGAAUUGAUAGUUUUUUUUGGAAUAAUUAGUAGUCAAAAAUAUCUUUUCAUGAUGAAAAUACUAAUUACUUUUGUAACAGCAAUUGGAAUGAUAUUAACUUCGAUUUAUUUAUUAUCAAUCGUACGGCAGAUGUUCUAUGGAUAUAAGUUUUUGAAUACACCAAACUCUUAUUUUUUUGAUUCUGGGCCCAGAGAAUUAUUUAUUUCUAUUUCUAUCCUUAUACCCAUAAUAGGUAUUGGUGUUUACCCCGAUUUCAUUUUCUCAUUUUCGGUUGACAAGGUUGAAGCUAUUCUAUCUCAUUUUUGAUGGAUUAAAAAAAAAACACAUUGUGAAUACUUUUUCUAGUUUCAUAUUAUUCAUAAUGUUCAUGCACAUUUACAAUUAAUUCAAAAUAGAUCACAAUAGGAGGAUCGAAUGGACAACAUUAUCACGACGCUACGAAGAAUCAAAAUAAAAACAAUAGGAGCAAUAGGAAGAAUCAGAAGAAAAUUAAACAAAAUUCAGAAUUUUAUGAGUCCUAUUAAAUUCUCGCGAUUCUAUAUUCUUUGGUUCUUUAUUAAGCUAUUUUUUUAUAUUCGUAUGCAAACUGUAUCUAUGUUGUUAUUAAUUUUGCAUUAUUUUUUUCUCCUUCUUUCUGACUGGUUAAGAUUAAUAGGAACAAUUAGAAUCUUUUUCAUUUCGAUUUUGAUUUCCCUUUUGAUUUCAAUUUUCAUUUCAAUUCAUAAUUUUCUAGGAGCUCAAAGCAAAAACAUUCAUAAUUUUCUAGCAGCUCAAAUCAAAAAAAUUGAGAAUUUUCUAGGAGUUCAAAUCAAAAAAAUUCAGAAGGUUCUAAGAGGAAUCAGAAAAAUAAUGAAAAUACUUCUUCAUUUUAUGCGUUCUUUUCACUUCUGGCAAUUCUAUCUUCUUUGGUUGGUUCUUCAUUAAGGCAUUCGUCUAUAGUAUUCUCGUAAAAUCUAAAUAUGGCUUGUUCGUGCUUUGUCAUUUUCUUUUUGUCCUUAUUUUGGAAUUAUACCUUAUUUUUGCACUAUAUUUUGGUUUGCUAUUUGGCUAUUUUCUUUGUUCUGAUUGUCAGCUACUUUGUGUCAAAAUAAGGACACGGUAUUUUGUGAAUUUAUUCUUAUCUUAUCUUCUUUUCUGCUGUUCGUUUUGUUUUUUCUUUUUCCAAGGUUCUUAUCUUAUAGAGAUAGUCAAUAGAGUUAAGGUUAGUCAAUGCUAGUCACUUGACUAACCGUAAUUCUUAAGAUAGUAUAUAAAUAUACUCAGGUAUUAGGAAAAUCCAUUUAACAAAAUCAUGUAUGUAUAUAUAAAUAAUAAGAUGAAUGGAAAUAAAAGGAAACAAAAUAUUAUGCUAAUGGAAAAUCCAUUUAACAAAAUCAUGUAUGUAUAUAUAAAUGAUAAGAUGAAUGGAAAUAAAAGGAAAUAAAAUAUUUUGCUAAUAUUAGCAAAAUGCAUUUAAAAAAAUCAUGUAUAUAUAAAUGAUAAGAUCCAUUGAAAUAAAAGGAAAUAAAAUAUUAUGCUAAAAAACUUUCGUAUCUGGCUAGGAGGAAUCAGAAGAAAAUUAAACAAAAUUUUGAAUUCUAUUAAUUCUAUUAGAUUCUUCAGAUUCUUGCGAUCCUAUGUUCUUUGGUUGUUCAUUAAGUUAGUAGUGUUUCGUUUUACAAAAUCACUUAUAAACUCCAGCUCCAGAAUGCUUUAUAUAAAAUAUUAUUCUUUGUUUUUGAAUAACAAUUAUUAUAUAAUUCUUUAUGAAUUGGCCAUUCUUCUUUUAAUUUGUCUAUGUAUGUGUAUUUACAUUUUUUUCCGAGUUCUUUUUGUUGACUAGUUUGAAAAUAAAGACAUAGUCCAGUAGGAUAAGAUAUAAUUAAUAUGUAAUGAAGAUACUGUUUUGAUUUUUUAACCAAAAUCGAGUUUGUUCGUGGGGGAGAUUUCUAUUGGCAUGCAUCCAGUAGGAAUUGAACCUACGACUUCUCCAAUUAUGAGUUGGGCGCUUUAACCAUUCAGCCAUGGAUGCUUCGAGGGAACCCUCCGACUUCAUCACUAACCAAAUUUCAAUUGAAGUGAAAUCUUUUGGAUAAAUCAAUAUAAAUACAUUAAUAUAUAUAAAUAAAUAUAGAAAAAAAAGAAAUAGAAAAAAAAAAAAGAAAUAGAUCAAUUUGUAAAAAUGGAGUAUCCUAUCUUAUGAAGAAGAAUGAAGUAGACAUUUGGAUUUUAGAAUUGAGAGAAAUUUUUAGAGAGAGCAAGAAUUCUGCCUAUUUCUCAGAUUCCUGGACCCAAUUCAAUUCAGCGAUAUCUGUGAUUCACAUUUUUUUCCAUCAAGAGAGUUUGAUAAAACUCUUAGACUCCAGAAUUUGGAGUAUCCUAGUUUCACGCGGUUUAACAAGAUAUUUCACGAUCAAGAAUCUAGUACUUUUUGUAGUAGCGAUCCUUAUAUAUCGUAUUAACAAUCGAAGGAUGAUCGAAAAAAAAAAUAUUUAUUUGACAGGGCUUCUUCCGAUCCAAAUGAAUUCCAUUGGAUCCACAUUGGAAGACUCAAAAGAUUCCAAUAGGUUGGUUCUGAAUGGGUUUAUUGUUCCGCUCCUGUCUGGUCCAAAAGAAAAAAAUAUCUCUGAGAGAGAUAAUUGCUCUUUUUUGGCGGACAUAUGGUCAGAACGUCAUCUGCUGGAUUUGAAUCCUACUGAGAAGUCCGCUCGAGAUCCUAAAUUAUUUCAGAAAGAAGAUGUUUCUUUUGUUCUUUCGAGGCAAUCGGAAAAUAAAGAAAUAGCCAAUAUCGUGAAUAUAAUCAUGUAUUUACAAAAUAAUGUCUCAAUUCAUCCUAUUUCAUCCGAUCGAGGAUGUGAUAGGAUUGCAAAGGAUAAACUUUUUACAGUUCAAAAUCAUAUUUUAUUCUUGAACCAAAAUCUAGUUUCAGAAGAGAGAUUUCAAGAAAUGGCAAAUCUAUUCAAUCUCUCAAUAACUAAGCCGGAUCUGGUGUAUCGUAAUGGAU